AAACUAUUUUUUAUCUGUUUAAUGCUUUUUAAAAAUUUAAAUUUUAUUAAAAACUAGUAUUUUAUUUUUCAAUUCUUUUAUUUAAAAAAUAAAAACUUUAUAAUUUUAGGUCGCCCAUUUUUUAUGACCGAUCGGCUAUAAUAAUUUUCGAAUCAGUUCCAGCUCCGACUAUUGGGAGUGUCAGGUCAUGAGUUCGAUUGAAGCGAGUAUGUAAAAUUUUAGGUAAUGUUUGGUUCAGAAAUAAGGGGGAAUAAGUUCUUGUUCCCUCUUUGUUCCCAAACGUGAUGUUUGGUAUCCGGGAACAGUAGUUCCAAGGUUUCAAGAACAAGCUGGUAUAAGACUGGAACUCUUGUUCCACCAUUUUUCUGGAAUAAGUUUGUUCCUUAAUGAGAACAAGGUUAAUUAAAAUCUAAAUUUAAUUUUAAUGGCAGUAAAUUAUUAAUUAAUCUAAUUAAUAUAUUUAAAUUUUUAUUUAUUGCUUUAAUAAUUAAAUAAUUAAAUAAUUUAUUAUUUAUAAUUAAUUAAUAAUAAUUAGAUAAUUAUUAUAAUUAAUUUAUUAUUUAUCAUUAUUUAUUAAUAAUUAUUAAUAAUUAUUAUCCUUAUUAAUUAGAUAAUCGAUAUUAUUAUUAAUAAAAAUUAGAUAAUUGAUAUUAUUAUUAAUUUAUUAUUUAUAAUUAAUUAUUAAUAAUUAAUAAUAUUUAUUAAUAAUUAUUAAUAAUUAUUAUCCUUAAUAAUUAGAUAAUCGAUAGUAUUAUUAAUUUAUUAUUUAUAAUUAAUUAAUAAUAAUUAGAUAAUUAUUAUAAUUAAUUUAUUAUUUAUAAUUAAUUAUUAAAUUAGAUAAUAAUUAUUAUUAAUUUAUUAUUUAUAAUUAAUUGUUAAUAAUUAGAUAAUUAUUAUUAUUUAAUUUAUUAUUUAUAAUUAAUUAUUAAUUAUUAAUUUAUUAUUUAUUUUUAAGUAAUAUUUUGAUGUUAACUAAUUAAAUAAUAUAAUUUAAUUUCAAAUUAUAACUCUUAUUCCUGUUGUUCCAAUCUAACCAUCCAAACAUUAUUUACCUUAUUUUUAGGAACAACCCAAUUUUCAUCUAAACGCUGGUUACCUGAAUUUAUACCUAUCUCUGAAACUAGCAAUUCUUCUUUAUACCCAAACCAAACAAUGCCUUAAUGAAUUAAUGGGCGAUUUCUGUAUGUUCGAUUUAUUCAACUUUUUUUUUCGGAUGGCUUUUUGGAUCAUCCAUUAUCUAGCCAGAUCGGUUUUGGUUCAAUUAGCCCCUCAUUUGAAAUGAGUCGGAUCAGUUUGGGUCAAUUUGAUCCAAACCCGACCCGAAGGUAGAGCAAUCCGUUAGUUGAUUUGCGUACGAAUGAAUAAAUGAAUAGCUUUUUCGGUUUUUAUAUUUUCCUUAAAAAUCUUUAGAAAAUUAAUGUACUUAAAUAUUCUUUAUACUUAAACUCUGAGGCUUCGUUUAGUUCAGGGUUAAGUAAGAACUAGUUAUUCCAGAGAUAAGGUUAAGUUCUGGAUUAAAGUGGAAUUAGAGUAAUUUUGUGUUUGGUUGAGAACUGGGUUUAGUCCAGGUAUAAGAAAAAUAACGUUUGGCUGGAGUAAGUGGAAUAAGAAGGAUUGUGGGUUGUUAUAAAUAAAAAAUAUUAAUUUUGCCCUAAUUUUUAUAUUUGAAUUUAAUUAUUUUAUUUUAUAUUUCAAAUUUCAAAUUUAAAUAGAUAACUUUCAAAAUUACAGAAUUCAAAAUUAAAAUUUAUUUUUAAAUCUCAAAUUUAAAAAUUUAAAAUUUCAAUUAAAAAAAUUAAAUUUAAAAUUUAAAUAAUUAAAAAUAAUAUUUUAAAUUUUAAAAUUUAAAAUUUAAAAUUUAAAAUAUAAAUUUUAAAUUUUAAACAAUAAAUAUUAAUUUUAAGAUUGCAAAUUAUACAUUUUUAAAAUUUCAAAUAUAAAAUGUCAAAUUUAAAAUUUAAACAAUUAAAAAAUUUAAAAUUAAAUUAUUUAAAUUUUAAAAUAUUAAUAUUAAUUUUAAGAUUAUAAAUUAUAAAAAUUAUUAAAAAUUUAUAAAUAUAAAUUUAAUUUUAAAUUUAUAUUUAAAAAUUAAAUUGGGUGGAUUAAUUAAUCCCACCCCAAUUCUAGUGGGGGGUAGGGUUUGUUAACCGCAUUUUGAUGGGGUUAACAAACCCUACGCCCAAAAGUUUUCGUUUGGGGAUAAAGGGGUUAAACCCCUAACCCCCUUUUUUAUCCCGAACCAAACGCUAGCUGAAAGAGAACCCAGUGCUUCGAAUACAGUUAAAAUGAUCAUAUAUAUAUAUAUAUAUAUGAGCUAGUCUCCUAUACUAUCUAUAAUACCGGGGUCGCGUACUAUAGGUUCCGUUUUCGAUUUAGGAUGUUCAAAUCAACGAUCCACACCGUUAAACUGAUUUAGUAGGGUCUUCAAAGUUUUUAAAAAUAAAAUUUUAUAUUUUUUUGACACUAGUUUACUUUAGGAUCAAACCAUUCAAAAUUAUCAUUUUUCAAUGGCUACAUAUGCGAGGUUGGAGUUUAAAGGUGUAAAGAAGUCUAAAUUUCUUCAAAUUUUGAUAUAGAAAACUACUUUAAACUGAUCUGAUUAAGGUUAACAUUCUAAUUUGAAUUUAAAUAGUCCUUAUGCUCAAAUUUGUAAAGAUUAUAAUUAUUCACACGUCCAUUUUGAUAUAAUUAUUUACUCUGUAGAACAUGCUCGAAAAAACUAAAAUUUUAUUCUUAAGAGAACGUUUAUAUACCCUAGAUCAAUAUUUAACGAAUAUAGAUCCGUUAAUUUGACACCGCUAAGUGAAAACCAAACUAUAUGUACUCGGAGCUCCGGAUACUGAUAUAAAUAUAUUAGUACCUUAUAAUAAUAUAUAUAUUAUAAUAUAUAUAUCAUAUAUAAUUUAUAUAUACUAUUAGCUAUAUAUAAGAGUUAAGGUAACUAUGACUAUCGGAAGCACGAGCCUUUCAUGCUUCAGCCUCGUUUCGAUGUUGCGCUUUCGAAUCGUCGAUCGGCUCUGUUAAACUGAUCUGGAGUAUGUUGAAAAUACUCUAGAACAUAAAUUAUGUAAUUUUUCGAUAUUAUUUACUAGUGAAUGAAGAGGGCUCAAAAUCAACGGGCUGAGAAUAUAAAAUUUACACAAAAUGUGAUACAAUGAAUCAUUAAAAUUUUGAUCAAAGAUGAUUGAUCUUGUUUUAAUAUGAGUACUAAAAUCUUUCACUCAAAAAUUUCACGUGAUUUCGGAUCUUCUAUAACCGUUAAACUUCGUAAACGGCUCACUACGACAAUUAAAAUUAUUGAUUUUGGAGCCCCGUUCGAUCACUAGGCCAUUAAUACGAAAAAUAUAAAAUUUAUUUUCUAGGUACUUACAACUACUCUGAUCAAUGUACUUAAACCGGAGAGGCAAAUCGAUCGAUUCCGAAAGUCGCCGACAUAUCAAAAACGAGCUGGAAACACGGGAAGGCUCCGUUGCUCGAUAAGCAUAGUAACCUUUUUCAUUUUUCUUAAUCAUUGGGAUUAAAUAGCAUAACCCGGUGGACACUCAACCCUAAGGGGGACCAUCAAACUGCUAACCGAUAAUACCUACCUAUCUGGCAAUUUUUCAUCCAAGGGUGAAAAGCUGAUUAGGCAAAAACUAGUGUUUUAUAUUAAUAGAUAUUCCACAGCAAAUUCAUAUUAUAAUAUAGUAUUAUCAUAUAUAUCCGGCUACUAUCCUAUUAAUAGGAAUUGGAGCCAUGGUCCUAUCCGUCUUUUGACUGAUCGGAUUCAAUGAUAAUCCUCGGCACGUUGAAAUUGCGAUCUACACAACUUAAACAAUUUAGAAAACCAAAUUUUGUAUAUUUAAAAUCAUUAUCAAGCCUUCAUUUAAAGAGUUAAACAAUGAACGGUCAUAAAUGAAUUAACUCCCUUCCUAAAAUAGAAGGUUAGAGCUUUUUCAAUUCAUAAUCAGAGUUAUCAAAUAUUAUCUAAAUCGUAUUAAGAAAUUUUCUUAUCAAAAAUUCAAGCCAAUUUGGAUUGCUACACCGUUGUAAUACAGCAAACGGCUCAUAUACGACGUUAAAAAAUGUCGAGUUUACGAACACUGUUGAUACCUAGUAAAUAUUUUUAAUAAUUAUGAAAUUUGUUUCUAAGAUAUUUCAAACUACGCUAGAUCAACUUCACGCUCCGAUCAUCGAUUCCGAAUCUCGAUAUCAUCAAGAACAAUUUGAAAGGAUAAGUGCUCCUAUACCUAUUAAUAGGAUAGUAGCUCUAGCCUCCUAUAUAAUGCUGGCUAUUAUACUCUAAUAAGUAUAGAAGCCCUGUCUUGUACUACUCAUUAAGCCCGUUUGAAUUGGGUACAAGAGGAUGGGGAUUACGGCGGUUAUUCCCUCUCUAUGUACUCAAACAAAAAAUUAAGGGUGGGAAACUCGUUCCCACCCUACUUCGUUUCCACCCUUAUCCGGGUAUAGGGCGGUAUAGGGUGGGAACCGAGUGUUCCCACCAGGGGUGGAACAACUUGUUCCAGCCACGUACAAAGAGUGAGAUAUGAGAGAGAGAGACGAUUUUUUUAUAUUUUAAAUUUAAUUUUUAAAAUUUAUAAUUAUAAUUUAAAUAUAAAUUUAAGUUUAAAUUUAAAUUUAUAUUUUUAAAUUUAAAUUUUAAAUAUGAUAUUUAGUUUAAAUUUUAAUUGAUAUUUUUAUAUAUUUCAAAUUUAAAUUGGUCUUAAAUUUAACAUUAGAUAUUUUAAAAUUAAAAUUUUUGAAAAUUAUAUUUUGAAUUUUAAUUUCAAAAUUAAAAUGAUAAAAGUUAAUUUCGAAGUUAACAUUUUUCAAGUUAAAAUUUUAAAUUCAAUAUAAUAAGGGUAAUAUCAUUAGCUUUUUAUUCUAUAAACUACCAAACUAUUCCACCUUAUACUCACAUUUUUUAUCCAAACACAAUUUUCUAAGUUCAGCUUAUACUCACAUUUUCAUCCAACAAAAAAAUACCCGUUGUUCUAUGAAAUCCAUUCUUGUACCUAUCCCCGGUUAUAAUUAGUUCUUGCUUAUAUCAUGAACCUAACGAAGCAUAAGUUUUUCGACCGUUUAGAUGAAAAAAUAUCGGUUAGGAUGAAAGUGAUUACGGUUAGAUUGAUAGUGGGUCCCCUUAGGGUUGAGUGGGUAGUUUGGUUUGAAUAGUUUAUAAUCUUAACAGCGUGAAUGAUUAAAGGGUAGAUCUAACGCGGAAAAACUUUGAGUAUCAAAUAGCUCAUAAUACUAAUAAAAAGUAUAGUAGCCGGAGCUCUCUCUCUUCUCUUCUUUCUCUCUCUCUCUCUCUCUCGUCUCCUCUUCUCUCUCUCCUGAUAUAUAUAUUAUAUAUAUAUAUAUAUACUAGUAAAAUGUACGUGCAAUGCACGGUAAUAGAUUAUUAAGAAAAGUUAUUCUACCAUUUUUUAAUUAAAUAUUUUAAUUUGUAGUAUAUUUUAAUGGCAUAUAAAAUAUAUGCAAAAUAAUAAAAUUAAUUAUUAAAAAAAUGGUCGAUACUUUUUCUUUAAUAAUUAUUAACGUGCGAUUUGCACGUACUUCAUAGUAAUAUCCCCUUAGUAUAUGAUAUACUAAACUAUUUAUAAUGAAGAGUCAGCGAAGAUGAGAGAGAAGCGAGAGAGACAGCGAGAGAGAACGAGAAGAAGAGAGAGAGAGAUUCCGGCUAACUAUAUUUUAUUAGUAUAGGACCUAUUUAUACUCAUUAGUUUUUCCCUCGCGUUAGAUCUACUCUUUAAUCAUUUUCACCCUGUUAUAUUAUACGUUUCAAACAAAUACCCACUCAACUAGGGACCACGUAUCAAUCUAACCGUCAAUCACUUUCAUCUAACCGAUAUUUUUUCAUCUAACGGAUCGAAAAAUAUGCUUCGUUGAUGGGUUCAUAAUAAGCCAAAGAACUAAUGUAUGAUACGGGGAUAGCUGUACAAGAUGGAUUCAUGAGAACACGGGUAUUUUUUUGUUUAGGAUGAAAAUGUGAGCUAUAAGACGAACUAGAAAAUUUGCUGUGUUGGAUAAAAAAUGUGAGUAUAGUGGAAUAGUUUGGUAGUUUAUAAAUAGAAAUAAUGUAAUGAAUCUACCCCUUAUAUUGAGAUUAAAAUUUUAAACUGAACAAAUUUUAAUUCGAAAUUUUAACUUUUACAUUUUUAAAUUUUGAAAUUAAAUUAAAAUAUUAUUUUCAAAAAUUUUAAUUUUUAAAAUGACUUAAUGUUACAAUUUAAGACCAAGUUUAAAUUUGAAAUAUAUAAAAAUAUCAAGAUCUUAAAAUUUAAAAGCUCUAACAAUAUAUUAUCCUUAAAAUUUAAAUGUUAAAAAUUAUCAAUUCUAAUAAUUUUUAAAAUUUAUAAUUUAAAUUUAUAAUAUAUUAUAAAUUUUAAAAUUAAAAUUUAAAAUAAAAAAUCUCUCUCUCUUCUCUUACUCUCUCUUGUACCGGUGGCUGGAACAAGUUGUUCCACCCUUCUGGUGGGAACACUCGUUGCCCACCCUAUUACCCCGGUGGAUUAACGCCCCGGAGUACUAGGGUGGGCGAACGAGUGGGUGGAACGAGUGUUCCCACCCUGUAAUGUUUUUCGUUUGGAGUACAAAGAGGGAUAACCCCUAUCCCCUCUUGUGAUCCAAUUCAAACGGCGUAUGCAAGUAGACAAGAGGCUGUUAUACUAUAUAGUUAUUAAUAGCCCAGCAAUUAUAUAUGGAGCGCUAGAUGCUAUAUCUAUUAAUAGGAUAGCGAGCAUCUAUACCUAUUCAUAAUUGUUCUUGCGAUUGAUCGAGAUUCGAAACUUCGUGAUCGGAGCGUGAAGUUAUUCUAGCGUAUUUGAAAUAUCUUAGAAACUAAAUUUCAUAAUUGUAAAAUUAUUUAAUAGUGAUCAAAGUGUCAGUAAACUCGACAUUUUUUCACGUCUAUAUGGAGCGUUUGCUUGUUUUAACGUGCUAGCAGCAAUCAAAUUGCUUGAUUUAUUGAUAGAAUAAAUUUUUAUACUGAUUUGAGAUAAUAUUUGAUAACUUGAUUAUGAAUUGAAAAGUCUAACGCUCUAUUUAGGAAGCGUUAUUCAUUUAUGAGGCGUUCAUUUGUUUAACUCUUAAAUGAACUUGAUAAUGAUUUAUAAAUAUACAAAAUUUGGUUUUCUAAUAUAUGUUUAAUUGUGUAGAUCAAUGUUCAACCGAUGCCGAUUGAUCAAUUGAAGUCCGAUCAAUCAAAAGACUUGGAUAGGACCAUGGUCUCCAAUGUCCUAUUAAUAGGAUAGUAGCCGGAUAUAUAUAUAAUAUGAUACUAUAUAUAUAGAAUUGGCUGGGGAAUUAUCUAUUAAUAGUAAAACACUAUUGUUUGCUAUCAAGUUUUAACCCAUGAGACAAAUAAUUGCCAGAUAGGAUGAUAUUAGUCGGUUAGAGUUUGAGUGGUCCCCCUGGUGGGUUGAGUGUUCCACGGUGUAUAGUUUUAUCCAAUGAUUAGAAAAAUGAAAGGAAGGUUAUAUGCUAUCGACAACCGAGCCAUUCCCGUGUUUCCAGACUCGUUUUUGAUGAUGGCGGACUUCGACAUCGAUCGGAUCUGCCUCGUUAAAACUUGAUUAGAGUAUUGGAAGUACCUAGAAAAUAAAUUUUAUGAUUUUUCGAUAUUAUUUGCCUAUGGCUGAUCGAAAGGGGCUCAAAAUCAAUAAUUUUUAAUUGUCGUGUGAGCCUGUUUCAAGUUUAACGGUACUGUAUAGAUAAUCCAAUCACCUUGAAAUUUUGCAUGAAUAUAUUUAUACUAUAUUAAAACAAGCAUCAAUAUUUUUGACUAAAAUUUUAAUGUUCAUUGAUAUCAUCAUUUUGUAAGAUGUUUUAUUUUUCAGCCGUGUUGAUUUUGAGCACCUUGCAAUUCAUAGCGUAAAUCAAUAUCGAAAAAUUACAUAAUAUUAUUCUAGGCUAUUUCAAAUGACUCCAGAAUCAGGUUUCAACAGAGCCGAAUCGACGAUUCGAAGUCGAACAUCCGAAAACGAGCGGUGAAGCAUGAAAGGACUCGUGCUCCGAUGCAUAGUUAACCUUAUCAUAUAUUAUAUAUAAUAUAUAUACUAAUAUUAUAUAGUGAUAUACUAUAUAUAUAAUAUUAUAAUUAAUUAGGUACUUAUAUAUUUAUCAGUACCGGAGCUCCGUAUACAUAUAGUUGUGUUGUUCACUUAGCGGUUGUCAAUCAAUAACAGAUCCUUACUGUUAAAUAUGAUGUAGGCUAUAUAAAUGCUUCUUAAGAAUAAAAUUUUAGUUUUUUUCGACAUGUUUUACGUAGUAAUAUAAUAUUAUCAAAAUGGAACGUGUUGAAAAUAUAUAUCUUUAAAAUUUGCGCAUAAGCGACUUUUAAAUUUCAAAAUUAAAAAAAGAUGAUGUUAACCUUAAUCUAGAUCAGUUUAAAUAUUUUCUAUUCAAAAUUUGAAGAAAUUUAGAUUCUUUUUACACCUGUAACUCCAAAUUUCGUAAUAGUAGCAUUGAAAAUGAUAAUUUUUGAAUUGGUUUGUCAUAAAGAAAACUAUGUCAAAAAAAAUAUAAAUUUAUUUUUAAAACUUGUGAAUACCCUAAAUCAGUUUAACGGUUGUGAUCUCGUUGAAUUUGAACAUCCUAGAUCACGAAAAACGGAAACGAUAGUACGGGACCCCGUAUUAUAGAUAGGUAUAGGAGAUAGCUCAUAAUAAUAUAUAUAUGAUGUAUUUUAACUGUAUUUCGACAGCACUGGCCGUCUUUCAGCUAUGCGUUUUGGUUAGGUGAUAAAAAGGCGGUUAGGGGUUUAACCCCUUUUAUCCCAAACGAAAACUUUUGGGGCGUAGGGUUUGUGUAACCCAUCAAAUGCGGCGUUAAACAAACCUACCCCCACUAUUGAAUUGCUGGUGGAUUAUUAAUCCCACCCCAAUUUGAAUUUUAAAUAUAAAUUUUAAAUAUUUAAAUUCUUUAUUUAUAAAUUUUUAAAUUAUAAUUUAUAAUCUUAAAAUUAAUAUUAAUAUUUUUAAUUAAAUAAAUUUAAAUUUAAAUUUUUUAAUUGUUUAAAUUUUACAUUUGACAUUUUAUAUUUGAAAAUUUUAAAAAUGUAUAAUUUGCAAAUCUUAAAAUUAAUAUUUAUUGUUUAAAAUUUUAAAAUUUAUAUUUUAGAAAUUUAUAUUUUUAAAUUUUAAAUUUAAAAUUAAAAUUUAAAAUAUUAUUUUUAUUAUUUAAAUUUUAAAUUUAAUUUUUAAUUGAAUUUUAUAAUUUUUAAAUUUGAGAUUAAAAAAUAAUUUUAAUUUUGAAGUCUGCUAUUUUGAAAGUUAUCUAUUUAAAUUUGAAAUUUGAAAUUAUAAAAAAAAUUAAUUAAAUUCAAAUAUAAAUUAGGGCCAAAAUUAAUAUUUUUUAUUUAUAACACACCACAAUCUUCUUGAUUUCCACUUACUCCAGCCAAACGUUUAUUUUUUAUACCUGCGACUAAACCCAGUUCUCAACCAAAACAAAAUUACUUAAUUCAUUAAAUCCAAAACUUAACUCUGAUCUCUGGAUAACUAGUUAUUUAUUACCACUGAACUAAACGAAAAGGCCUCAGGUAAGUAUAAAAUAUUUAAGUACAUUAAUGAUUCUAAAAUUUUUAAGGCAAAUAUAAAAGCGAAAAAGCAAUUAUUCAUUAUUCAUUCGUAGCAAAUCACUCAACGGAUGCUCUACCUUCGGGCUCCGGGUUGGAUCAAAUGACCAAACUAAUCCGCACUGCUUUCAAAUGAAGGGGGCUAAUGAACAAAAACGUAUAACUGGCGGAUAAUGGAUGAUCCAAAAGCAUCCGAAAAAAAAAGUGAAAAUCGAACAUACAGAAUCGCCAUAUCAUUAGCAUUGUUUNNNNNNNNNNNNNNNNNNNNNNNNNAUUGCCAAAUAUGUAUCUAAAAAAUUUAAAAUAAUAAAUCACGCUAUUAAGAAAGAUAUGCUUUAAAUGAUAAAUAAUUAACAAUAAUCUCUAAUGCAAAAAUUACUUUUGAAAUUAAAUAGAAAAAUAAAAUCUGUUAGGAAAUAAAUUUUUGAAAUUAAAUAGAAAAAUAAAAUCUGUUAUCUUAAAAAGAAAAUAUAUUUUGAAAUUAAAUAGAUAAUAUGUAAAAAAAGAUAUUUUAAAAUAAAAUAGAAAAAUAUCUUUUAUAGAAUUUUCACACCUGUAAUCUGUUAUAGAGAAUUUACUUUUGAAAUUAAAUAAAAAAAUUUAUAUUUUAGGAUUUUCACAUCAGUAAUCUGUUAUAGAGAACUUACGUAUUCAUUGUUGUUUCUAUUUUUAUUCUUAUAUUUAAAAUUUUUCGUACGGAAAGAGAAAAAUGAGCGCUAAUUUUUCCGCCGAAAAAUGGGUCUGUCGACAAACCCAAAUUUGAAUAUACGUGCUUUUAUAUAUAGUAUAGAUAUUUAAAAAUUUAUGUACAAAAUGUACAAGAAAACAGUAACAAAGAAAAUUUUGUAUAUUCAUUAAGAGAUAAAAAAAUUUAUGCCAAUCUUUGUUAUCUCGGAAUCAAACGGAGCUUAAGUACAUACAAAAGUACAAAUGUAACAGUAUACAAUUUUCAAAGGACAUAACCAUAAUUUCAUAUCAAUCAAUCGGCGCGCGCCUCCACCGAUCGAAAUCGAACUGCAGGAUGUAUCUGCUGCAUUCAUAACUCAUGCGCCCGAUUCUCCGAGAUUGUUGUUACGGCACCGCGCCCCGUUCUCGCAGCCCCUGCUAUGGGGCUCGACGGGCAGCGGGCGGCAAUUCUCGAGCCACGGCCUGCACGGAGGUUGAUCCCUGGCGAUUACACGGUAGUUCAGAGUAGGGGCAGCAUUGGUUCCGGUCGCCAUCACCACGCAUGCCAAGAGCGCGAGUAAAAUCCAUGCUCGAGUAACGCACGCCAUCUAUUCAAUCAAAAUAUAUAUAUAAAGAGAUUUUCUUUCUUAGAACACAAAUUAAUUUUAAAUACAGUAUAAGGCAAACUAUUACGUUUGUGAGCUAUAUAACAAUAAAGUGCAAAACAUAAUAUUACAGUUUAUAGUGGUAUAACAUACAAACGGAGAAAUUAGCUGAACUGCAGAUAAGCUAAUUGAAAUAUGUCCUAUUUUAUAGCGCGAAAGGAAGGUUAUUUAUAAUACCGAUUGAUUGUAGUGCGUGUUCGUCGGGCUAAGAUCAAGUAUGGAUUGUAUGUAUUUGCGUACGAAUGUAUCGAGUACGUAGAAGGUGGUGGUAUUUAUACAGAGGUGGAAGUAAGAGAAACCAACUGAAGCUUAGCUGGAGAAUUAUCAUCUAUACUAAAUCUGAAUGAUUUGUUGGAUUAAUGUGAGGAUGAGAAUGUUUUUCUCUUCAGUAAAAGUUCACAAUGCUCUUUAAAGUAGAAAACGGAAAAUUAGUACUAUAAAUGGGUUUUUUUGCUUCUGCUUUUAGUUGCUGCUGUUUUUGGAAAAUGUAUAUUAGGUUAAAUAAAAAGGUCUGAAACUUUUUCUAUAGUGAGAAUUAAAAAUAAAAUUUUAUUUAAGCAUAAAUUAAAAGGUUGAAGCUAAAAAAAAUAGGGGAAACUUCAAAUACCCCUAUGUGGUAUCGCACUUUCUCAAUUUAGUAUCCUGUGGUUUAAAAUGUAUCAAAUUAGUAUCCUGUGGUUUCAUACUUUUUCACUUCAGUAUCUUAUGGUUUCAAGUGUAUCAAGUUAGUACCUUAUGAUUUCAUUUUUAUAUCAAGUUAGUACCAUGUGGUUUAAUUUUCUCUUUUUAUUAUUCAUUUCAGGGUGUAUAAUUUAAUGAAAUAUUAAACCACAUGGUACUAAAGUGAGAAAGUGUAAAACCACAGGUUACUAACUUGAUACAGUUUAAACCAUAGGGUACUAAAGUGAAAAAGUGUGAAACCACAAGGUACUAACUUAAUACACUUUAAACCACAGGAUAGUAAACUGAGAAAGUGCGAAACCACAGGGAGGGUAUUUGAAGUUUCUCUAAAAAAAUAUAAGUUAUUCUGGAAUAACAACCCUAAACCUUUAUAUUGAUUGAGAGCCCACGACUUUUAGUUUUUUUUAAAAAAAAAUUGAGUGAUUUUAGCCAAAUUGAUUUAUAAUUAUAUCAAAUCUAAUGAUUUAAGCAACUUCAUGUGAAUAAAAUUAGACUAAUCAACUGUUAAUAGCUAAUAAAGCAAUAUCAGUUUGACAUCCAAUGUUUUUUAUACUAACAAGGCCCGGAAGGUUUAGUGGGUGGUCGUACGCUGGUUAAGACUUUCAGGUAAGGAGGAUCGCGCGUGGCGUCGAGGUGGGUAGGUGAAUAGGGUUUGAUGUUCGUGCAGCAGUGGGUCAAGGAGGCGGACUUCCAGGAGCUCAGGGUAGUGAUACCACAUGAACCAUUUUUGCGUAACUCACUUAUCCACCAGGUGUCUGAGUAGCACUCGGGACGUCUCGUGUGUCUGACACAGAGGCCAGGUGGGAGCGAAUUGCUCCAAUAGUCAUCAUUCACGUUCCAUUUAUCAAUAAAGACGAACUAGAAAUGUUUGUAAAAAUGGCUAGUUAUUAAUCAUGUCUAUUAUAGAAACAUGGUUUCGUAAAAAGUGGUCCGUUUUGAAAGUUACACUCUGUUUUUUACUUCCUUUACGGUUACAGACCCGUUGUUAGAACGUCACGGACAGUGAAAGUAAUUGCGAAACUCCUUAGUUGGUUUUAAAGACGAUAAGAUCACGAUUGAGUCACGUCGUGUUGAAGAACAAUAAUUAAUAGGUAAAACCCGGUAGGAGUUAUUAUCUUAGAAUUUUUUCAAGCAUUUAUGAGUAUUAAUCUUGAUCCGAUUUUAUGAUAGUUAUCGUAGUUCGAUAACCACGAUAAUUAAAAAAUAGGAAACCUAACUUUUUACGUACCAAUCUUAUUACACCUGUGAGAUCCCAACUCACUCACCAACUAACUUAUCAUAUUAGAUUGUCUAUUUUUAUUAGUUUACCAAUUUAAAUUGCCACUUUUUAAGCUAUCGUGGUUUAAGAACUAUGAUAGUUAUCAUAGGGUCGGCCUGAGGAGUAUUAAUAAGAUUAGUGCUUUUCUUCGAAGGAAAAGCGCUUCCCUCUUCUUCAGCCUCUCGAGUAAGCCGAGAAACCGAUCGAAGCCUCACUCUAGUUCAUACCUAACAUACAGAAACGCAUGCUUACAUAGCUCAUGCAUCUUCUCACCACCAUAAAUAUGUCUCCAACUUCAUUCUCUUAGAAUGACUUCGAAUCGACCUCUUAGAUAGUACAUAUGAAUUAGACUUUACUAAAAAACCUAACUACACUCCUAAANNNNNNNNNNNNNNNNNNNNNNNNNNNNNNNNNNNNNNNNNNNNNNNNNNNNNNNNNNNNNNNNNNNNNNNNNNNNNNNNNNNNNNNNNNNNNNNNNNNNGUUGGUUGGUGGGUGAGUUAAGAUUCCUCGGGUGAUAGUUGGAUUAGCAUUGGUGAGAGUAGGAUUGGCGUGUAAAAAAGUAGGCUUGCCGGUUUUUCAAUACUCAUGUUUUCCGAGAUAUGAGUAUACUCAUAUCAUCGGGGUCAAUAUUUUCUAAUAAAAUAUAACACAUUAAUUUAUAAAUAUAAUUUUUAUUGUAAAAUUUUGGAUAUAUAUAAUGUACAAAUUUAUAUUGAAUUGAAAUAAAUUAUAAUAAUUGUUACGUGCAUUUGCACGUACAUUCAACUAGUAUAUAUAUAUAUAUAUAUAUAUAUAUAUAUAUAUAGUCCGGCUACUAUACUCUUAUGAGUACGAUCACCCUCGUACUCAUAAGUUGUUUUCGAUGAUAUAUAGAGCUUCCGAAUCGACGAUCUAUACCGUUAAACGUUAUUUAGAGCAUUUAAAACUUCUAGAAAUCAAAUUUUAUAAUUUUUUGACAUCAUUUACCUUACGAUUAAAAGGUCACAAAAUUGACAAUUUUUAACGGCCGGUGUGGGAUACUUGGUAGUUUAACGGUGUAAAAGAAUCGGAAUCGGUUGAAUUUUUGAUAGAAAAUUUUAAUUACUACGUAGAUAAAGAUCAAUAACUCCGAUCUUAAAUUGAAGGAUCUGAUCAUCCAUUUUUAAGACGUCGUUCGAUUUCGACCGUUCAUUUUAUGCCCGCUUGAUGGACUUUAUUAUGAUUUCAAAAAAUUACGAAAUUUAUAUUCUAGAAGUUUCAAAUACUCUAGAUCAUUUUUAACGGAAUGGAUCGUCGAUUCGGAAGCUCCAUCAUCGAAAACAACUUAUGAGUACGAAGGGUCCAAUAUACUCAUAAGAGGAUAGUAGCCCUACUCUCUCUCUCUCUCUCUCUAUAUAUAUAUAAUAUAUAGGCUGGGGCUAUUAUACUCAUAUGAGUAUAAAGCCUUUUGUACUCAUAAGUUUUCGACCGUUUGGAUGAAAAAAUAUGCGGUUAGAAUGAAAGUGGUUACAGUUAGAUAAAUAGUGGGUCCCCAAGAGUUGAGUGGGUGGUUUGUUGAAUAGUAUAAUCUAAUAUAUGAAAAUAAUUAAAGGGUAGAUCUAACGGUAAAAAACUCAUAAGUACAAUAGACUCUAUACUCAUAAAAAUAUAGUAGCUGGACUCUAUAUAUAUAUAUAUAUAUAUAUAUAUAUAUAUCAUAAAUUUUUAAAAAUUUAUGUACAAAAUGUACAAGAAAACAGUAACAAAGAAAAUUUUGUACAUUCAUUAAGAGAUAAAAAAAAAUUUAUGCCAAUGUUCGUUGUCUCGGAAUCAAAAGGAGCUUAAGUACGUACAAAAGUACAAAUGUAACAGUAUACAAUUUUCUAAGGACAUAAUCAUAAUUUUAUAUCAAUCAAUCGGCGCGCAUCCACCGAUCGAAAUUGAACUGCAGGAUAUAUCUGCUGCAUUCAUAACUCAUGCGCCCGAUUCUCCAGGAUUGUCGUUACGGCACCGCGCCCCGACCUCGCAGCCCCUGCUAUGGGGCUCGACGGGCUGCGGGCGGCAAUUCUCGAGCCACGGCCUACACCCAGGGUGAUCCCUGGCGAUUACACGGUAGUUUAGAGUAGGGACGGCAUUGGUUCCGGUCGCCAUCACAGCGCAUGCCAAGAGCGCGAGUAAAAUCCAUGCUCGAGUAACGCACGCCAUCUGUUCAAUCAAAAAAUAUAUAUAUAAAGAGACUUUCUUUCUUAGAACACAAAUACAAUAUAAGGCAAACUAUUACAUUUGUGAACUAUAUAACAAUGAAGUGCAAAACAUAAUAUUACGGUUUAUAGUGGUAUAACAUACAAACGCAGAAAUAAGCUGAACUACAGAUAAGCUAAUUGAAAUAUGUCCUAUUUUAUAACGCGAAAGGAAGGUUAUUUACAAUACCGAUUGAUUGUAGUGCGUGUUCGUCGGGCUAAGAUCGAGUAUGGAUUGUAUGUAUUUGCGUACGAAUGUAUCGAGUACGUAGAAGGUGGUGGUAUUUAUACAGAGGUGGAAGUAAGAGAAACCAACUGAAGCUUAGCUGGAGAACUAUCAUCUAUACUAAAUCUGAAUGAUUUGUUGGAUUAAUGUGAGGAACUGAGGAGGAGCAUUUUUUUCUCUUCAGUAAAAGUUCACAAUGCUCUUUACAGUAGACAACGGAAAAUUAGUACUAUAAAUGGGUUUUUUUGCUUCUGCUUUUAGUUGCUGCUGUUUUUGGAAAAUGUAUAUUAGGUUAAAUAAAAAGGUCUGAAACUUUUUCUAUAGUGAGAAUUAAAAAUAAAAUUUUAUUUAAGCAUAAAUUAAAAGGUUGAAGCUAAAAAAAAAUAGGGGAAACUUCAAAUACCCCUAUGUGGUUUCGCACUUUCUCACUUUAGUAUCCUGUGGUUUAAAGUGUAUCAAAUUAGUAUCCUAUGGUUUCGCACUUUUUCACUUCAGUAUCUUAUGGUUUCAAGUGUAUCAAGUUAGUACCUUAUAGUUUCAUUUUUGUAUCAAGUUAGUACCAUGUGGUUUCAAUUUUCUCUUUUUAUUAUUCAUUUCGGGGUAUAUAAUUUAAUGAAAUAUUAAACCACAUGGUACUAAAGUGAGAAAGUGUAAAACCACAGGUUACUAACUUGAUACAGUUUAAACCAUAGGUACUAAAGUGAAAAAGUUUGAAAUCACAGGGUACUAACUUGAUACACUUUAAACCACAGGGUAGUAAAUUGAGAAAGUGCGAAACCACAGGGGGGUAUUUGAAAUUUCUCCAAAAAAAUAUAAGCUAUUCUGGAAUAACAACCCUAAACCUUUACAUUGAUUGAGAGCCCACGACUUUUAGUUUUUUUAAAAAAAAUUGAGUGAUUUUAGCCAAAUUGAUUUAUAAUUAUAUCAAAUCUAAUGAUUUAAGCAACUUCACGUGAAUAAAAUUAGACUAAUCAACUGUUAAUAGCUAAUAAAGCAAUAAAAUUUAACAAAAAUUUUCAUUUCUGUAAGUAUACAGUAGAUCCGAACUAGUAAGAUUGUCGCGAGCGUUUGAUUUUGCCAACUUUUUUGCGAUUCUAUCAUCGAGAGACAAGAACCAUACUGUUCACUCCGAAGCUAGCCAAAGAGCCGAAUGAGCUCUCCGACUUCUUCUCCCUUCGCGAAAAGGAAGCUUCUUUUCGUGAUUAGAAUAAUUAUGAGGAGUCCGGCUGGGAUACUAUUGAUAGUAUCAAGAAUUUGGUGCUAUCGAAUUUUUCACCGUUAAAUUUAACCAUUUGAUUAUUUUUAUCUGUUAGAUUAUACUAUUCAAUCAACCACUCACUCAACCCUAGAGUGUCCACAUUAUUCUAACCAUGCAUUUUUCAAUCCAAAGGAUAAAAAAUUAAUAGCACCAAUAGCUUGAUGCUAUUGAUAGUAUUUUAGCCUAGUUCUAAUUAUGAGUAUUUACGAACUUUUUUAAGAUUCUAUUAUUGAGGAUGGCCCAAAAUGGAUAAUUAAUAACAAGAAGUUGUGCUGCACUGAGUUAGCACUAGAAUAGCAGAAAUUUUGGUUGAUUCCUCAAAGCGUUAAUGAAAGUGACAGGCACUGCAAGAUUGUUGCCCAGACAUUGGCAUUUCCUUCAUUUUUUGUCUCACAUUGAAAGUUUUGCCUGGUGAAAAAUGCUUUGGUACAAAGAUAUUAUCUGUACUAAUUAUUGAUCGGUAAAAAUGUUUGUAAAGAUCAAGCAGAAAUAACUAUUUACCUUGCACUUACUACUGAUAACCUCGUUAAGCGAGGGUGGACCGGAGACACAGUCUGUGUGCUCUGCAGGGCUCACGAUGAGUCUGUGGACCACCUAUUCACUCAAUGCGUUUUUACCAAGUACACCAUAGUGAUGGGACUCGAGGACCUUCAGGCGGAGGAACUGGGUGACGACGUGCUUGUAGUUUGGGAUAAGUGGAUGGGUGGAGCUGCGGUGCGCGCUAGGAGGAAUGGACUUUCAGAAUUGGUCGCAUGCUGGUGGGUGAUUUGGAAGGCCCGGAACAAUCAUAUUUUUUGUAACCUACAGUUUGACUCUGAUUUAGCCGUUCAAAGGCUCAUGGCACUCCUAACUUCGUGGAAAGAUCUGCUAUGAUUUUUUUUUUUUUUUUUUUUUUUUUGUGUUGUUUUUCUUGAGGCCUUUGUUGCUUCACCUCUGUAGUCAAAUUCAUCCAUUCAAUGAAUGAAGCAGGUAGCGUGCUAUCUAUUCUCAAAAAAAAAACUUCUGAUUUUGAUUACUACAUAAAUUUUCAUUUACUUGAUUUUAGUUGUUUUGUAAUUAUGAGAAACUAUUGUACACACUUGGUGUACUAGUACAUUCUUAUGCUGCAUUUUUAUUGAUUAUUUGUUUUAUUUGCUUUUUCUAUCUCUAACAGCCGAUAAGUUGUCGUUUUUUAGUUAAAAGUUGAGUAAUUGAAUUAACAACAUGAACUGCACUAAAAAAAAAGAAUCUAUACAACAUUUUCAAAACAUGUUUACAAAAAAGUAAAUUUUCUUUUAGUAGGAGCAUUAACAUAUUAAUUAAUAAUAUACAAAGAUAAUAUUCUGGAGAGCUUAUUGCAAAGCCCUUUAUACUCAUAAAUUUUCGACCGUUUGGAUGAAAAAAUAUGCGGUUAGAAUGAACGUGGUUACGGUUAGAUAGAUAGUGGGUCCCCUAGAGUUGAGUGGGUGGUUUGUUGAAUAGUAUAAUCUAAUAUAUGAAAAUAAUUAAAGGGUAGAUCUAACGGUAAAAAACUCAUAAGUACAAUAGACUCUAUACUCAUAAAAAUAUAGUAGCCGGACUCUAUAUAUAUAUAUAUAUAUAUAUAUAUAUAUAUAUAUAUAUAUAUAUAUAUAUAUAUAUAUAUAUAUAUAUAUCAUAAAUUUUUAAAAAUUUAUGUACAAAAUGUACAAGAAAACAGUAACAAAGAAAAUUUUGUACAUUCAUUAAGAGAUAAAAAAAUUUAUGCCAAUGUUCGUUGUCUCGGAAUCAAACGGAGCUUAAGAACAUACAAAAGUACAAAUGUAACAGUAUACAAUUUUCUAAGGACAUAACCAUAAUUUUAUAUCAAUCAAUCGGCGCGCGCAUCCACCGAUCGAAGUUGAACUACAAGAUAUAUCUGCUGCAUUCAUAACUCAUGCGCCCGAUUCUCCAGGAUUGUCGUUACGGCACCGCGCCCCGACCUCGCAGCCCCUGCUAUGGGGCUCGACGGGCUGCGGGCGGCAAUUCUCGAGCCACGGCCUGCACCGACGGUGAUCCCUGGCGAUUACACGGUAGUUUAGAGUAGGGACGGCAUUGGUUCCGGUCGCCAUCACCGCGCAUGCCAAGAGUGCGAGUAAAAUCCAUGCUCGAGUAACGCACGUCAUCUGUUCAAUCAAAAAAUAUAUAUAUAAAGAGAUUUUCUUUCUUAGAACACAAAUUAAUUUUAAAUACAAUAUAAGGCAAACUAUUACAUUUGUGAACUAUAUAAUAAUGAAGUGCAAAAUAUAAUAUUACGGUUUAUAGUGGUAUAACAUACAAACGCAGAAAUAAGCUGAACUACAGAUAAGCUAAUUGAAAUAUGUCCUAUUUUAUAACGCGAAAGGAAGGUUAUUUACAAUACCGAUUGAUUGUAGUGCGUGUUCGUCGGGCUAAGAUCGAGUAUGGAUUGUAUGUAUUUGCAUACGAAUGUAUCGAGUACGUAGAAGGUGGUGGUAUUUAUACAGAGGUGGAAGUAAGAGAAACCAACUGAAGCUUAGCUGGAGAACUAUCAUCUAUACUAAAUCUGAAUGAUUUGUUGGAUUAAUGUGAGGAACUGAGGAAGAGCAUGUUUUUCUCCUCAGUAAAAGUUCACAAUGCUCUUUACAGUAGAAAACGGAAAAUUAGUACUAUAAAUGGGUUUUUUUGCUUCUGCUUUUAGUUGCUGCUGUUUUUGGAAAAUGUAUAUUAGGUUAAAUAAAAAGGUCUGAAACUUUUUCUAUAGUGAGAAUUAAAAAUAAAAUUUUAUUUAAGCAUAAAUUAAAAGGUUGAAGCUAAAAAAAAAAAGGGGAAACUUCAAAUACCCCCUGUGGUUUCGCACUUUCUCACUUUAGUAUCCUGUGGUUUAAAGUGUAUCAAGUUAGUAUCCUGUGGUUUUGCACUUUUUCACUUCAGUACCCUGUGGUUUCAAGUGUAUCAAGUUGGUACCUUGUGGUUUCAUAUUUGUAUCAAGUUAGUACCCUGUGGUUUCAAUUUUUUCUUUUUAUUAUUCAUUUCGGGGCAUAUAAUUUAACGAAAUAUUAAACCAUAGGGUAUUAAAGUGAGAAAGUGUGAAACCAUAUGGUACUAACUUGAUACACUUUAAACCAUAGGGUACUAAAGUGAGAAAGUGUGAAACCACAUGGUACUAACUUAGAUACACUUUAAAUCACAUGGUAGUAAACUGAGAAAGUGCGAAACCACAGGGAGGUAUUUGAAGUUUCUCCAAAAAAAUAUAAGCUAUUCUGGAAUAACAACCCUAAACCUUUACAUUGAUUGAGAGCCCACGACUUUUAGUUUUUUUAAAAAAAAUUGAGUGAUUUUAGCCAAAUUGAUUUAUAAUUAUAUCAAAUCUAAUGAUUCAAGCAACUUCAUGUGAAUAAAAUUAGUCUAAUCAACUGUUAAUAGCUAAUAAAGCAAUAAAAUUUAACAAAAAUUUUCAUUUGGUUGACUAAAUAUAGAGCCUCAAAUAAAAAGAAAAUUAGAAGUUAAAAGCAAUUAAAAAGAGUAAAAUUGAGGGUUCCAUUUCAGAAUUGCCUUUAGUUGAGAUCUUCAUACAUUUUCACCCAAAAUAGAAAAUGAAAAAAAUAAAAUGUGUGCCUAUUCCCCCAUUUUUCUUUUUUAUUUUAAUCACUUAUCGUAGCUUAUUUUAAAUGAUGAACUUUACCAUUUUUACUUUGCUAUUAUAUGGUUUAAACAUUUACACUUAAAUAUCCUGUAAUUUUAUUUUUAUUCAAAAAAUUCACUAUUAAAUAGGAUAAUAAAAUAAUUUUUUUUGAUAAUUACAUAAUAGCUAAGUAUAACUUUGUAAAACACAAAAUGAUAAAAUAAAUAUAAGCUAAACCAAAUGAUGCCUAAAUGCUACUCUUCGAACUACAAAGUAACAAACUAAAUAUGAACUAAACCACCAAAUUAACGUUUACCCUAUUUUAAAACAUAAUAAUGGACAUAUGUUUAUCAUUGCUUUUAAUACAUUUUUUUAUCACUUUUACACAUAAUUUCAAAUCUACUUCUAUGAACAAGAAUUGAGAGAUUCUAUCCUUCUUUAUAUCAUCCAUCAGCCAAAAUUUUAUUUCAAUAAAACUACCCACUGAAUUUACCUAGAAGCAUCAUGAACAUUAUCAUCCGAAGCUAAUACUUGGUAGUUACUAAAUAUACAGUAAUUGAGUUGAUACUUUUUCUUUUUGGCUCCAUUGGUGUCCUGAACACAUGAAUUUUGAGAUUUUUUUUUUCUACUCUUAUUAAGCAAAUAAUUCAAAGUAACGAGUUUCCUACGAACAUAAUGCUUCCCCCACAUAAGACACAAAAUUAUUCAACAACAAUUAUUGAAUCUCUUCUGAAGCCUUUAAACAACAAUACAAUCAUGUAGAAGAGCUCUUCGCGGCUUCGUAGCUCUUCGCGGCUUCGUAGUUAUUUCUGUUGUAUUAUAAGAAGGUGAAAAUCUGCAUUUGAUUGUCCCCAUUAUAUCAAAACGAGCUACAACUUAGUGUACACGACGAAUCAGAUCGUUUUCACUGGCGGUGACCUUCCGGAAGUUGAACAACCCUGUAGAAGGGCACGCUCCUUUGCGGCAACGACCCAUCUUCCUCGUCAUCGUCAAACUCAAGGAGAUAGCUGAUCAAAAUCAAAGAGUUUUUCAGAUGUUAGAUAGUCGAUGUUCAUAAAUCAACAAAAAUAAAUGCUCGAAGGCGCGAAACAUGACACCAAUUAGUGCUUUUGAAGCAAAUAAAUUUAACUCCGAGAAUUAUACGAGGUAAAAGACUUACUCAUCAGACUUCCUCUGACGUUUGCAGAAAGUUUGGACCACCCCAUCACAUGAAAAGAGGAAAAAUAUUAAAAAAAAAUAAAAAAGAAAAUCAGAAAGUUAGCAUAUCAGGGUGCAGGAAAAGUAGGUAAAAGAUUUAAGAAAACCCUUCUUUUUAGAGGUUCAUUACGCAGCAUGGACUGUUAUUAGAUGAUUAACUAGAUGACAUCAGCAUACAAGAAUUCCGAUUGCAAUAACUAGUAAUUGUGCACGUCAUAUGGAGGAUUCAUAUAGUCACAAAGUAACAGCACAAGUUCGGGACACACUUUUCCAUUUAUGCUUGCAACACAUCAAUCAGACCUGAUUUUGGACCCAAUGUUGAGUCGAUUACUCAUGGGUCUCUCUCUCUCUCUCUCUCUCUCUCUCUCUCUCUACACACACACAAGUAUAUAUGUGUAUGAAUAAGCAUGUAUAUAUAUAUAUAUAUAUAGAGAGAGAGAGAGAGAGAGAGAGAGAGAGAGUCCGGCUGCUAUGCUAUCAAUAGUACCAAGCACUUGGUGCUAUCAAGUUUUCUGCCGUUAGAUUAACCCCUUUGAUUAUUUUUAUCCGUUAGAUUAUACUAUUCAACCAACUACCCACUCAACCCUAGGGGGCCCACAUCAUCCUAACCGCACAUCUUUUAAUCCAAGGGCGGAAAACUUAAUAGUACCAAGUCAUUGGUGCUAUAAAUAGUAUUCCAACCUAGUUCUCUCUCUCUCUCUCUCUCUCUCUCUCUCUCUCUCUCUCUAUAUAUAUAUAUAUAUAUAUAUAUAAAUCUUUAAACUAUUUAAAACAAAAUCUAUACUCUUGAUCUUGAUUACAAGACUUCUAUCAUCAUUUUUUAAAGAAUAUACAUUUUCAGCCGUUCAUUUUUGUGUCCACUCGAUGGGUAAGAGAACAAUAUCAAAAAGAUUUGAAAUUUGAUUUCUAAACACUUCAAGUGGUAUAGAUCAUGUUCAAUGGUGCCGAUCGUCGAUUUGGAGGCUUUAUCAUCAAAAACAAUUGGGUGGCAACGGAGCCCGUUUGCUAUCAAUAGUAUUCUAGCUCAACUCUCUCUCUAUAUAUAUAUAGAGUUGAGCUAGAAUACUAUCGGUAGUAAACAAGCCGUUUUACUACCGAUUUGUUUUCGAUGAUAGAGCUUCCAAAUUGACGAUCGGCUCCGUUAAAUAUGAUCUAAACCAUUUAAACUAUCUAGAAAUCAAAUUUCACGCACUUUCGAUAUUGUUCUUUUAUCCAUCAAGUGAACAGAAAAAUGAAUGGCUGAAAAUGAAUACUCUUUAAAAAAUGAUGAUAAGAGUCUUGUAAUCAAGAUCAAGAGUAUAGAUCUUGUUUUAAAUAGUUUAAAAAAUUUUCUAACAAAAAUUCAAUUGAUUUGGAUAUCUUUACGCCGUUAAAUGAGAAAACGCCUCUUAUCGAUCAUNAAACGAAGCCUAAAUCUAGUGGUGGAAAACUCGAUAGCACCAAAUCCUUGAUGCUAUCGAUAGUAUUCCAGCGGGAUUAUAUAUAUCUAUAUCUAUAUACAUAUAUGAAAAGAGUCUUUAUUGCCAUGUGUCAAUCUCACCUCAAUUUUCCUCCCCUCUCUCACAUUCUUACAAAUGAAAAUUAUUGCCUACACCAAAUUUGUUAGUAUAUUACACGAAGCAAACAAUUUUUUUAAUAAUAAAUAUAGCGAAAUCAAAGUUAACCUGAAAUAUGCAAUGCCUGGUAUAUAUAGUCUAUGUAUAAAAGAAAUACCGAGUUUGAAUUUUUAUAAUAGAUUUUAGGAAUACAGUAUAUAAGAUAAGAUACAUUUAUACAUAAUAAGAGGCAUACAUAUAUAUAUAUAUAUAUAUAUAUAUAUAUAUAUAUAUAUAUAUAUAUAUUUACACAUGCAUAUAUGUAUGUGUAUGUAUAUGUAUAUAUGUUGUCAAGUUGCUUAUAAAUCAACAAAAAAUUUAAAGGAUUAAAGAUUGACAGUUGUUAGCUACAAAGAAGUAGAAUUAAAAUAUUGAAGAAACUACUCAGUAAUUAAAGAAAGAGAAGAUCUCUACAUUUCUAAAUAAGAGCAAGAAAGCAAUUAUUGCCUAAUAAACACAACCUCUAGGCUAGCUUCUCUGACAUAUAAACAUCAAAAUACGUUGAUGCUAACAUGAUACUGCAUGCAUGAGAUAGUGUGUAAAUGUUGCAUUACCUUACGGUGUGAAUUGACAACCGUUGCCUUAUACAAUGCCGUCGUCCCAGGAUAAACUGCCAAGACAUGUCUGCCCGGGGGAAAAUCUGGUGCACUGGAAGGAUCCCCCUUCUUCGGAAAAGGAAUAAUGCGCUGCAUAGGCAGCUUGUAUUUUCUACGAAAACAACAUUUAAUUAACAAGACAUUCUUACCAUCUCUCUCGCAAUAUCAAAUGAGCAAUAUAAACUACAUUUAAAACAAUUAAAUGAUAAUUUAUUACAACUUGUCCAACAAUGAUAAAUACACAGUAUAUAUGCACAUAGAAAGAGUUGGACUACACAACACUCCCUGGCAAGGGAUCAAAAGUCUCUAGAAUUAUGAGAAACUCGAGUGGAACCAUAAAAAAUUUAACAAUGUAACCAUUCAGUUCAAUAUAAAACAUUCGAUUGCAUCUAAAUAAGAAAUUAUUUGCUUUGAAGGUCCCUUUUAUGCAUCAAGCAAGUGGAAAAUGGAAGGACUCACAGAUAUAAAAACAUUUCAUGGCAUUGCCAAGAACUUGCCCAAAAGGAUAGAAGUUGUCAAUAAUUUUUUAUAUCGCAUGAUAAUGGCCUUUGUGUAUUUUCAAAUAAGUAUAUCAACAAGCAUAACAACAAGCUUUUUAUUAAACAUGCAUGAACUUUCUAUACGAGUAUAGAAAUAAAUAUUCUUGAUUAUCAUAUUAGUUAGAAAUGAUAAACAGGUAAAGACUUAUAGAAGACAACAGGUAGCCCGAUCAAAGUGAAUAGUAGAAUAGCACGUUGUAUUAGGGACCAAACAAAGUUAUAGAUGCUAAAGGGGUACAUGGCGAAGGUGGCCUGAUCGAUGCGGUUAAGAGUGUGAUUGUCAUAUUAACGGCAAAAACACAACCAAGAAAGCAAAAAGGCCAUAAGUUUGAUGAAGAAGUUGCGAAAAUUAGAUGCCUUGGUACACACUGCUUCCUAUAUAUAUAUAUAUAUAUAAGCGUUAAUUGAGAGUUCGGCAUGAAUUGAGUAUGUAAAUAAAAAAAAAAUACACUAUUUGUCCAUCAACAUAAAAAGUAAUGUGGCAAGCAAUGGCAAGCAAUAUAAAGAAGGGACGGAAUAAGGAAGUGAUUUUUCACCCAAGACCUACCUCUGCAUACUUUCCUCAUCAUCACCUGGCUCCUCAUCAAGCACUUCAUAUCUGCAUGUUCAGGAAGAUCCAUAACAAUCAAUUAUGACAUAUACCGAUGACGUCUAAUCAAGUACCAACAUGUGAUGUUUGAAGAACCUAUUCUACAUUUGCAUAUUAUUCUUGAAAAGAGAUCAUGAUUGAAGCACUCCAAGAAGAUUAUAUAGUAUAACUAUAGCAGGUAAAUGCUACAAUUGUCUUAUCACAGCAUUGAAUCUCAAUAAUAAUUUCUCUGAAAAUGAUACUGAAGAGAUGAUCACAUAAACGUACUCUUUUGCAUCCUUGUCAACAUGUAUAACUUUCACAACAAACCACUCGUCUUUUUCAGCUUCAUCAGGUGUGACCCUAGCUGCCACCUGAAAGUAAUUAAUAUUACUAAUACACACAUUAAAAGGAAACUUGCCACAUGUGCAACUAUAUUAUUAUUUUUACAAAUAGAUACAAUCAACCAGAACAAAUAGUAGAACAAUCAGCAGAUAUAGGGCAAUAUAUAGUCAACACAUAAAAGAACAACAAAUCAAGGAGUUUUUAUAGUUUCUCUUCCUUGCUAUCCAAUAGAUAAUAAGCGACUCCAUUUGCUUUGCAUACUUGUCAAGUAAUUACAUGUCAAUCUAAAGUAUUCAGGAAUUGAAUUGAAGUUAACUCUUUCUAUAUUGGACUACCUAGGGGCUUUUGACCCAAGCUUGAUUGACGCACCUACAAUGAUGCGACAGUGUCGCAUUACAACAAUCUGUUGCGCAACCAAGCUUCAGUGUGAUGCCACCUCCGCUAACCAUUAGUUGCCUUACGAGUUACAGCUAAGUUGAUUAAUGUAGGCAUGCAUUGUCAAAUACAGUAUGCAUUCCAGAUUAGCUUACUAAUGGAAUCACCAUGCAAAAAUCGUAUUGGCACUAUUAAGCACAGUUAUGAACAAAGGCAAAACUUAAUAACAAUCGAGUGUUAGCACAUCUUUAUGCCCAGAGCCUGCAAUGACCACUUGCAAGUCCUUGCGCCACUGCUUAGAAGCAAAAAGAGCUCCCUGAAGACUUCUACUUCACCCAUCAGCUUUGUAACAUGCAGUCUCCUAAGAACCAAGGUAGUCCAACAUAGGACUUUGGUAAGCCAUCACCUUUUUAUCUCUUUCAGACGAUUACACCAGCUAGGCUACUCCAUUAACAUUAAUACUCCGGUGUUUCAUAAGCGAAAGGAACAGAUUUCUUAUAAUAUCAGUUUUUCCUCCACUUUAUAAUGGCUCUCAAACCGUGCCAACGCUCCACAAAGUUCUAAUUUCACUUUCCAUAUUUUUACGCAAAAAUAGUACAUCACAUAGUUGUAAUUAACUAAAAAAAACUAUUCCAUGACGUGUGGGCAUAAUUAUUUCCCUAAACGCACAAAAUGACGGAAGAUUUUUUAUUGUGAACAUGAUUUUCAGGUACUUCAAUUUUUCUGUGUAGACAACUAGAUUUUGUGCUAAUGCCUUCAAGUGGUUCAAAACCCAGAACCAUCAAACUGAUUUCAGAGGCAAUGUUUGUUAUAUAUUGAGUGCAUUAAGGCAAUUGCACGUUUGUUAUAUAUUGAGUGUCCAUUAGCGACAAAUUGAGGAUCUCCAUAAUGAUAAGCCUGUGAGGCUGUGACAAGUUGCUACCACAUCCUGUGACUUGGUGCUUGACUAAUGACUUGUUGAACUAUCAGCGCUUCUUACUUAUUUGCCUUAAAAGAUGAAAUCCAAUGCUUUCAUUUCACGGCUUACAUUUCAGAUUUUAAAUCUUUCGAAAUUCAGAAAAGGCUUCUUUCUUAUAUAGAAGAUCAGAAUCUGAUUUAUCACCAAAAAAAUGGCUUUUCUAAAGAAAUUGGGAGCUGACGUUUCUUAUGUAGUGAGUCAACACUCAACAAUUGGUAGUACUGUAUAUAUCUCAAAGGGUACGCUUUCUUUAAAUAUGCACCUCUCACGUCUGGGAAAAAGUAGUUUCGCUGAGAAUUUUAAGUUUCUUUGUUUGUGAAUAUGCCUGUCCAAAGGUCACAGGCUUGCAUAAAAAUCCUUUUGAAAACUCCAAAAUUUUGCAUAAAUACUGUAUGAAUAGGUGGUAUUUCUAUAUAAAAGAGCAUAUAAGAAACAACCAUUUAUGAUGAAUACUUACGUAAAUAUGCACUUUACAAGAAUAUUCGCAUGAAAAGGUUCUUUUAUCUUAAUAUUGUUAGUGAUGCAUCAAUUACUCAAACAAUACUAACGUAAAUAAGUUUGUAAUGCAUAUGGCUGUCAUUAUGGGUUUUAAGUAAUGAUGCCAGCUGGAUCCUUGAGUUGCAACAUUACUUCUUCAUGGAAGCAACAAAUAGAUAGAAGCAAAAGAAUAAUUUUGUUAAAUUUUGAUGAUACAUGGACCAGAUGCUCCAAUGCACCAAAACAAUUUCGGAGUUGAAAUGGAAAUGUUCAACAAUAGUAAGCACUAGUCUUGAACAAACUAAUUAGACAGUUACAACUGCCUUCACAUGUUCAUCUCUGCUGUGAAAAUUGAAUGCGACGAGUUCAUAUAAUGAAUUCUCAUAAUGAAAUUCUCAACAUCUGCUAGCUUUUGAUUUCUUUAUAUAUACCUGCUCUCCUUUCAGAUUUGCAGGAUGGUCGAGUUGGUUUCUCAUUGAUGCAGCUGGUGGAAAUCGUGCAUUAUCUCCAUCAAUCUUCAUCCGCUUCUUUUUCUGCUCACUGCCUUCUGCAUAAACCACCAGUUUAUAAGAUAAGAUGCAUAGAGAAGAAAACAAAUAACUCUGGUUUUACAACUAUGACUUGUUGCUAAACAGUGUAAAAUUUGAGAUUUCAAAAAAUAUCUUAACAUACAAUUGAGUCAUUUAGAAACUAAAACAUUUCAUUGGAAUGAAUACAUGAAGUCAACAAUUACCAGAGCCUGAUAAAUAAGCCUAGCAUUGAAAAAAUGAAAUAGUGUUACAGCAUAUUUUUCAUGACUCUACCUAUGGAAUCAAAGGAAGCUCAGAUUAAACAGAUAUACUGCAAAACAAAACAAAAUCGCACUCGAAUUCAGCAUAGUGCAUUGUAAGGAAAAUAAUGAAAGUUAGUUAAUAAUAAGCACCUAAACUCUCUGCCUGAAAAAAAGGAAGUACUCCACCUAGUUUAGCAAUACAGAGAGAGUACUAAAAACAAUGAUUUAUCUGUAAGUUUAAAAUAACAUAAACCAUAGUGCGCUGUCUUUGUUUCAUUAGGGUCUAUAUAUAAAGGCGCCAAGCACGUGUAAAAUACCUACCUAAUUUUCAUGCAGAUAACAGCAAUGAUCACUUAUUCAUCUGAAUUAAGUUAUCUAUGCACUAUGUUCCAUGAACCACAUUUUUUUUUUCUAGGAUCACGCAACUCCUAAUACCCUAAAAGCAACACGGAAUGUCCAUCACAAAGCAUUAAAAGAUGCCAUUCCAAGUUUAGAAAAUAAAAAAAGGAUUUGAAUAUAGGAUUGAAAGCUAGUCCUGACUGUCAAAUUCUCCCUGAUUCGAAUUCCUACAUGCCAGGACAUCAAACAGACCAGUUGAUAUGGUGGACACUCAGGAAUAGCAUGAAAUAGCAGGGAAAAAUAGUCAAUGAUUGCAUCCAAAGUUAAGAUAUGUCAAUCAUGUCCAUCAAAUUAAAGAACUAGUUAUUUUAAACUACUAUCUUAAAGUACAAAUUCUGUGGGAUAUGAAUGCUACAAUACAGACAACAAAAAUAGAUGGCAAUUGAACUAGGGUACCAUAAUAUCCUUUUAAACAUGAGAAUAGAAGUUACAAUAGAUAAUAAAUGAUAGCUUACACCAAGGUUCAUAGCAAAAGCAUAUGGCAUAAUUUUAACUUCAAAAACAUAACAUCCUUCUUCCAAUUUUCAUGCUCACCAAUCUUUUUUCUUUGUGGAACUGUUAGUCCAGACUGCAGCAGAGCAUCCAACUGGCUCAUCAAUACAUUUGAAACACUAAGCAAAAAGGCAAAUCACCUCAAUUAGAAGGAAUGAAAGUAGGAAAAAUUCGUAACCACAAACUUGAAACAUGCAUAUGCAAAUGUUACACCAAAAGCACACGAAGCAUGGCCCAGAUAACAAUUUUAAUAGAUAAGAAACAAGUUACACAAAAAGCAUAAGAAGCAAUUAGGUUAUUGACUAUAAUCAAGUUUAAUCCACAGCACUGAUGAAAGAAAAUAUGCACACCCUAGACUAUUUGGGGAACACAGAGGAACUUUUUAUUUGGUAUACAUGCUGAUAUUAGCCAAACCAGAAUCUUAUGUUUCAUAAAUGUAGAUAUGUUGUAACCCUGCCAGUCCAUGGCUAUUGAAUUUGUCUUUUAACAACCAGUUCCCAAGCCCCCAAAAAGGCGAUCUGCAACAAAAAAUCUCAGUAGAUUUGUCAAGAACUACAAAUUUUAAUAUUUAUGAUGUGCCGGAGAGUGAUCUUGCCUAAAUAACUGGGACAUCAAUAAGUUUAUUUCAUGGAACAAACAACAACAGAAUCAGAAAAGAAAAAAAGGAACUACUGAACAUUUAAUUCAAUAAAAAGAGAAAUCACUACACCAUAAGGAAAUACUGAGUCAUGAUUCAUCAUUCUUGACACACCUCACUUCAUUUUCUGAAAGGUCUUUGGCAGUAGCAUAUAAUUGUCGGAGCUUACCCAAAUGAUUAUCUGGUGCUUUCUCGCUAAAAUCCGAAACUACAAUCACAAACAGAAGGGAGUUAGUUCCAAAGGAACAUCAAAAUAUAACAGGUCAACUUUACAGAAAAAGUCACUUUUGGCAAAUGAAUGAAUACUGAAUAGUGCAAUGUCAAAUAAUAAAUGCCAAAAUGGGGACUUAUAUUGAUUUACUUGUUACUUUUUCUACAAAAUCAAUUAAGUAGCUCCGACUAGUGCUUUUGGUUACUCCCAACAUAAUUUUCCUCUAAAUUAACUUACACAUGCUUGAAAGUCCUGUGAGUUAUAUGCUGAAAUUUUGCAACCUGCUGUUAUAUAGGAGUGUUCAACACCAACUAAAACUCGUGUUUACCUAAAAUGAAUGAGAAAAGUUACUGAGGUCUGAAAUUUUAGUGGAAAGUUCUUUGUACUGCAUAAGUCCGUACACUGAAGUCCUCAUUUCUUAGGUCUCAUUACCGUCUACUUUUCUACCGCAAAUAGUUCGGUUUCGAGUCUAGAACUCAUAUCAUCUUGACACUCAUCAAACUAAAAUACAAAGAAAAUUGCAAGAUAGUCACUACAAAAGAAAUAAACAAACCCGUAAGCGUAGCUCAUAACAAACUUUUAGAGGCAGGUUUUCGUAGUUAUAUCUUAAGAAGGAACUUUCUGAAGGAGACAUUCUUCUCCUUAUCUAUGAUUAUAUUCUAAGCUAGGAAUGGCUAUCUUUUCAUAAAAAUCAUCCACAAAAUUGUACUCUUCCAAAUAAAUCACUCAAAGCAAACAAUUACUCCCUCAUCAUUGAUACAGUUGUCAGUAAUUAAUCACAUAACAACAAACAAAAUCUCCCCAUAAAAAACAAAAAACAACUCUUUUUACAGUGUAGAUUGGUCCUAGCAGUGUGUGCAUUUACCAAUCCCCCCAAUCAUCAUAAUCCCCGAGACAACUUGAAACCAACACAAACAUCGAUCCACCAAAACCCUAGACACCCAAACCUUAAUCUCAAAUCACUGAUUCCACAAAACCAGAUCAAGAUAGGGCAAAAGCAAAUUAGAUUGUGAGGAGCUCACGCAUUUUCCUGUGGAGCUUGUUGAUCUCACUGAUGACUUCCUCCUGCUCCUUCCUAAGCUGAUCGAGCUCCUUGGAUUUCUCCAGAAGCGUCGCCAUAUCCACCCCCGACAUUUUCCUUUUUCCCCCCUUUUUUUCGUCGAAUUUGAUUGGAUAUAGCGGCGGGUGCUCGAUCGAACGAGGCGGAGAAAAGAAGGGUUUUUGCUGUUUCUCCUGCAAUUCAGGGAAAAGACCCUCCCCCAACCCGGACAAAGUUCGGACAAUUUCUAUUUUGGCCCCUGACUUUAAAGAUAAUGUUCAAAACUCCUUGCCAAAUUAUCUUUCCUUAUUUGUCUUUGGACAUUAAGUUUUUUUUUUUUAAAAAAAAAAAUCUCAGCUUGAUCAUGUUUCAAUUGAGUUUAGAAUUGUCUAGUCACUAAGAUUUUUUAUAGUCUUACUAUUUGAAUAUGAUAUCUAUAUAGAAAUUAAAAAAAAAUAAGUUAUUAGACAAGAAGUAAUAAAAUUAUAAUUAAAGAAAAGGUUUUAUAUGAUUUGUUUAUAAGAAAAGUUUUGUAAAAAAAUUAAAAAGAUUAAGUACAAAAGUGUUGACAGUGUAUCUUAAUUUCCAAAAAUAUAUAUAUUUACUAAGAAUUAUCUGUAAAGGGCACAAAAAAAAGGAUUUAAGUGUAAAAGUGUUGAUGGUGUAUCCUAGUUUCCUAAAAAAAUAUAUAUUUACUACGAAUUAUGUGUAAAAAAGAAAAAGAUUAGGUAGGUAUAAAAGUGUUGAUAGUGUAUCUUAGUUUCCAAAAAUAUAUGUAUUUACUAAGAAUUGUGUGUAAAGAGCAAAAAAAAAAGGGGGGAUUAAUAUAAUAAAUAUAAAAGAAAAGAGUUUGGCAAUGUAUCCUGGUUUCCUAAAAAACAUAUACUUACCGAGAAUGAUGUAAAUAUAAUUAAAAAUAAAAAUAAAAAUAAAAAAUAAAUCCGAGCCCAACUUAAGAGCCCAAAAUUUUGUGUUUUGUGUGCUUAACCAGCCCAACCCCGACUAAAUUUAUUUGGGCCGACCUAGGACUUAGCAUGGCUCCAUUAGAAGCCGGCCCACAUUUAAUUUGCGACACCUAAUAGUCCUACAUCGGAACGGAAUAAAAUUAUCAUUAAGUAUAUAAGAAGACAUUAUAUUAGUAAUAAUAAUCGGACUUAAGUAUUUUGGACCAGUAGUUUGAGCUCAACAAGUUAUUAUUGCUAGUAGAUCGGAUCGUUACAUUUAGUACCAGAGCUAAUUCACCAGUCAAAAGUAUGAUGAUCACCUAAAUGGAGGUAAAUGUUACGAUCGUUACCGUUCCAGGGUUCAUAGAAACUUUAUUAGGAACGCAAAUGAGACCUCUUUCAACUUUUUAAAAAAAUCUAUUUUUAAAAAAAAUCUAUUUUUUAUCUUUAUUUAUCGCUUCGUAAAAGACGUGAAUAAAUUUUUAGUGAAUUUUUAAUUAAUUGAUACAAAUCAAAAGCGGAUAGUAGUCUCUCGGCUUUCGCUUUAAUUUUUUUUUUUUUUUUUUUUUUUUUGUGUGUUGAUCGAAUCGAGUUCGGAACAAAUUAAUUUUUUCCUUAUUUUUGAUUCACACCGACCCCGCACCCAGGGCGAAUCGGGCCGGAGCUCCAAUUACUACCCGGAUCCAUUUACAUCCCUAUAUCCUAUUAUAAAAAAUAACGGGGAUAAAGUCCCCGGAGUAGUAGCCGUUGCCCGUUCGUUUCCGCUCCUUCCCAAAACAUUCGCGCGAUGCUCCUCCUCCUCUCCAAUUCCUCCUCCCCUCUCUUCCACUGCGCGAAUCCCCGCCCCUCUCCUCCGAAACCCUACAUGCGAAUCCACUCCCCUCUCCACUCGCCCCGCCCUCGUUCUCCCACCCCUCGAACCCACCUCUCCGCCGCGCUCCACCCCGUCGCCCUCCCCGACCAGGGCGGCGCCGAGGAGGAGCUCGCCCCGCCCUCGGCGGCGGCGGUGGCCGCCGCAGUCCGCCGCGCGUCGGCGGCGUCGCCUGUGGAGUUCACGCGGCGCCGCGUGGAGGAGAAGGAGGGGGAGGAGGGCGGCGGGGUCGUCAUGCCAAGCCCCGAUUUCCGGCGCCUCUGCGUCGAGCAGCUGCAGCUGUUCCGGAUGGUCGUCCAUCGGGAUGCUGCGUUGUCGGUAGGUUUGGAUUCAUUUCGAUUUGGGUUCUUUGGCAGUGAAUUAUUAGCUUGUGUUAAUCUGUUUCUGUAGGAAAGUUUCGAUUUUGUUUGGCGAAAAAGGCAUGCUUUGGAUUGUGUAUGUUGUAUUCGACAAGGUUCUGUUUGAUUAGUGCUGUUAUGAGAGGCACCAUAUAUUGAAAUUCCCCUAAUUAACCUCUCUUUGCAGCGGAAUUAGAAGCUUCAAGUUGCAGCUUCUGUUAUUAGGCCUUGAAAUCUCCAUUUUGCUUCCCAUCGUAGUAGAAUCUCUACAUGUAAGUACUAUGUUUAACAUAAUAGCAGUACAGUGCCUGAGAGUUAAAUCCAUGCUGUCGAGACCUAUGAUGAUGCUUUGCCAUAUCUUUGUAGCGUUGACUAUAUAUUUGAUCUGUUAUACCUACUAUUGGCCAACAAAUUUGGAACCAGUGGCAAUUUUCAUGACACUUAUCCAUGCUGAUAAUAUGUUGUUACUCGUGGUUUGACGAAUUCUUCGUCCGCUCUUAGGUGAUACUUUUUUAAUGUCCAUUUUGCAGGUCUACGUUAGGCCAGCAGGCAGUUAUGUUAUGGAUCAGUUAGAACUGCGUCAAGUUGCUAAUUUCCCGGGAAUUGAUGUUCCUGAGAUUUCGCAGUGUAUCUUAUUAGUUGCCAAUUUUGCUAUACCUGCUGGGCUACGUGCGGCUGAAGCUGCAUUGCUGAAGCAGCAAGUGUGGUGUUCAAGUAAACUUACAUUUGCGGCAGAUAAUAAAGACACUUAUCUCAUGUUCUGAUAAAGGUCUUAUUUUUGUAUGUUUAUGAAUUAUAGGUGGACUUUAUACCUGAAUCUAGAUCUUUCGUUCUUCCAAUGGUGAAACAUCCAUUUCUUGUGGGCUUCUUAGUUGUGGAGCUUCCAAAAUUGGAACUGGCUACAAAUAUGGAUGCACUUGGUACUGAAGAACAGUUACUGUAUAACCCUCCUAAAAAUAGAUCAUAUGAUUUGCCUUCACGUUCCUAUGGAAAAUUGUGGGAAAUUCAGCCUUCUGGAGAAGAUUUGCAGAAAGCUUAUGUUCAGUUUACUAAUGAGCAGAGAUCAAGAGCUAUUAUGAUUUCUAAUUCUUUGGCCAUGGCAUACGUCAUGGAUCAGGUACUUCAGAAUUAGCCUUUUGUUCAUUUUACUUUCAAAUUCCAUGCGAUAACAUAUCCACACCUUGACUAACUUUUCCCAGUAGGCUUUCUUUUAUUUUUCCUUAUACAUAAACUUGUAAAAGUUGUAAGUUUGAGUAUGCAAAAACCGAUUACACGUGAUAAUGAAUAAUAUAAUGAUGUUUAGACAUUUACAUUUUUAGAUUGAUUUGGUAAAUUCCAGUUCUGCUGCUGGAAGAUGCCACUUCUCAGCUGAUGCUGGUAUCUAUUAUUCUUCUCGACUGAUUAUAGUUGGUGAAUUUCAUAUAUGAUUUUUCUUAACUAAAGCAUAUCAGACUUUCAAUAUGCAUAUUCUCUUGUUGACAAGUAGAAAAGUCAUCACUUCUUCAGCGACACUAUUUUUAUGUAUAGAAGAUUUAAGGAUAGUUCCGUUGGUUGCAUCAACUUAAACGCUUAAUGUCAUAUCAAUAAAUUCAGAUACUAUGGGUUUCAACUAUUAAUGAUUCAUCUCUUGACAUAUCCAAACAUACAAAGAUAACUCUUUGGUUUCUGUUUUUCGUUCAUUUCAGAAAGCAUUGUUGCUCCAACAAACAUCCUGGCAAAAUAAUGUCAGAAUGAGUCAUUUAGUAGAACAAGUAAGUCUUUCGUCUGUUAUUGUGUAUAUAUGUAUUUGGUACUGUACUGAUCAAAAUCUUAUGCUGUUGAACUUUCUGUCAGAUUCGUGGACCUCUUGCCAGCAUAAGAGCUCUUGCAAAAAUGUUGUCUCUUCAUCUGAAGAGAACCGAGGUGUGCAUAUUUAUGAUGACAUAAGAAGCUACAGACUAUUGAGAAUCUAUGACUGUGGGAAGGUAAUAUCUUCAUUUUAUCACAGAUUCCUUACGAUAUCAUCGAAGACAUACUCAUCCAAGGCGAUCAUAUGAAAGAUGCCUUGCAACAAAUUCAGGAUGUAGUCUAUCUCACCAAGGUAACACUCAGACCCAUUUCUUUAUAUUGAGUCAUAAUAAUUUGGGAGAUGCAAUUUUUGUUUAAGUAUAACCCAUCAGUCCCAUCCUUAAAUCAUGAACUCCAUUUACAUAUUGAACCUGAAUAAAUUUGUGGACAGCAAUGUUAUUGAACUCGAGGGUAACUGUGACAACAGCAUUAACUGUGGCAGUACAAUAACAUGCAAUGAAGGGCUACAAUAAACUCAUAACAUCAUUCUUUUUGAGAGUAAUGUGAUUCUGAGUAUGCAUAUCUCUUCCUGUGAUCAGUAAACUUUGCCAGGCUUUUGGAAAUGUAACUGGUGAGAGACCUUGUUACACUUGUAGGUUUCUUCAAAAGCUUCUUUUGAUAACCAAGUUGAAUCAUCAUUCACAUUCACUGAUCACCAAGAGAUUCUUUCUUAUGAUAACCAAGUUGAAUCAUCAUUCACAUUCACUGAUCACCAAGAGAUUCUUUCUUGCCUAGUUCCCUCAAAAAAUUACCCCUACCAAAUCCACCCCACUCCCCAUCCCAACACCCCGCCACCCGCCCCCCUGUGACACACACACACUCUUCUCCUCCUUUUUUAUUUUUUUUUUGCCAUAUACGGGUAAAAUGUUGUCAUUUUCUCAGUGUGGAGAUAUCUUGUUGUGCAACUUUUUUCAAGAUCACGUAUUGCUUCUUGUUCUUCAUAACAUGGCACGUUCAGUUUGUUUUAUGGAUUUUUCCAGGCUAACAUAGUACGUUGCAAUGAUGAAACACUAAAGAAGAAGCACAGUUCAGCAAAUGGUCAGUUAAAACCUUACCGAUCUUUGCCAUCGGAGAAUAGCUCAGAAGAUGUUGAAAACCUUGGUGUACAGAAGGUGGAUUCAUUACUGCCGCUAGUCUCAGAUAGAAAGGACACCGAGAUGCCUAUGCCACCACUUUGGCUUAUACCUCUUCAACAAUAUAAUACUAGGUAAUAUUUGGCACCAAAUAAAUGGCUGUUGCCAUUAAUUUAGAUCCCAAAUUUCCACAUUAAUUUCACUGGUUUGAUUUGGCAUCAUAGCUUUUGAUUUAUAAGUCUCCUCAUUUUGUGGUUUGACCUAGAAUGGGAUGUGUAACACCAAAUAUAUUUGUUGGAGAAAUUUCAUUCAGAUCCUUGACAUUUCAGGCAAUUUUAAGAAAGUCUGUGACUUCUAUCUUUUCGUAUAAAUCCCUCAUGAAGUCUUUAUUUCAUAAAAGUCUCUAACGAGCAUCUUUUAGCUAAAUCUAAGGCAAUUUCUUAUUUCCUUCUACAGUAUUAUGUUUCUCGUAGUGAAGAAAAUUGUCCAUCUGAUGAAGUGAUGUUGGAAAAGAGGGCUGUAGUUUGCGUUUUCAUUUGAUAAAGGAGACAGGUGAGCAAAAAAGUGAAUUACUGUUGGGCGGGGAGUGACGAUUGGUUUUGUGCUGGUUCACUUCAUUAUAGUUCAUUCUUCAUCUUUUAGCAUGCACACCCCUAUCACUCGAAAUAUCAAGACUUGGUUUUAUAUGAAAAAUUUAUAAUCCUAUGAGUCAAAUGAACUUAUUAUAACAACUAUUAAAUAUAUGUAAAACCUUAAAAAUAGCACCAAUUAUAUCCACGAAUACCAAGAUACAUGUAAGUCUUCAGGUAAAAAGAUCUUAUAAUAUGAAAGCAACCCAUUGGUUUUAGUUAUUGGCUGUAUUGUACUAUUUCUAAAUUCAUCGUGUCUGAUUUGUUCCAUUAAGGGUAUUCUGAAUUACCCUGAAAAUACUGGCACAAUUAUUCCUAGGUAUCACAUAUCAUUUUCCUCUGUUGUCUUUAUGUCAGGCAGACCAUGCGAUGUCUCAGAUGUGUUAAAGGAUUUGGUCGAAGCUGCUGCACCACUUGUUAAUAAGCAGCAACGCUCACUAGAACUCGGUGGAAUGUCUCAUCCUCUCCUAGUUGCUGUUGAAGAAUCUUCUCUGAGACAGGCACUCAGUAAUCUCAUAGAAGGCGCUCUUCUGCGGACUCACAUUGGUGGCAAAGUUCAAAUAUAUGCAGGUGGAGCACCUGGUGGCGGAGCACUUAUUGUCAUUGAUGAUGAUGGGCCUGACAUGCAAUACAUGGUAACUACAAAAUCGCUUGUUUUCUUCUUUUCUUCAAUUUUAGGUAUUUUCUUUGAAUUUCUGUUCCACGAUAGCAGGCAAUAAGUAGCUACUCAUCAGCUUCUAAAUGUAUUCCGAAUAGCAACAAUACCGUCCCAAAAUUUUCCUUUUGUUUUCCUUUAUAUUCAGCAGCAAAGUGAUAACAAGCUCUAUAUGUUCUGGGUUUUGUUGUAGAUGAUAACUCUGAAAAAUGGAUUAUGUAGGACUCGACACAUUGCGUGAAGUAAAAUGCUAGGACCAGAACAUAUAGAAGUCGAAUAAACGAGUUGCUGGAUUAACUUUAAUCUUGAGAUGGCUGAACUCUCUCUCUCUCUCUCUCUCUUUGUUAUGUGUUACAUUAUCUAUCAUUUGCUUGCCAUUUUUGUUUAAGAUUCAUAGCAAGCAUCAGUAUUGCUGGUUAGCUUUUCUCAGUAUGUUCGUAUUACCAUUUAGCUGACCACUUGACAUGCUUAUGUUUGUAAGCUGUUUGAUCAUGACCUAGAUAAAAAUAGAAGUUCGUCAACCUGUGCAUUUGCUUUCAUCCCAUUUACUCUCAUGUAGUUGCCACAUUGUGUUUUCAGACCCAGAUGCGUGCACUCACUCCGUUCGGAGUAGACCUUUUUGCGGAUGGUAUGCUGGAGGACAACAUGACGUGGAACUUCAUCGCAGGUUUGACUGUAGCUCGCGAGAUUCUGGAGAGCUUCGGCUGUGUCGUUCGCGUCGUCUCGCCCUGCAAGCCCAAUGCUACCAUCGGUACGGGAGGGACGCAUGUCGAACUAUGGUUGCCCUCUGUGCAGUCCGACUCGGCCCACCAGCAAGCGCAAGAAGCGUAGGUAAAUUUAUCUGUUUUUUCGGGUACUUACUGUUGUAAUCUGUAAGCUUCUUGUUUGUUCAUUCAAUAGUAUGUACAUAGUGUUGGCGGAUGAUUAGCAGUGGUGUGGACAAUUUAAAAGUUUGGUAACAAUAUAAUCAGGUUAUAAUUGACUUAUAUGAAGAUUGUUUAUGUAUAAUCAUUGUUUAAUCAUGCUCACAUUGUUAAUCCGUGAUACUUUUGAGAUCUCAUCCACUGUUUAUUCAUGCUCACGUUGUUUUCUUUUUAAAAUUCAUUUUUAUACGCUUUACAUUUCAUCUUUUGUUUGUGUAAUAUUCGUGCCUUCAUUUAUUUUGAUACUUGAUAUUCAGGCUUUAAGUUGCUACAAUUAAUCAAAUUAUCGUAUUGUUAAGGACGCAAGCUACAACAUGGAUGGAUCCUCUCGAAAUCAAAAUUUAGUCUUGUAAUAGAACGGAGGCUAAAUUGCACUUUUGAUCUUCAAACUACGAGAUGUGUGAUGCUUUAAUUCUCAAACUUUAAUUUGCUGUAAAAUUUCAAUUCAAACUUUGUAGAUGAUCGCAAUUAAGUCUCCCGAUGUAAUUUAGUUGAUUGAAUGAUGAUAUAUUGUUGAUGCGAUAAUGUUGUGAUAUUUUAGUCAUUUUUAUGUCGUCUGUCAUAAUACUAGUAUAUUAAUGUCAUGUUGACGGCAUAUUACUAUUUGAUCAACUAAAUUGUACUGUAAAAAUUGAUUACAAUAAUCUAAAAACUUCAACUCAAAAUUUACGACAAAUUAAAGUUCGAGGAUCGAAGUAUAUCGCACCUCACUGCUUGACGACCAAAAAUGCAAUGUAACCCAAAAUAGAAUAAUUUUUACCAAUUUUACUUCCCAAAACAUAAAUGUCGCAGCUGUGAUUAAUUUUACAGUCAAGUACAAAUUCUGAGUUUAUUAUUUCUCGAUCUAAAACCGUCUAAAAGGCUUGAAUAUCAAUUAUUAUUUUUAAAAAAAUUCUAUGAUUAUUUAAGUUACCGACCAUUUAACGAGACAAAACAUUAAAAAGAAAACCUCGUUUGACGUAACGCAUGAGAAAUUAUUAAUGAAGCAAAUUAAUGCAAAAAUGAAUCUCCCCUUCAACUCCUUAAUUAGUGCUUUGACUUUUCUCGCACUGUCCAUUGUUAAAGUCAAACUAAAGGAAAUCAAAUAGUAAACACUAACUAACUAACAAUCUCAAAAGCACGUGCUGAUAGAAAGGACAUACCCAUCAAACUUAAAGAGCUCAAUCACAGUGCUCACAGGCUUCAACAUGACUCAAUCCAUCGGAACGUUAGGUUUAUUGUUGGGCUUCGUGCCAUUAGGUUUUUCGUGGACCGCAAUCCUACUCAACUUAUUACACUCACCCAACUCAACUUAUUAGUCUUCCGAGCCUAUUGUUUCAGGGGUAGAAAGUUGAAGCUAUUUUAACCAAAUAAUAAAUAGCCAACACUUGGAACCUUUGAUAUUAACCAUCAACCGACCGUCCCUAGAGCAAGUGGCAAAGGGCUUGGUGGUUGGUACCCGAGAUCCAAGUUCGAAUCCUAGUUGAUUCAUAUUUCCAACUAAGUUUAUUUCUAAAUGAAAUAAACAAAGCGGGUAGCGUGCUACCUAUCUCUCAACAAAAAAAUAAAUAGCCAACACUUGAAACCUUUGAUACUAACCAUCAAGCUUAUAUUGUAUGUAUCAUUGGUUGAGAUAUAUUCUUUGCAGUUCAACGGAAAAAUCGAAACGGCCCUAAGUCGAGUGAGAAAAUGGUUCUUGGAUAAUAAAUAAACUAGCAUAUAUAUAUACAUAUUUGGAGAAUUUACGAGGUGGGAAUGGGUACGAUAAAGGGUUAAAAAAAAAAAUAAAUAAAAAUGAAAUGAUUAUUUUAUUUUAUUAUAAAAAUAUAGUAAAAAAACUUUUGAUUGAAUAUUAAUAUUCCUAUAAUCCUAUUCCCGUAAUCAUCUGAUGAUGGGUUUCUGAAUCUGACCUUCUCACCCUCGGUUUUAGCCUCAAAACCCGCGAGAGUGAACGGCAUGAUCACGCCAAACCUUUAAUUUCCAAACUAUUCGCUGCACCCGGUUCACCACGCCAUCUCAUGCACAGUAAUCAAAAUAUUGUUUCUGUACAAAGCAAUGCUAUUCGCACGUUCCAAAAUUAUAUACACAUCUCAUACCCACUUUAUUGUAAGACCAUUGUUGAUAUUCAAUUUAUCAUAUAAAUUUUUUUUAUUUUUACUAAAAAUAAUUUAAAUUUUUAUCAACCCUACAAUUAGUUUUACAAACGAGGCAGAUCUGGGGGCGGGAGGGUUCUCCCACUUUCCGCUCUAUUUCUUGUGAGAGGAGGGCGGGUUAUUUUUUAUUUUAUUUUUGGCUCUUACUUACCGCUCCAUUCGAGGUGAAUCGAGGCAGCAGCGGAUUUUUGACAGAUUUUUGACGAAUCGAGACAGAUUGAAAGAAGAAAAAGAUCUUUCGUCACCCGCUCUAUUUACUCAAUGUAUCAGAGUGAAUUCGGAAUGGAUUAUAUUUUUUUAUAUUUUUCGUUCCCACUUACCGUCCCAUUCGGAACGAUCGAGACGAGAGCUCCACCAACUCGGAUCCAUUUGCAUCCUUAUUAUAGUAGAAGGUGUAAGAUCUACACUCUUUUUUUUUUUUUAAUGUAUAAGGAGCUUUUUUUCUUUUGUAAAAGAUAUUCUACAUAAGAUUUCUUAUCCGCUUUAUACAUAAAAAAUAAAGUUGGGAAAAAUAUCAAAAAUCACAAAUAAAAACAAACCUUUCUAAGUUUCUAAAUGAGAUGAUGAUGACAUUUGAAAUUCAGUGUUACUAUUUAUUAUUGAUUAUACAGAGUAUCAGUGGGGUAAAAAAAAGAGUUUAUUAGAUGCUUACAGAGGCCGAGGUAGAAAUGAAAAGACGUAAACUUCAAUUUGAUCUACUGUUGUUUAGCUUAUUUUUAUUUUAUCAUUUUAUAGUUCAAAAAAUUAUACUUAAUUAUCUUAUAAUUUUAUUUUUAUUUAUAUCAAAAAUCAACUAUUAAGCAGGAUUACAAACUAAAAUUUUCUAAUAACUAAUUUUUUAAUCACAAAACAACAAAAUAAAAAUGAGCUAAAUAAAAAUGAGCUAAACCGCACAGUUUUUAAGUGCUUCAACAUUUUAAACUGUAGAAUAACUAAAAAAAUAAGCAAAACUACAGUAGGAUAAAUUAAAAUUUAUUUUAAAAAAGGGCUAAGUUAAAACUUACACUUUGUCCUCUUAAAAAAUAAAAAAAAUAAAAAUUGUUCUUUGAUCUCCGCCGUCAGUGUUUCAUUAGGAUUCCGUUUAUAUCUUAUUUUUUAUACCCAAAGUACUCUUAAAACUCUCAUCCUUUCUCAUCCUCGGCUGCGCCGCCUCUCUCGCCGCCGCACCGCCUCCCCCUCCGCCGCCUCGCCCUCGACCAUCUCUCUGUCCAUGCCUGCACACACGCCUCCGCCGCCUCCCCCUUGCCCUCACCCACCUCUCUGUUCACGCUCACCCCGAAAAAGAUAAGAGGUAAUUUGAUUAUUUUGUCACAGUGUAUUUUCUUAUGAAUAAUUUUUAUUUUUAAAAUAAAUAAAAUAUAAAUUUUUAAAUGAAAGAGAGAGAAAAUAAAAAAAAUAUUGAUAGAAACAUUAUUUUCUGUAAUUUAGCCAUAAAAAAUAAGGGAAAUAAAUUGAUGUUGCAUAUGAAUAUAAAAGAGCAGUGCAAAGUUUUUUUUUUUUGAGAGAAAGGCAGCAUGCUACCUAUUUCGUUUAUUUCAUUUAGAAAAUAACUUAGCUGGAAAUGUAAAUCAACUAGGAUUCGAAUUUAGGUGUCAGAUAUCAAUCACUAAGUCUUUUUGCCACUUGCGCUAGGGACGAUCGGUAGCAGUGCAAAGUUGAAUACAAUGUGAAAGUAUAUUAAAAGCUACAAUUUGUAGCCUCUUUAAUACUAAUUAAUAUAUAUACUAUUCUAUGACAAGUUGACGCUGCGUUCUUAAGAUUCGUACAACGACGGAAAAGUCAACGAAAAAACCACAAGGACUGCAUCAGAAGACGUGGAAAUAUGAAUUAAGCAUGAGCAAUAAUUAAUCCUAAGUCUAUAACACAGGGGUUUAAAAAUUUUCAUGUAAAAUCCAACGUUCCUAAAGCAAGUGAUAUAGCGUUUAGUUCAGUGGUUGAUAUUCGAAGUUUUAAAUUCGAAUUCUACUUAAUUCAUAUUUUCAGCUAAGUUUAUUUUAAAAGUCUCCUUUUGGUAGAAUUGUGUUGCUAUUCCGUAAAUUUCUUAUAAUUUAUAUCAUAAAUGCCAUUAAAAAUAACUGAAAUAUAUUUAAAAAUUAUUUUUUUAUAGAAUAAGUAAGGAUAAUUUUAUUAUUUUGCUCUCUUAAUUAAUAUUGUAACUCUCUAAAAACAUUUCUGAAAUUUAAAAGAACAAAAUAGAGAUUUUUGAAAUUUAAAAGAGAACUAUAUAUGUUGUGAGUGUACAUUGUGGGCAUCCAUAUUUAAGAGAGACCGUUGAUUUCCUAUUAGAUGAUUUGUUUUAAAAAAAAACAUAUAAUAUUAGAGUCGAAUUUAAGCCUCUUCAGUUCCAAAAGAAGAAAAAAGAAAAUGUAAGCUCAAAUCCCACUUAAGUCAUUGUAUGACCAUUCAUCAAAAAGGAUGUUUAAAAGAAUAUUUAAAGUACAAGUGCUUACGUUGCACGAAAUUUUAUGAACGAAAAAUUAAAAAUAAAAAAAAAUUAUAUAAUAAGACCAAGGGUAAAAACAAAACUCGGGAACUGUGUAGCAAAUAUCUGAAAACUAAAGGAGCUCUGUGUAAAUUUCCGUGUGCUUCAAUAUUGAGAGGAGAAGCACAGCUUCAUUGUCUUGAAUCAGUUUUCCCUUUUAAAUUCAGGGUAAGAGUUUGUUGAAUAUAUAUAUUUAUAUAUUUAUAAAUGUCAUUUUCUAGCCGUUUUGAUCGAUUUUUAAGGACUAAUAAUUGUUUCACAUAGUAUCAAAAUAUAAGAGUUCUUAAGUUCGAUUCUCACUAAACUCAUCUCUUGUUUUGUUAUAAAAAAACACUUCCAUCUCUUAGUUCGGUGCCAACUAUUAUAUCUUUAGCAAACUAAACAGAUUUUUUAUUAUCUUUUCUCACAUUUUGUACAAUCAAUAUUUGAUUGUGACAGUUACAGUACUAUCACUUUUUUCACUUUGAUAAAUUACCCCUCAUGUGGUUAGUUACAAUUGCAUUGGAAAUUAUACAUCCAAUAGAAUUAUUAAAUUUUUAUUCUUCUAUUAGUUCAUACUAGCUAUAUCUGAAUCUACUGCCUAUGUUGUGUUUGUAUGGCAAAGAACAACUAGUUAUUUGAGCUGGAAAACGUUUGUUUUUAUCUUAAUUUAUGUGUACAUAUUAUGUCAUUUGUGUUAUUUCAGGGAUUGGAAUCUAACUGUGUUACUUGUUACAAAGACCAGCCAUUUUUAUGAAAAUAUUUGCAAUUAUGAACUCUUCGAACAACGCGGAACAGAACCUUGUUGCAAGAAUCUGUCUCUUUUAGUGAAUCUUAGAUAUCUAAGAUCAUGGCAAAGCUCGAAAAUAUUUUACAAGGGUAUGUAUGUUUUCUUUCUCAUUUGAUGCCCAUGUUCUUGCAUAUGCUUUUCUUUCAUUUUUCUUUGCUGUAAGGUGAUAUGUUCUUCAAUGAAUUGGUUACUCACAGUGAAUUUCUCGGAAAACGAAAUGGAAGUGUGAGGCUUGUUAUAACAGCAGUAACUGGAAUUAUAUUUGGUCUUCUGAUAGGAGCUUCUUUACCUGCUAACACAAUACAGGUAUGAAAUUAACAUCUUUAGUGCUUGUAUAUGUUUGUUGCGCUACGAGAGAGCGAAUAACAUAUAUGCUUUCCGAAUUUGGCAGAUCCAGUUCCCAUCUAGCAUUUUUUCAUACAAUGAAGACAGGAAUUCUAGUCUCAAAACUCCAGUAUUACUGAAUGAUACUUCUGCUAAAGAUCACAAUACGAAUACUACUAAACUGGGUUUAAAUUAUACUCUAGAGGUACAUUUUCGACCGAAGCAUGUGGUUUCAUCUCUCCAAAUGAAGUUUGUUGUGUUGUUGACAUUGAUGAACGAUAAUUUUUGUCCAUCGUUUAUUUAUUUGAGCUUACUUCAGUAUUAUACAGCAUAAUCUUAUGGCACAUUAUUGAAUUAGAUACAGCAUAAAAUUACAAAAUGAUUAUUGCACUUGUUUCUUAAUCCGAAAGUGUGCCAAUUGAAUGUGGUUAUGUGGAUGGUUCUCUAUCUAGUUAUAUACCGAUUUCAUCGGAACAUUCGUAACAUCAGAUUUCUGUGUUUUAACUGUCGUAAAAGUCACGAGAUAACAACUAUGAGAUGACUAUUGCGUACUAUGUGCAGAGAUAAAUCAACUUUUUUGUGUGCUCAUUGACUUCAAUCAUGUCGAAAAGUAUUGUUGUACGAUAAAUUUUGGUAUUUAAUCAUAAAGGGGAUGAUCAUACAACUGAGAUUAACUUCUUUAUGAUGCUUGUAGAAAUAUGCUCCAACAAAUCCUAAAGGUGCAGAAACACUACCACCGGGAAUCGUUGUUUCAGAGUCGGAUUUAUAUCAGCAUAGGUUGUGGGGACACCCAAGUGAGGUAUGUUACAGCUACUGGAGUUUCAUUGUUAGUUCAAAAUGAAUGUCCAGAGUUUCUUCUAAAUUGAGGAAUCUUUUCCUCUGCUCAUGUAAUUCUUGUUAGUAGUUACUUUGGUGAAUCGUACCGCCUUAUCAACUGAUUUAUUGUAGUUAUUUGUUGAUAACUUAAUGUGUCCCCUCAUAUUUCAUCUAUUUCUUGAAGUUUCAUCAUGGAAUCGAACGAGCUUCUGAAAACAUCUUCUAAGUUGAGAGAUUUUUCCCUCUCAUUCUUUUGUUUCAGUAAUUCUUCAGAUGCAUCAUAUGCCCUGUAGGUCCAAAUACUUCAAUUUUCAUUGUUCGUGUAAAUGCUCUUGGUUUUCGCUUCACACUACAGCUGUUUCUGUCCAUUACCAAAUAUUAUCUCAACUAAAAGGUUUAGCCUCAAUACUUUGCUAGACGUAAAUCGGUCCAAUCAAUCACGCAUCGCUUCAUUAGUUUGGAUGUAUUACUCUUUUUUCAUGUCAAUGCGCCACUCCAAAUCAAGUCGAUUAUGUUUCUUCUAUGUUGCGUAACGAACUGCUUUUGUGAUAUCCAGGACCUGUCCCUUAAGCAGAAGUAUCUUGUAACUUUUACAGUUGGUUAUAAACAGAGAGAAAAUGUUAAUGCCGCAGUCCAAAAGGUAAAAUUGUCUUCACAAAGAAGAACUGCUGAAAGAUCUUACAUGCCCUCUACUACUUUAGCUGUCUAAGGGGGGGAAAUUUUCCGAAGAUCAUAAAAUUGAAACCGGAAAUACAUGAUUUAUCUUUACUUUAUUAUUUUUACCAAUCUGAAUUUACUUAAUCAUCGCAUGAGUCAGACAUGUUGCAUUUUGUAAUAUGAGGUUUCUGGUAAUCGCGAAUUUCAUAAUGUUUAAGCUCUUGAAUAGAAGCCCUUUGAAGUCACUGUGACUUACUGCUGGAAUUCUGAUACUGCUGCAUGCAGUUUUCUGAAAAUUUUACCAUCCUACUGUUCCAUUAUGACGGAAGAACGAGCGAAUGGGAUGAGUUCGAGUGGUCGAAGCGGGCUAUUCAUGUGAGCACCAGAAAGCAGACGAAAUGGUGAGAUUAAUAAGUUGUUCGUCAGUAACUAAUUAUCGCUGCACGGUCACGUUUUGCUGUUUCUUGAUUUCAGGUGGUAUGCGAAACGAUUCUUGCACCCUGACAUCGUGGCUCCAUACGAGUACAUAUUCGUCUGGGACGAAGAUCUUGCAGUCGAGCAUUUCGAUGCCGAAGAGUAAACCGUCACCUCUAUUCACCUUUUUUUUUUGCUGUCAAUCUUGGUUUUUCGGAUUCAUUUCUGGUAUUGCAGAUACAUUAAGCUGGCGAAAAAGCACGGAUUAGAGAUCUCGCAGCCUGCUUUGGACACGGAAAAGGAGAUAGCAUGGCGAAUGACGCGGAGAAAAGGCGAUGUUGAAGUUCAUAAGUAAGCUUGCUUCUUUUUUUCUGUCGUUUCAAUUUGAUAUUCUAUGCGAGUGAAUGCGCCAGCGCAUGAACUAAUUUACAAAUAAUACUGCAAACAAUCCAUCAUCUGCUAAUCACAUACACUUUGAGUUUUUUUUAAAAAAAAAGCAAGAAAAAGCAAAAGAAAACAUCUUCAGUUCAUUUCAUGUGCUUUAAUAAGAUGAAUGAAUUUUCCUCGUAACAAUGCGAAGAUUAUCUGAUGAUGUCUUUGGCAGAGAAACAGAAGAAAGACCAGACUAUUGCCCUGAUCCUCAUCUUCCACCAUGUGCCGCGUAUUUAUCCGCCUUUACUCUUUUCUUUCCUCUUCUUUUCUAGAUUGCUCACAUUGAGAUGAAGAUAAUUCGACUAACUUCGUAAUUUUAUCAUUCCUUUUGCAGAUUUGUUGAGAUAAUGGCUCCAGUGUUCUCCAGAAAAGCAUGGAGAUGCGUAUGGCAUAUGAUUCAGGUACAUUCACCUCUAAAUUAUAAAUCGUAACUCGAAACUUACAUCUUGAAUUAAAAUGCGCUAUUCUUUGUGUUUCGUAGAAUGACUUGGUUCAUGGAUGGGGCCUUGAUCACAAUCUUAGGAGAUGUGUGCAAGAGGUACUUUGUCCACUAUCUUUUCUCCUAACUUGUUAGGCGAAGUACCGAGUUAUAUAAGUUGUUAUGAUGCUUAUUAUUCUAUGAUCGCAUCUUUUUUUUCUCUUUUUUUCCCCUUUUCUCUACAAUGUUACAGCCCGCUCGCGAGAAAAUAGGAGUCGUCGAUGCUCAGUGGAUUGUUCAUCUUGAAUUUCCUACCCUACGAAAUGAGGUAACAUGAUAGUAAAUUUAUUAGAUAUAGGUAAAAAUAUCAACAUUAUAUUUCUCUUAUUAUAGCUCCCUCAACUUUUCGAUUUUUUGAUUUGAGUUAUUUAUGUAAUUUGAAUCGAAGAUUCUGCUAAAGUUAACGAUUUCAUUUGCUAUUCAGACACUAACUGUUAAUCGAGCCAACAUUUUUCAUCAAGUAAAACGAAAAAAACUGUUAUAUUUAGUCGAAUGAACAUUGAAUUUCGUGAGAUCCUCAAUUUCAUUCGAUUGAGAUGACUUAAAAUCAAAGCAAUCUAAAAUUGAGGAAGUGUCAAUAAAAAGGAGAAGGUUCCAGGGCUUGAUUCAUGUUAGCCUACAGUUGAGGGAGAGUCUCAGUACAUUCUAAUCUUAUGUAUACAUUAUGCUGUCGAAAUCAUCGACAAUUUUACACAAUGGCCACCAACUUUGUGUGUGUGUGUGUAUAUAUAUAUAUAUAUUUCCUAAAUUUACAGGGCCAGGAGCAGAGUGGAAAACCUGCAUGGCAAGGGGUACAAUUCCUGAAAAUUUGUCCUUUCUUUUCAUCUUCUUUCCCAUCAGUAGUUUGAAUUUUGUUUUGAUUUUUAAAUUUGUUGUUGGUGUAUGGCCUUUUCAGGUAGGGGAUCGGUGUGGGGAAGAGUUGGAGAUAUACCAAAAUCGAAUGAAAGAGGCUGAGAAGGAAUAUUAUGAAGAGAUGGGUCUCACACCCGCAAACACGGCUCAUGUUUAGCUUUGCUGUUUCGAUUUAUAAGUAUUUUCGUGCACAUGGUGCAUCUCUAUAUCCUUGCAUCAUUUACCAAUCCAUAAUCUAUCUCAUCUCAUACGUCAAUUUAUUGUAGAUUUUUUUUUUAUUACUUUGAAAAUUUGGUGGUGGACCGAAAGCCGUGGACGAUUGUACAAUACUCUUCCUCUGCCUAAGUGUAAUUUAUACUGAGAACAUGGAAAGCUUUUUUGCAAGAAAUAUCAUUGUUCUUAAAUUUUUCUAGUUUUGCUCUGAUUUCGAUUCAUAUGCUAGCAUUGAAGGCUUUAAACUUUGGGAUCACAGAUUCUAUAUGCAUGUUUUCCUUUACCUUUCUAUAUAUAUACAUAUCCAGUAUUAGCAAUAGGGGGAAUAGGAAAUAAUAGUGUUUUUAGUAAAAUGAUUUCCGAUUCAACAGCUUAAUAAAAAAUGGUCACCAUGUUUUUUAUGAAGCCUCAUGCAUGUGGUGAUAAAAAUUAUCACUAUCUAGAGCAGUUGGUUUAUUACCAGAAAGAUUUUCUCUUUAAUACGAUUACUUUAUAAACUUGAUUUGACAAGGUGAAUUGCACCACUAGUCCCUGAACUUGGGAGAUACAGUUUGAUUUGGGGAUUUGAAUAUUCCAGAGAAGAAUUUGAAUUUUAGAUAUUCUUGCCUCUUAAUUUCUUGAAACUUAUAGAAUUAGUUGGAAUGGAACCCUGUGACGGUUUCUGCAGUAAAGCAACAUCUUUCAUAUAUAGUUCCAGUAACAAUACCUUAUGGUUUAUUAUAUUUUGCGGGACAUUAGAAAUAUCUAACAUAAUCUCCAUUUAUUCUCUGACAAGCACCGCAGAAUAUAAAAAAAAUUCCUCCUCUAUUUGUCAAGCAGGGAUACUCUAGCCAAAGGCUCUGUUUGGAAUUGCGGAGAGAAUGUAUAAUGACAAAGUACGAUAAAACAAAAAAUCAUAUUUGUUUCUGCACACAAUAUGGAAUUCCGCAUAUAGCAAUGAGUCAAUUUCAAUAUAUUUCCUGCAAUCACAUCGAAAAACAUAUAAAUUUAUUCCUAUAUACUUCCGUUCCAACUUUAUUUUAUCUAUUAACAGUUAUAUGGGGCUCAAUACCAAACGGGCCUUAUUAGACUUCUAUCUAUCUAUCUAUUCAAGGAGAGGUCAAAUAUUGUGUGAAUAGUUAUAGAAAUGUGGGUAGUGCUAUUACGAGUAAUUCUAUGUCCACACAGUUUACAUGCAAAUUAUCAGAAUGGAUGGAACAGAAUAGUCGAAUUUGUUGCAACAAAUUCGUAAUUGCAUUGUUAGGAAGUUCUCAGCCAGCUGAGACCCACAUGGGGCGGAGGAGGAAGUUCUCGCACCAUGCCCUGCAUAAGUGUCUGUAGUUCUCUUCUGUCCGAGCACAAACAGGUUUACUUCGCAGGUGUCCAGUUCUCAAUCUAUUACGACUGCACAACUGCAGUAGCUAAAACUUUGAUCAGCAAUCGUACGCUGAAAUUCGUUCUCUAUCUUGGCGAUACCGACAGGCUACAAGCUAUCAAAGGUGUGCAAAUAUCUAGAUAGUUUCGCGAAGACAUUGGAUUGCCCUUGGAUCCAGUACUGACCACAUAUCAGACAAAUCACCAUGUCUUGCAGCAAAACUUCCUAAAAGUCCAUGAACUCAAACCUUCGGGUGCAGACACUACAAUGAGUAAGUCCACAUACCCUAAUUUUAAGUAAUUUUUCACACAAUUUUCGUUUUCGAUUUGUUCUUCAACUUCGCAAAUCUUUACGAACCAGAAAUGAUUGAACACUUCAGAUAAUCAGAACCAUUUUUGUUCCUUGAGAUAAGAAACAGGUGUGUCAACUCAUAGCUAUAGAUACAUCAUCCAAACAAGUACAAGCUACAAACACAAUGUUGUUUCGAAAACUAUUCAUGCAGAUCAGAGCAACAUAAUCUCAGCAAAGAAUUAAUCUGAUAAAGAGGCCAUGAGAGAAUGAGGACUCCCCCAAAUCGGCAGCUCGAUGAGCGACUCCGCCAAGCUCUCUUCGCGCUUCUUGCACAGCGAUUCCGCGUAGUCGCAGACCUCCGACAGCUUCCGGAGAAUCGCUUCUUGCGCCUCCACCUGCGAAUCCCCAUCCAAUUCAGCCUAAAAUCCAAAACCCUAACCCUAGCAAGUACUAUUCGGGUGAUCGAUCGAGCGUCUAUCUACCUGAGAGAGGAGAUCGUCUACGAGGAGGCGGCGGGCUCCUGCCUCCUCCGCCGCCUCCGGAGGAGGAGGAGGCGGUGGAAGAGGAGAGGGGGAGGGAGGAGCGGCGGGGGAGGAGAGGCGGAGGAGGGCGGAGGCGAGGGACUCCCACUGAUCGAGCUCGUUCCGGUACUUGUCGCGGAGGCCGAGGAGGCAGAGGCGGCGCCGCGCCCUGCGGCGGCGCCGGAGCUCAGCCUCGGCGUCGCCGGGCGGCGCCGGAGGACGAGGGCGGGGGUCGUCGUCGGCGGCGGCGGAGGGGCGGAGGAGGAGGCGGCGGCGGCGGCGGCGCUUGUAGACGAAGCCGUCAUCGUUGCAGAUCUCCCACUCGCCGUCAUCGCUGUCGCCGUCGCCGAGGUAGGAGGCGGAGGUCACCGCCAUUUUUGAAGCUCGGAGGAGUUGUGCGAGUGAGAGAGAGAGAGAGGGAAAGGCGGAGGGCGGGAUUCGAAAUUCAUUAAGCCCUAUAAAAAAAUAUUAUUAUUAUUAUUAUUGCUUUUGUUAAAAAAAAAAAAAAAAGUUACACUUAAAAAUUUGAUAAAAAUGUAUGGAAAGUUGGCAACCCAUCUACCCCGUAAUAGAAAGCCAUUGUAUCUCACUUACACGGCAUUAUCAAUACCAAAUUAAUUAUAUAUUUUUAUUUAAAAAAUAUAUAAUAAAAUUUUUUUAUUAAUUAUGAUGGGACAUAUCAACUCAAAAAAGAAGAGACAUUACGUCGGUAAUUUACCAAAUGCAUUUCAGAUUUUUUCCUUCCGUAAAAUAAUUCUAAAAUGAAUAAAUUGAUGCCUACACAGUACACCUCUAGAUUAGAUUUAAGAUCUAUGCCUCAUCAACCGAAGAACUCUUACAUUUUCUCCAAUUUGUUUUUUUAACUUUAAGUUCAAAAAAUUACUUGUGAAUGCUUAAAAACUUAAAGACGAAAAAUUUAUUACUUUUAUAUAAGUAUACUAGACAAAAAUAAAAAAAAAAUUAUGAACAAAAAUAACCCGCCACUUUCGAUAAAACAAGCGUGCCCAUUAUGCAGUGAUCAUGCAACGCAUCUUCUCUGCAAUUCCAAACGAAGCAUCUGUUGUCCACAACCAUACCCGAGCAAGUGGAUGGGAUCAAGCCCUGGUCGAUACAACGGACCAGGCCGGUCCCAAGCAAUUCGUUUUUUUAGUUGGCCCGGGCCGAAAUUUUCAUAAACGCGAUCCGACCCGACCCGGUCACUACUCACAACCCGAAAUAGAGAGACAAAAACUGGUUAAAUUUUUAUUUUUACUAUUCAAAAGUCGCCGCACCCCUCGCAAGUGGGGUAAAUAUAAAGAACCCUUUUCACAUGUUGUCGAAAAAGGCCGUGGUGAAAUUGCAUGCUUCGUCUCCCGUUGUUUCCUCUAAUAAAAGGUCGCGCAUGGCAAAAGUUUUUUUCCUUUUUUUUUUUUGCAAAAAAAAAGAUAAGUGAAACAGCAUAUAGCCUUUGCAGCCAAUAAAGACCCUGCACGUGCCACCAGAUCCACCGUGUUUCGUGUGCGAGUUUUUACAGCUGCUUCGUUGAUCCAAUAGAUAUUUAUUUUUUUUAAAAAAAAAUAAGGAUAAUAAUAAAAGGUUGCAUCAGUGGUUUAAAAAUUCAUAUAUUUUCUCUUUUUUUCUUUUUUUUUUUUUUUGUUCUUUGGUGAAUGGUGAAACUCAAUGUUGGAAACAAAAUAAUAAAAAAUAGGCAUAACAAAUAGACUAUACAUAGAUAACACUAUGAUGAUAAGAUGGGAUCAAAUCAUUAAAAUUUUUAACAGUAAUACACGGAAUUCAAGAGCUUGAGUUAGGAUGAGGACUCAAGGUGUGACUAUCUGGCUCUUCAGUUAUGAAUCAGGAAAAAGAGAUUGAUUACUAUACUUUAAGCCCUUAUUUGAUUGGGGGUUAAGGGGUGGAAUAACCCCUUAACCCCCAUUUUAUCCCCAAACACCCUAAAAAAUGAGUGGGAUUAGCUAAUCCCACCUCAAUUAAAUUAUCCCGGAUUAGCUAAUCCCACCUAACCCCACCAAACUCCAACCAACACUAUUUUCUAUUCAUAAUAACCCACCAUCUUUCUUAUUACACGUAGGCCAACCAAUCAUUAUCCUUCUUUAUCAAUCAUUAUCUUUUUAUCCCAUCUACUCCAACCAAACACUAUUUUUUAUUAUUCUAGACUAACUCCAACCCCCAACCAAAUACAAAAAAAUUUUAACCCUAUUUUAACCCUGAACUUAACUCUAUCCCUGGAAUAGCUACUUUUUUCUUAACCCCGAACCAAACGGAGGCUAAGUAUAUAAGUAUAGAUUUUUUUGUACUUAUAAAUUUUUGACAAUCAGAUCUAUCUCUCUGACCAUUUUCAUCCGUUAGAUUAUAUUAUUUAACCAACCACCCACUCAACACUAAGAAAACCAUAUCAUCGGGGAUCACUAUCAACCCAACUGCACAUUCCUUCAUCCAAUAGUCGAAAAUUUAUAAGUACAAAGUUGCCUAGCUAUACUCAUAAGAGUAUGGUAACUCUACUCUAGAAAAAAAAAAAAGAAAAAGAAAGAAAAACUCUUUUAAAUGCUUUUUUUUUCUGUUCCUCAAUUAAAACAGUGCCUUAUCUUUGUUUUAAGCAACAAAAUUAAUCAUAUUAGAAAUCAUAAGUUGUGAAUAUUACAUAAUAAAUAAAGUGUGUGUAUACCCACACAAAAAAUAUAUAUAGAGAGAGAGAGAGUAUGUCUCCAGUACUUUCACAAGUACUGAGGCUUCCGUACUAAUAAAUUAUUUUCGAUGAUAAGAUAUAUGAUUCGAUAACCGGCUCUAUUAGGUAUAAUCUAUCUUAUUAGAACUAUCUAGAAAUCAAAUUUUAUAAUCUUUUUACAUUAUUUACCAAGUGAUCAAAAAGUUUUAAAAUUGACUAUUUUAACCGUCGAUGUGGCAUUUUUUAAGUUCAACAGUGUAAAAUAAUUCAAAUUAUAUGAAAUUUUAAUAGAAAAUUUUAUUUAAUAUCAAUAACAAGAUCAAUACUUGUGAUUUAAAAUUUGAGUCUUUUAUCACUGUUUUUUAUGAGAUUUUUAUUUUCAACCGUUCAUUUUGAGGCUACUCGUUUACUAGACAAAUAAAGUCACAAUUUGCAUGGUCGCAAUUUGGUUUCUAGAUAAUUCCAAUAGCUUAAAUCAUGUCUAACGGAACCGAUCGUCGAAUCGAAUGUUCCAUCAUUAGAAACAAUUUAUAAAUAUGAAAGCCUCCGUAUUUUUUAAAGGAUAGAAGUCUAACUUUAUAUAUACUAGUGAAAACCCGCGCUUCGCUGCGGAUAAAUAGUUUGAUAAACAGUAAGCAUAACUCAGCAUUAAGUUGUUUGAUAAACAUACAUCUGAUGGAAAUAUAAUUAAUUAACAGUACACUAAAGUAGAGUGCGGAUAAAUAGUUUGACAAACAUACAGUAGUGCAGCAUAAAUACAACAUUAAGCAUAACUCAACAUUAAGCAGUUUGAUAAACAUACAGUAGUGUAAUCAAAACACAGCAUUAAGCGUAACUCAGAUGGAAAUAUAAGAAGCCAGUAUAUAGGCACAGGCAGAGGGGUUGCAACCAAUCAAAUUGCUCACCUUACACUGUAGAGAAACAGAGAGGUUCGUACAGCUAUUUUUUUGGGGCAAAUAGUACAUGCUAUUUAUAGGCUCAGAAACACAGGAUAUCUUCAGGAUAUUUUUUCUACGAAGCUGGAACAAUGAUUUUUUGCAAAUACAAAAGCAGACAUGAUGAUGACAGAAUAGAUUUCAGGAUAUCUUCUCAUUUAUUCUAAAAAUCUCAGAAUAUCUUUAGAAUUAUUUUUUAAAAGAAAGCUUCUGGCAAUAGGGAAUAAAGAAAUGCGAAGUAAAAUCUCAGGAGAUCUGAUGAGAGAGGAGAUGAGAGAGGAUUACCUGUAGGGAUUACCUGUAGAGGCCAGAUUAUAGGGAUAGGGGUCACCUGUAGAAGCCAAAGUAGGUAUAGCCGUAGGGGUUCUGCUGAGAGAGGAUCCAGACUGGCGAUCGGUUGAGUGUGAGAGAGGACCAUAGAUGGUAGAGAGAGAGAGCGGUAGAACCCAGCACCGAAGAGAGAGAGGGGCGAUCGGUUGAGCGCGACAGAGGAGCAGAGAUGGUAGAGAGAUAGAGAGAGCGGGAGCCGAUCCAUCAGCCAGCAGAGGGAAGGCCUCACCUGUAAGGCUCGUAGGUAUAAGUGUAGACCCAUGAGAGAUGUUCCAACCCGAUGACAGCUAAGGAGAGAUCGUGAGGGCAGCGCGGAGCCGCCGAACGACGCCCAGGGUUACGCGGUACCACCGAAACAUGGCGAGGGUUACGCCGAGCCGCCGAACCCGAUAAUAAGCAGGGAACAGUGAGGAGGGCUACGCCGAGCCGCCGAACCCGAUAAUAAGUAGGGAGCAUUGGCGAGGGUAACGCCGAGCCCCCGAGGAGAGAAGAGACGGCGCGAGAGAGCGAGAGAGAGAGCGGCGUGGAGCGAGAGCGUCGCGUAGAGAGAGAAAGAGAGAGAGAGAGCGNUUUUUUUUCUUCAAUUUUUUUUUUUUGGGUUGGCAGUCGCACCUCCUCAGCGGUUGCCACGUGGAUUAGGCUUCUCUGAGCUCGCCACGUGGCUCCGUUGUUCUGUCAAAUAGAAUAGUGUAAGAUAUAUAUAUAUAUAUAUAUAUACACACACACACAUCAAAGAAAGGGCAAUCAUAUAUAUAUAUAGUAUCUGUACUCUGAAAGCCAAGUCUCAUUUAGAACACUCAAAAUUAUGCCAAAUUGGAUCAUAUCCCAUCCAUCCUCAAAACUUCAAAUACCCAAUCUCAAAUCCUGCUGCAGCAUUAAUUACUAAUCUCCUAGAAUUCUAUCUUAAUGAUUCUGGCACUUAAAUGUACAAAUUUUAAUUGGUUCAUACGUACAGCACAAAACGCUACAUAGAUUUGCGAUAUGAAAACUAUUAAACUUCUUUAAAAAGAAAAAAAAAAAAAAAAAAAAAAAAAAAAAAAACCUAUUUACACUCAAUUUUCUUUUGAUUUUAGAGUACAUCGGUACCGGACAAGUAAACAGUAAACACAAAUAAAUAUAUCAGCUGAUCUACUGAUACAUUUAAUCAGACAUGUUUGCACACAGGAAACAAAUCUAAUCAUAUGUGUGCAAUUUAAUUAAUUACCACCUUACAUGUCAAAUUUAAAAUUGCUCUUUUGGUACUGCAACUGCAAAAGGAGACAAUUGAAACAGCGAUUAGAAGCUCCUUCACAUGCUACUACGUACAGUGACAUAUUACUAUGGAUAGAGAGACAUAAUUAAUUAAAUUCCUUAUCAAAACUAUAAUAUACCUGAUUAAUUAAUUGAUCAGUAGUACACUCCAUGAUAAUUUAGAACUUCAAAAUCACAAAUCUAGUCAAAAAUAUACACCAACAUUACUCACUCACAACCUUAGCCUAUUUGCAUCAACACCCUCAAUAUCAAACAAACAAGCCCAGUACUCUGGCUUUUCGCAAUAACGAUUACAACAUAGUGAAAAGAAAAGAAAAGAAAAGAAAAGAAAAGAAAAGAUAAACUCAUCGGACCAGUGAGCUCAAUUCCCCGCGCUAGCUAGCUCGAAAGCCGAUUCAGAGGCAAAACGGCUCAGGACACGAAUCCACCGACGACAAGGCGACGUCGGUCCUUCGGAUCACCGUCCUUUGCGAGAGCUUCCGCCAACUGUGCGGCUUCGCAGAAGAGAUGUUCAUGAUCCAUGGCUCUCAAACAAGAGCUCAGGACCAAAAUAUACAUGUGUAUAUAUAUAUAUAUAGAUAGAACACAAGUGUUAUAUCUCACCACUUACAUAAACUCUCUCUCUCACACACACACACAUAUAUAUACACACACACACAUAUUACAUGAACUGAGAAAAGAUGUGUGUGUGUGUGUGUGUGGGUGUGUAAAGUUGAAGGGAAAGGAGAGUGUAAAGUUGAAGGGAAAGGAGAGGGAGAGGGAGGGGGGAAUAUUGGUCCAAACUUUAUUUUAGUGCAUGCUGCUGUAGCAAUAUUGCGUUGCACGCAUUCUAAAGCGCCCGCAUGCGAAGGGAGAGGAGGCCACCACCCCCCUCAAAAGGGUGCAAAAGCGCUUUUAAGAACAGCCCCCUUGGCACCCCCAAAGUUGUGCAUCUUUUUCCUACUCAAGCCCCCUUUCAAAAAGGCCCUCUCCAUACGAGUUUGUACCUUAAACUGCAACAGUAGGUGUUGGAUUUAUAAUAUACAAAUGUUUAUUAGAGUUUGUGGUGGGGGGUGAACAUGAUGGUCAUUAUACAUCUUACAUAUUUAUACAUAAUUUUGUGUGUGAUCGAUGCAUGAUCUAAAACUAUUAAAUAGUUUGGACUUUGGCCUCAUUUGAGAAAAUCAUAUAUAUAUAUAUAUAUAUAUAUAUAUAUAUAUAGAGUGAGGCUACUAUGCUAUCGGAAACACGAAGCCUUCCGUGCUUCCAGCUCGUUUUCGAUGUUGCGACUUUCGAAUCGUCGAUCGGCUCCGUUAAACUUGAUCUAGAGUAUUUUGAGUACCUAGAAAAUAAAUUUUAUUAUUUUUCGAUAUCAUUUGCCUAGUGAUCGAAUGGGCUCAAAAUCAACAAAUUCCAAUGGCCGUAGUGAGCCGUUUGCAAGUUUAACGGUGUAGAAAUAUCCAAAUCACGUGAAAUUUUGAUAGAAAAUUCUUUAUACUAUAUAAAACAAGAUCAAUAUCUUUGAUUUAAAAUUUUAAUGUCAUAUUAUUACAUUUUGUAAGAUUUUUAUUUUCAGCCGUUGAUUUUGAGCCCCUUCAUUCACUAGGCAAAAUGAUAUCGUAAAAUCAUAAAAUUUAUUUUCUAGGUACCUCAAAUACUCUAGAUCAAAUUUAACGGAGCCGAUCGACGAUUUGAAAGUUGCAACAUCGAAAACGAGUUCGAAGCACGGAAGGCUCCGUACUUCCGAUAGCAUAGUAGCCUCACUCUAUAGAGAUUGAUUACUAAAGUAGACCUCAAAUAUCGGUCCGGGUCUAAGAACUGAGGCCUAUAAGUUUGGGCCCGAAAUUUUAGCUUUCAUUCGACCCGGUUCAAUCCGAUCCGAACCGAUCCAUUCAUUUUCGGACCAGGUUCAAGCGGAGCAAAUUUAAUCCGACCCGGAAGUCCUAAUGAGUUUCACUAAUCUAGCUUGCUGAUUCAGCGAACUGAAUAGACUUACGAAAUUGAUCAUACGAGCGUUUGACAAGGAUGCUCCAUACAAAGUCAAGCGUAGCGAUUCAAUCGAGCCGAAGGUGAUGACAAUAUUCGCGGUCGAGAUCAUUUGUCGUGGGGGGUAGAAAAAUUCCAAAGCCGUGUUGUUGGUUUAAAAAAAUCAGCAUUUUGCUGUACCGAGUCACGUUCGAAAUGACGCGAAACUGGUUGACCUGAAUCACAAUCAAAAUUUACAGACGCUGUAUUCGUACGCUUUAAAUGAAUUAGUCGCAUCUUAUUUUCAAUUGUUAGCGUCAGCGAUACGACAUGUAUGGACAGCGGAUGGACCGUCUCCACCAUUUUUUUUUUUUUAAUUUUCUCAGAUUGUUUAGAACUAGUGGGGAGGGAGUUUACUAUGGAAGUUCGUUCAAAAGGGGUGGGUAGGUACAUAGGAAGCGUGUGGGGACACGGUUACAUGUUAUUUGUGUGCACGCUAAGAUAAAAUGCACGAUGGAACACGCCGAAUCGAGAACCUUCUUACAGUUGUAACCGUGCAACACAUAUGAUGCACGAAUUUCAAACUACCCGUGGACGGUGGGUUGAUUAGACCGUCUCUCUGGGGAAGGCUCUUCAUUUUUUUUUUUUUUUUUUUUUUUUGGGUUCCGCUCCGCAACUUAUAUAUUUUUCUUACAUAAUUUCACAUUAUUUGAUUUUGUUUCUGUUUUUACUUUUACUUUUAGAAGCAGCAGCUUUUAAUAAAAUAUUUGGUAGAAAAGGAUGGGAAGCAGAGAUGUUAAAAGUUGUAUUUUAUUAAACCUCUAACUCUAAUGCACUAAAGAAUUUAUUAUAAAUAAUUUAGUAUAAUAUAUUAUUUUUUUAGUUUGUAGUAUUUUUAAUAAUAUGUUAGUAAAUGACACUGUAUCUUGCAGUGGGGCUAAAUAAAUAUUUUCUAAUGCCACCGGCUGUCUCCAGCGUAAGCGGCAAAAUAGACUUGAUGAUUGGUUUUCGAAAUUCACGUUUUUUAAAACGAACAAAAUAUCUAUCUUUCUAUAUUAAGGAAAAGAAUAUAUAUAUAUAUUUUCACAUGCUCUGAUUAUCCUGAUUUGUUUCUUAGGUAUUAUUAGAUGCUGUUCUCAUGCCAAAAACCACAAGCAGCCACAAACUAAACCAAAAAAACAAAUUUAAGUCCCAAAUGUAUAUAUAUGAAACCCCCUAAUUUUUGUUGGUAUGUGUGUACUGUCCCCCACCACAUGCACUGAUGCACCUCCUCCUCACAUCCAAAAUUUUUUAUUCCUUUGCAAAUUGCCAUCCCAUGCCUGAUGUCUGCCACAUGAUCCUAAUUCUUUCCUCAUGCCCACUCUAAACACCACACAUCCAAGAAUAAAACUCUCACAAUUGAUUAUAUUCACAUAAUCAAUCCACUCAAAUAAGCUCGACCAAACCACCUUAACUCAAGCAGAAGAUACUUCAUUUAUUUCUCUAGCGUUUUAUCCUGAUAUUGUUUCUUUUUUUUUUUUUUUUGAGAGAGAUAGAUAAUACGCUACCCGCUUCGUUUAUUUCAUUUAGAAAUAAACUUAGCUAGAAAUGUGAAUCAACUAAGAUUCGAACUUGGGUUUCGGGUACCAACCACCAAGCCCUUUGCCACUUACUCUAGAGACGGUCGGUGAUAUUGUUUUAUUAUUAUUAGACAAACAAUGCAACUUGUACACCCUAAAAAGAAAUAUAAAUCUAAUAUUCAUUAUCCAAGUAUUAAUUAUUAGGUGCAAAUUUUAAGAUCGAAAGGCUUAGGCCCAUUUGGUAUCGUGAUUAUCUUUUCUUUUUUUAAGUAAAUUUUUUUACAUAAAACAAUUCGGGAGUUGAUAAUAGAUUGUUUGUAAUUUUUUCAUCCAAAAUAUUUAUCUGUCAACAAAAGAUAAAAGAACUCAUAAACAACUUUUAUUUUCGCUUUCAAUUUUUUUUUUUUUAUGAAGUUAUCAUUUAUCGCUAGACCUGAUUCGACAACAAGAAAAGAAAAAAAUCUUCUAUAAAUGCAUCAAAACAUAUAAAAUUAGUGUUUUAAAAAAAUUAAUAUAUAACAAUAAGGUCAAACGAGGCAAAAAUUUAAUACUUGUUUUUAUUUAAGAAGAUCUAGUGUACUUUUGACCUAAAUCCGAAUCCAUGUAUCUACAAAAAAAAAAAAAAAAAAAAAAAAGAAACAAGAUAAACUUCAAAAUCUUACCAAUGUGAUGUUCGCACUUUUCUCCUUUUAUACCAAUGUUUUAUUUUCUUUUCGUCAGCUCCUCCAUUAACAUUUCGUUAAAUUAUAUAUAAAAAAUUUCAGAUAUCCCACCUAUGUUUAUCAAAUAUUCAUUUAAGUACUUUUUAGUUUUAACUUUAUCACUGAUUUAGCAAAAAAUAAUAAGUGCAAGAAAUAAUAAAAAGGGAAAAAUAAAACUACGGAAUACUAAAUUGAUACACUUCAAACUAUAUAAUACUAAAAUAAAAAAAGGUUAAUUUCAUACAGGUCCCUACAAACAUGGUAAAUAACAGAUAUAUUCCUACAAAGUUCAACUUUCAUAAGUUAUCCAUACAAAAGUCCUAAUGUAUUCAGAUAUGUCCCUGCCGUUAAUAUCCGUUAGAAAAAUCUAGUUAAUCACAGUUAAAAUACUUAACCAUGAUUAAUUAAUAAUGUGAAUUAACAAUUUUACCCUUCUUCUUCUUCCUCUUCUUCUUUCUCUUCUUCUCCGUAUCCUCCUUUUCCUCCUCCUUUUCUCCUCAUUCUUGUUUUUCUUCUUUGUCGUCGUCAUUGAUGAUCUGAUCGUCGUCGCCGUUGUGGUGCCUGUGUGGGCCAUCAUCACGAGCGCCUCCGACGGCAUCGGCCUCGCCCUCGCCUUCCGCCUCUUCCUCGUCUGCGUUGGCCGCAACCCCGACAAGCUCCGCAAGGUCGCCGUCGCCGUUGCCGUCGCUGCCGUCCGCUCCCGCAGCCUGAAAAGUAAGAGGAAGAGAAAGAGGCAGAGGGAAAGGGCAAAAGUGUCAUUUCACAACUUUACUGUUAAAAAAUUAAUAAUUCUCUAACAGGUACUAACCAGAGGGACAUAUCUGAAUACAUUAGAAUUUUUGUAAGGAUAACUUAUGAAAAUUGAACUUUAUAGGGAUAUAUUUGCUAUUCAUCAUACUUGCAAGAAUCUGUAUGAAAUUAACCCAAUAAAAAAAUAUAAAAUUAUAGGAAUGGGAUAUGUAGUUUUUCCAAAAAAAAUUUGUAGCUAGCAUAUUGAGACAAAUGAGAGUCUCUCUCUCUCUCUCUCUCUCUCUCUCUCUCUUAAUUGCCUAUUUAGUGAUGUUGAGACAAAAAGAAGAGGCGUAGGCGUGGACGCAACAUGAAAACAGCCCAAGGCCACCUCCUUCCACAUGAAUGCCACCACGCGGAUUUGAAAGAGUAUUAUUCACAACUCCACACCAUACAUAUAUAUACUCACCCCCUCCACUCCAUAUAUAUAUAUUUAUAUAUAAUUAAGAAAUAUUAUUUACGAGAAAUGCUAAAUCUACGACCCAAAAAGAUUAUAUGAUCAUCUUCUUAAUCCGAGAAGUGUUUGUAGUCCUGUCCCGAAGAGAUUUAGUUUUUUGUUUUUUUUUUUUGAAAAAAAAAGAAAUUUAGUAAUAGACAAAUAAAAGAUGAUAAGACUUUGCGAAGAAAUAUGAGUUAUUACGUACAUAAUAGAGUUGGAAGAUUAUAAUUUGCUUCUGGUUGUAGGGCUUGUCUUGUCUUUCUAUGGCUACAAUUAAUUCACCGACGAGUCUAUCGAUUAUCUUUUAUUUGUUUUUUUUUUUUUUUUACUAAAAACUCAUUUGGAGUUUUUUAACCUGGCGGAUCCAACAUCCAAGGAUGUAAGAUGUACAUCCUUACAAGAUGGCUUUUUUCUUUUAAUACUAAAAGUUUUUUUAGUUUGAAAGAGCUUUUUAAACUCUAAAAUAAUAGGAUACAAGAGAUGUACACUCUACAAUAGAGUGUGCGACCAGUAUUUUCCUAAUAUAUACAUAGAUACAGAACUAAAUUAGAAUGUGGCCUUUGGGCGAAAAAAUGUACAGUUAGAACGAUGUGUGCCUUCUAGGGCUAAGUAUCAGUAGUAUUCCAACCAAACUCAUAUAUAUAUAUAUAUAUAAGUCCGGCUGCUAUGCUAUCGAUAGCACCAAGCACUUGGUGCUAUCAAGUUUUCUGCCAUUAGAUUAACUCUUUUGAUUAUUUUUACCCGUUAGAUUAUACUAUUCAACCAACCACCCACUCAAUCCUAAAAGGCCCACAUCAUUCUAACCGCACAUUUUUCAAUCCAAGGACUAAAAAACUAAUCGCAUCAACAACUUGGUGCUAUUAAUAGUAUACCAGCCUAGUUCUAUAUAUAUAUAUAUAUAUAUAUUGGGUUGGAAUAUUUUUAAUAAUACUAAGUUAUUGGUUUGGAUUAGAAUAAUAGUGGUCCCACUAAGAUUUAUUGGAUAGUUGGAGGAAUAGCACAAUUUAAGGGGAGGAAUUAGUGAAAGAAUAAAUCUGAUGGCGUAAAUUUUGAUAACACCGAGUGCUUGGUACUAUUAGAAAUAUCUCAACCGGACUCUCUCUCUCUCUCUCUCUCUCUCUCUCUCUCUCUCUAUAUAUAUAUAUAUAAAUCCAUGUUCACAAUAAACACAAACAAACACACACACACACACACACACACACACACACACACAACCACCCUCUGGUACACACACAGACAUACAAUGUCGGUGUACUAAGUUGUGCCCCCUCCUUGUUUCCUUAGAUGCUCCCACCAUUUACUAUUAUUAUUAUUAGUGCACAAAAAAUAAAUUAAAAGGGAAGGAGAAGAGAUUAUCCAGGAAGAUCGAGCAAGGAGAUGGGGAUAUCCAGCUUACCCACCCCAUCUGAGGCCUUCUUCCCCUUCGUCCUCCUGGCGAAUGCUUUGACCCCUGUCAUAGUGUUAGUGGAUGGCAUGAGAUGGGCUUUUGUGCAUGUCAUGGGCUGCUCUUCUUAUCAAUCCCAAGGAGGAGUACUUGGUGGUGGACAACAAGCUGAUGAUGAUGCACAACAACAUCAUCAACAACAACAACAACAACAACAACAACAACAACAAGAACAACAACAAGAGGGGGAGAUGAAGAAGAGGGAUUUGGUGGGUGUUCAUGUGACCAGGUUCAAUUUGCUGGCUGUGAGGGAGAGGGAUGAGUGCUGUGUGUGUCUCCAUGGGUUUGAGGGGGAGGAGGAGGUGAGUGAGGUGGUGGCAUGCAGGCACUUGUUCCACAGGGGUUGCUUGGAGAGGUGGGUCAGUCACUUGCACUCCACAUGCCCACUCUGUCGAUCCAUGCUCUGAAAUCUUUUUAUUUAAGCUUUUUUGUGUGGUAUUAGGCAUAUAUGGUGUUUGCGUAGGAACACUUUUUUUUUUAUCUCAUUAUUAUAUGGGGGCUUUUUUUUUUCCCUUUUUUUUUUUUCUCUUUUUUCAAUUGGGUAUAUACUAUAGGAGGCUGUUAUCUACAGAGGGUCUGAGUUUCUCUUAUUAUUUUCCCCUCUCCCUUGUACUAGCUGCAUCUAUAAUGUAACUCACAGGUGGUUUUAGUGUGUCAUCAUCAUGGCCUUCUUCCACCGAUUAUAAAUUUAGGAUUGUAUUUAGAAAAGGGCUUUUUUUCAAUUUUGCUGUGUGCAGGUUCAGUACUAUGGAGACCCCUCAACUACAAGCCAUAAACAAUGCCCCCACACUUAUUUAAUGGAUGAUUAUUAACAAAAUCCUUUUAACUUCCCUAAGUUUUUGAAUUGAGUGAUGUUAGUCAAAACAAAAAGGGGGAAUUUCAUCAGACUCAUCAAUGUUAAUCAAGGAAAACUAGAGAACAAAGGUCCAUGAGCUUUGAUGUUUCAAAACUAUCAUCAUUCAUAAUUAAAAAGUCAGAGGCAUUAACUAAUCCAUCCAGGAACAUAGUAACUAACAUCUAAGCACUAAAUGGGUGUUCUACAAUAUCCUCCAUCCAGAACACAAGGUUGUUUCUUGUGCGUAUUAACUUGGAAAACAAACAGCACGAUUUAGUGAGCAAGGAAAAGUUACUGGCUCGGCCUCGCAAAUCCCAGGGGUUCAAUUCUGAUUUUUGAACAUCUCUAUGGCCAAAACUUUGGAGAAGCGGUGAUAUAUCAUAAUCAGCGUCAAAGUUUGGUACGCAAAGCAUUCCGAGCUUUGUACCUGCAGCUGUAAUUGGUGCCAGCAUGAGCAUGUAAAGCAGCAGAUAGCCAGCAAAUAAUAUAGCAGGUAACCAUCCCAGAUGUUAAGCGCGUGACUCGGAGAGCUCUCUUCGUGCAGUCUGUAUUAACGCGGCCAAGAAUGUGGAAGUAGUGCAAGUUGAAGGGUUGGUUAUAGACGCGUGCGCCAAGAACGGAAGCUUCCUGAGAGCUCGACCGCUCAGCCCCUGCAUCAGUUUACAGAAUCGCCAUCAGUUAACCAGCAACGAAUAUAAUGCAGAGAUUUGAAAUUUCGCGAGAAUUCUUGCAGUCAAGAGGUGAAAGUUGUUUACCUGGCACAAUUCAGCUGCUUCAAGCAGCAGUCUGGGUAGAUAAACUGGCCCAUGAAGUUCCCCGGCCUCACAGGAAUGGAGCUUCUCCUUUAAGGUUGCAUAGGUCGGAAGCGGGAAAUGAUCGUGCAACUAGAAAUUCAGAGCAUUGGGUUUUAACAGAUUCAGUGAAUAUUUCAGUAAAUUGUGAAAUGUUCGAGCAAUGUUAUAGGCUAUAGUUCACUUUUUUUCCUUUUUGCUUGAGAAAGAGAAAGGCAGCAUGCUAUCCGUUUCAUUCACUUUUUCAAAAAAAAAAAAACAAAAACAAAAACAAAAAACAAAAAAAACAAAAACUUGGUACUUCGGACUUUAGGCACCGACCAUCAAGGCCCCUUGUCACGUGCACUAGGGACGGUCGGCUAGAAUUCACAUUUGUUGGAGGCCAAUAGGCAAGGGUCCCAUUAUUGUUGUAUCAAUAAUAAUAACACUUUUCCAAAUAAGACAAGAAUAUAUUAGACACCGUAGCAAUUAUAGGGGCACCACUGCUGCUACGAUUCUAAAAUUUGGUUCAUGCAGCUGGAUAAGCACAGCAAAAGAAAACAUGGCACUUGACAGCAACGUGUCUGCAAAUUUCAAUACAUGAUCAGCUGAUAUGUCGGUUGAACAAGUAGCCUUUAUGCAGACCACAUGAAUCAAGGUUAAUCAGGCCGGGAAAGUUCCAGUUGAAGCCGAUGGCCCUUGGAAGAGGAUUUAUUCCCUCAGCCUUUGGCCUAGGUGUAGCUUUAAAUUAUAAUCUAUGCAUCAUGCGUAGAUUUUUUAUUAUCAUUAUUAUUUUGAUCUACCGACUAUCCCUAGAGCAAGUAGCAAAGGGCUUGGUGGUUGGUACCCGAGAUUUUAAGUUCGAAUCCUAGUUGAUUCACAUUUUCAGCUAAGUUUAUUUCUAAAUGAAAUAAACGAAGCGGAUAGCGUGCUACCUAUCUCUCAAAAAAAAAAUUUAUUAUUUUGGUCUUGGACUUAGAUGACAGAUAGCCCAAGUUCUCGUAGACAUUCAAGUCUAAAUAUAAAUGAAACUCUCUCUUUAGGUUUAAUUCUUUUUGUCUUAAAAGCGACAAUUGAGUCCAAUCAAAUAGCAAUCUUAGAAUAAUUCAAGGAUGGAUAUGUAGUGAAUUUGCAUUCAACAUAUUAAAUUAAUUAGAAUUUGUAACAUGCUCAUGGGAUUUGUAACAUGCUUAUACUAGAAAGGAUUGUUGUCCUAUUCAGCCCACCUCCAACCAUGGAGCAGAAAAAGGAAAGAUCAAAUGUACAGAGCUCAAGAAGUAAUAAAAACUCUGAAGUAUUAAAAAUGGGUCUAGAGUAAUGAGUAUUUACUUGAGGAUGCGUGAGAAUUCCUGCUCGUAGCAAUUCUUGCAAGCAAGACCUCAGGAUCUCAUAUCGUGCUUGAAGAGUAGGGGGACCAACAUAUGCUUUGAUAUCUGCUCGGUCAACAAAAGCAAUAUCUGCAAUCUAGACAGAAGUGAGUUUUAUGUCGAUGAACAUAGGUGUUCUAGAAGAAAAUAACUAAAUUCAUCCAUUUUUCUCAAGUUGAAUGUGACAGAACAAGAGAAAAGAGGUUAGUUUUAACCUAUAGACGCAUAGAUCAAGUAACUAAGGAAAAGCAACAAAUGUAACAAAUAGCACAAGACUAUAUUGUACUUUGAAACUGUUAAAUCAUAAGAGAUAACUCUAUAAAAUAUUGUACACUGUGCUGUUCUCAAUUCAGAUGCAGUUGAUGGAUAGUCGUAACAUGAAAUGCAGAUGCAGAAAUACCAGUUUAUUCACUACAACCACUUAGGGCCUAUUUUGGGAUGGAUAGAACAAACAGAAGUGUUGUGGAGUAAAGCUGCUCGAAAUUCAUUAGCAACUUCUAUUAAAACCUUCCUAAUAAUUAACCACUGACUAGACGCAAAAGCUUUAAUGGAGCUCCUGCCUUUGGGCUUCCAAAGCCACUUCUAACAUAGCAAAAAGAUCAAUACUUCUUGUCUGCCAAAUGUCUAACAACUACUUUUAAAUAUAGAAGCUGUUUAAGAAACCACACAAUGCUUAAUUUAGCGGGGUUAAUAUAACCAUAACUAAAUCUGUUUAUAUGUUUAUGACAUAAAUGAAAACUGUAAUAUUUAGUGGGAUUAAUAUAACCAUAACUAAACCUGUUUAUAUGUUCUAUGACAUAAAUGAAAACUGUAAUAUUACCCUUUAUAACACCAUCUUUUAUGUAUCCUAUCUCGAACAACUAAUUACAUUUCUAUUUUCUCAAUUCUCAUCAAAGUAAUUUUAAACAUUGUUUUGAAAAACAGUUCAUGCAACCCACAUAUGCGCCCGUGUUAAGUAAUCGCUAGAUAACCUCACAAAAGGCUGCAUCAUCAAAUGGCAUAGGAAGAAGAGGAGCAAGCUGUAUAGUAUGGUGUGCCAAUGAUCAGCUACUCAAAUACUUGAAAACAAAUUAUGCUAAAUAAGUCUUUUGACUUCUUUCUAUGAAAGAAUCGAGUGGAUACCAAUUGCUGCAGUUAUAUUUGAUGUUGUAAGAAUGAUCACAUUUGGCCAAGACUUUAAUUUGUCCAUUUGAGUGAGCAAUGCAUUGACGACCUGAAAGUUUCAUCCCAUGAUUUAGACACAUGUAUUCAGAGUUACACAUAUUCAAACAAUAAUUGCAAAUGGAUUAGUAAAUCAUACCCUAAUAGAAUCUGAAGGUUCAGAACCAGACAAGGCAGCCUGUCUGGCAGCAGCAAGGCUUUCGACUUCGUCUACAACAUCACAGAUCAAGAACAAUAAGGAUAAGAUACAAAUGUAAGCAUAGCAAGCAUAAGAUCAUAGUUUACCCACAAUAUAUUUCAAGGAAAGUUACACAACUAAUAAAUCGACUCCUUUUCUUUGAAUGCUUCAUGUAGCUAAUUGCUACUGCACCAAAAACACCAUAUGUGAGAAAACAACAUUCUACCAAAAUUGAACUAAAUCACACUGUUGCAAAAAAAAGUAAUCUAAAUCCUUACAAGAGGCACCGAAUAUGCAUGUGGAUUUGUAAAAGUCCAAUGUGAGUUCAUAUGUUACUAAACCUUAGGCACAAUUUGUACACUAGGAGAUCAAUUACAAUAGCAGAAAAAGAGCUAAGAAAAUAUUCACCAAUCAAGACAAAGACUAGGUUGUUUUCUUCCUCCACCAUCUCUUGAAUUUUUUGGAAAAGUUUUGCCACCUGAUUUAAAGAAUGUAAAAGAAAAUGAACAUCAAAGAUGUAAAACUUGAAAAAUGAGCAACUUAUGAAAGAUAAGAACAAUCUUCUUUACCUAAAAACUUGCCCUAGGAGCCAAAAAAUCAAUUAAAACUUUUAAUAUAUGGCAUAAAAAAGAUCAUAUACAUACAUACAGGGUUUAGGGUAUAGUAUGAGAGCUCUGGUACUAUAGCCUCAUUUUCGAUCUUAGGGUGUUCAAAUCAACGAUCCACACCGUUAAAUAUGAUCUAGGGUAUAUAAAGUUCUUAGGAAUAAAAUUUUAAUUUUUUUCGACAUCGUUUGCUUAGUAAGUAAAUCAUGCCAAAAUAAACAGUGAAAAUUGAACAAUCUUUAAAAUUUGAUGAUAGGACUUUUGAACUCACGAUCAAAGAUGCUGACUUUGAUCUUGAUAGUUUAAAGCAUUUUCUAUCAAAAUUUGAAUAAAUUUAGAUUCUUCUACACCGUUAAAUUAUAAACCCGCCAUAGUAGCUAUUGAAAAUUGACAAUUUUAAAAUGGUUUGAUCAUAAAGUAAACUAUGUUGGAAAAAUAUAAAACUUUAUUCCUAAAAACUUUCUAAUACCCUAGAUCAAUUUUAACAAUGUGGAUCAUUGAUUUGAACAGCCUAAGAUCGAAAACAAGACUUUAGUAUCAGAGUCCCGAUUCUACAGAUAUUAUAGAAGCCUAGCUCUUUGUAUAUAUAUAUACAUACAUACAUAUAUAUAUAUAUAUAUAUAUAUAUAUAUAUAUAUAUAGAGUCCGGCUACUAUACUAUCGAUAGUACCAAGCCCUUGGUACUAUUGAGUUUUCUACCGUUAGAUCUACCCUUUGAUCAUUUCCACCCGUUAGAUUAUACUAUUAAACCAACCACCCACUCAACCCUAGGGGACCACUAUCAAUUUAACCGGGGACCACUAUUAUCCUAACCGCACAUCCUUUCAUCCAACGGCCAAAAACUCAAUAGUACCAAGGAAUUGGUACUAUUGAUAGUAUAGUAGCAUAAUUCUAUAUAUAUAUAUAUAUAUAUAUAUAUAUAUACACACAAACACACACUUGUACAUAUACAUACAUAUAUAUAUAUACAUACAUAUGAGUAGGGCUACUAUACUCUUAUGAGUAUAGAGCUCUUCGUACUCAUGAGUUGUUUUCAAUGUUGGGGCUCUCGAAUCGACGAUCCACACCAUUAAACAUGAUCUAGAGUAUUUGAAACUUUUAGAAAAUAAAUUUCGUAAUUUUUCGAAACCACUAUAAAGUCCAUUAAGCGGGUAUAAAAUGAACGGUCAAAAUCAAACGACAUCCUAAAAUGGAUGAUCGGAUCCUUCAAUUUAAGAUCGGAGUUAUUGAUCCUUAUUUAGGUAGUGAAUAGAAUUUUCUAUCAAAAAUUCAACCUAUUCCAAUUCUUUUACACCGUUAAACUAGCAAAUAUCUCAUACCGGCCGUUAAAAAUUGUCAAUUAUGUGAGCUUUUGAUCGUAAGGUAAAUGAUAUCGAAAAAUUAUAAAAUUCGAUUUCUAGAAGUUUUAAAUGCUCUAGAUAAUGUUUAAUGGUAUGGAUCAUCGAUUCGGAAGUUCUAUUAUCGAAAACAACUUAUGAGUACGAAAGCGAUCGCUAGUCUCCUAUACUAUCUAUAGUACCGGGGCUCCGGUACUAUAGUCUCGUUUUCGAUCCUAGGGUGUUCAAAUCAACGAUCCACACCGUUAAAACUGAUCUAGAGUAUUUAAAGUUUUUAAAAAUAAAAUUUUAUAUUUUUUCGACAUAGUUUACUUCAUGAUCAAACCAUUUCAAAAUUGUCAAUUUUCAAUGGCUACUAUGGCGAGUUUGGAGUUUAACGGUGUAGAAGAAUCUAAAUUUCUUCAAAUUUUGAUAGAAAAUAUUUUAAACUAUCUAGAUUAAGGUUAACAUUCUUGAUCUUGAAUUUAAAAGUCCUAUACUCAAAUUUUAAAAAUUAUUCAAUUUCUACCGUCCAUUUUGACAUAAUUUAUUUACUAAGUAAACGAUGUAUAAAAAAUUAAAAUUUUAUUCCUAAGAACUUCAUAUACCCUAGAUCAUAUUUAACGGUGUGGAUCGUUAAUUUGAACACCCUAAGAUCGAAAACAAGACUAUAGUACCAGAGUUCCGGUACUAUAGAUAGUAUAGUAGCCUAUAUAUAUAUAGAGAGAGAGAGAGAGAGAGAGAGAGAGAGAGAGAGUACUCUCAAAAGCACCAAGGGGUUGGUGCUUUUGAGUUUUUAGCCNUAUAUAUGUAUAGAUGUAUAUAUAUAUAUAUAUAUAUAUAUAUAUAUAUAUAUAUAUAUAUAUAUAUAUAUAUAUUGAAGUUUGUGUAAUCAAGCUGUCUGAAAUGAGCUACAUUGCAUGAUGCAUUGAGGCUUGAAACAAAACAGUAAGCACAGCCAAACAAGGUCUAAAUCACUGCCUGCAUUUUUCGGUCCUCCCUGGGAUGAAAACAAAAUAAGCUGUUCUUUUAAGGAAGUAAGCUACAAAGCUAUAAUAUUCAGAUAAUAUUUCUAAUCUCAAGAAUAUAUCUAGGUUCUCAAAACUUGACUUAUCCAAUUAUAAGAAGGCCACUCAGCUUUGCAGGACUAUAUAAUAAAAGAAAAUUACAACACGGCAGAGAAUAAAAGUCGUCAUGAACAUGCUGAUAAUAUAAACAUCUGCAUGAGUCAAAAAAAAGGAGUAGAAUAGCAUACCAAUUUACCACUCUCAGAAAACCAUUUGCUAAACAAGGAAUGAGCAUUGACUUCAACCAAUUGGCAUUCAGAGUACCUUGUUGAAAUCACUAGAGGAUGAAACAAGUAAAUCAUAUCAAAUUAAAUCACUAAAAAUGAAAUGCUAUACUAACCUUGACUUGAAACGUAUGGACAGCUUCUGCGCUAAUGCUUUGCAUAAAGAUGUCUUUCCCGUUCCUGGUGGUCCAUGCAAAAGGAUAAUCCUGUAACACAAUUCUAAGAAAUAUGUUCUCACUAGUCUACACAUUUUUUUUCUUAGUACACUAAUUACAGAGUUAGCUUCUUGAGACAUUCUGGGAGAAAGCCUUUUAAGCACAAAAAUCACCUCACAGUUAGCAACAUAGAGGUAGGUAGUUAACGAGCACACUAAAUAAUAUUCAAUUAGCACAAAGUUUGAACAGAAAUUCCACUUUGCUACUAUUUUGCACCAUAAAAAUUAGAGAUACAGAAUAAAUGGCAUACAGAAGGCAGCUUACCGGUUCCAUGAAACAAGACAAGGAUCUACACCUCUCUCAGUAAAGAACAGCGCACUGGAAGCAUAUCUCAGCAACCUCUGCUUGAGCCCAGUUUCAUAAAUUAAGCUGCAAAUAAUUAUCAAAGAACUAAAUAGAAUCAACACCACUUUGUUAUGAGCAAGAAAAUAUUUAAUUGCCUAACAAACCUUUCCCACAGUCCAUCAAAUUCUUUUGCUGGUAAUGCCCACUCAUUGAAGAUAGAAAGUGUGUCAUCUCCACUCGGUUCCUCACCUGGCCCAUCUUCAUUAAGCUGCAACAUGUGUUAUUACUUGAUCGAAAAAAAUACCAAACUAAACAUUAGUUACACCUUAGAAAUCAGAUAGUAGUAAAAUUUUGACAAAAUUGACCAGAUAUAUACAAUGUCUCAAUUUGCAUGGCACAAGCAUAUUGUAGAUGAAGUUAUGGAUUUAGUAACAUCUUCGACAUAUAAAAAAAGUAGUAGAUACCUGGAACACAUAUACAACAGGCCUGACUUGCCAAAACAAGAGAACUUUAUGCUUGUCCAGCCACUCAUCUACAGAAGAAUAUUUUUCUUAUUAUGAAGAUAUUAAAACUAAAACCCAAGCACACGAAAGCUAGAUAUGACAACCAAAACAGGAUGUUUCCAAAUAUCAAGUACCAGUGUCGCAGAUCUGAAUUCUUUGUACAUUCUCAAGAAGAAAACAAUCAUCAACAGGCACCGGAACAGGACCAUCAACGUAACUCAAGCUUCUUUUCUCUAGCAUCCUGAUAAAAAUUGCGACAAAAAUCAGGAUCAAUAAUCAAAUACUCAUAGCACGGUAAUAGAAAAAAGAACAUUACAACAAUUCAUCCCGCAAUGAUAUGCAACAGACCAAAAUAUCAAAUGAAUCUGAACUAGUAGUCUAGUACACAACCAUCAUAUAUCGUGUUGAAGGAGUCAACCACUAUAAAAAUGUAAUAUUUCACAUGGAUUUCACUAUGGAAACAUGUAUGUCUGUCAACUGCAAAAUGAACAAUGCAAAAGAUAAAAGUAAAAUAUACAUAGAUAACAAAAGAAGAGUGAAUUAUAUUCAUAGAUUGUCAUCUUAAAUGGCCUUGGGAACAAUAAGACAAGUAGUAGGAUAGAAGCAUUAUCCUGUGUUCCCCCAAGGCAAGCAUCCAGCAUAUUCAAACACUAUAACCAUAUUCUAUGGCGCAGGCAUUUCCCUCGAACUUCUGAAUUAUGUGUGACAAUCACACAAAGCUUAUACAAUUAGUUGGAACCAAAUACUGUCGAGGACGCGAAGGCUUAAAAGAGGAAGUAUACCAAGUCUCUCCAUGUAUGAGUAUGCAUAGAACUAUCACAUCACAUGUGUGUAUGAAAGAUCUUCAGUAGUUAUUAGGACAAAAGAAUCCAAAAUAAUGUCCUAUUAUUCUAAUCAUGUAACUUUGAGGUAAUGCUGGGCCAUGCGGAGCUCCAUGCACUGCAUCGACAGCGCGCGCACACACGGAGCUGAUUAACUACAUUACCAGUUCCUAUUUCAUUCCUAAACAACUAAAUUUCCUCAACUACAAGUAGCGCAGUAGAGAGAUUGAAAUGGCUACAUUUCUCUAUUUUCUCAAGAUCGAUUGAGACCAAAGAGUGGACAAAGCACGAACCUUUCGACCGCCACGCGAACGUCUUCGAUCCGUGCUGUGCUCGACGGCUUCAAGCAUACCUCAACUGCCGUCGGCGGCGGCGGCGGGGAGCGAGACCUCCAUUGGAGAGCUCAUCUUCGUCGUCGUCGUCGUCGUCGUCGUCGUCGUCGUCUCCACCUCCUCUCCCUCGGCGGUAGAGUCGAGGGGUUCGGCAAAACCCUAAAAAAUCCGAGAAUGGGAGCGGGAACGGUUUCGAAAUCUUUCGAUUUCCCUCGCGCUCUACUCGUCGCAACACGCGACUAGCCUUUUUUAAAGUUCUACUAUUUUUAAUUUAAUAAUUUUUACUUAAUUAAUUUUUUUUGGUUAAAUUAAUGGUAAUUUGUUAAAACUAACUAUUCUGAAAUUUCUUUUCAUGAUGAUGUCGUAAAAUUUGCCAACUUUUUUUUUUAGAAAAAAGUAACACGCAACCUGCUUCAUUUAUUAAGCAAAUAAAUUUAGCUACAUAAAAUGAGACAACCAGGACCUCAAGAGGACGAAAAAGCAAAAGAACAAAGAUUCACGGAAAAAAAAAUGGUAAAAAAAAAUCAACGAAAACAUCAAGACAAUAUCCUAAUAAAAAAAUAGACGUCACCCGGCUCUAUAGAACUCGGCUCACUCUUUUGUCAAUACUCCGAUACGAUGAGCUAUUAGAAAAAAUAUCAGUGAAUAGAUUUUUGAAAAUAACAUUAUUUUUUAUCGCGCAAGACCAUCCACCAAGUGGCCACCACCAGUGUCAAAGCCUUCAGAGGGUCGCUCUGUGAACGCCUCUCUAGCAGCCGCUCUCAGACGAUGUUGAUAUCUCCAAUAAAAGAGUAGACGAGUCACUCUCCAAGGUGCGAGAACACACCCCACCAGCAAGGUGUGAGAAAAUAACAUUAUUUCUAUUUACCAACUAUUAAUGAAUAAUAGCUAAUAGAACAAUUAACUUUAGCAUAGACAAUCUAAUUUAAUUUUUAAAAACUAGUUUCUAAUUGAAAGAAUUAAAAAAAAAAAAACACAUCUAUUAAAAAAACAGUCCACAAGUUUAUUUUUCAAAAUAGCUAUUAUUGAGAGGUGCACGCUGUAUUUUUAUUUUAAUAAACUAGUACUUUGAUUUAAAUGAAUAACACACUAAUAAAUUAUUCUGCAAAGCUUCAUUGUAAUAGUGCAUCACAUUUUAAAAAUAUAAUUUAAAGUAAUUUAAUAUUUGUUAAUGUAUUCUUUAUUCGAUCUAAAAAGGGUAUAAACUAAAGACGGGGAAAUGAGGAUGGAUAGUCUUUGUAGUAUUCCCAUGUUUUUGAUUUGGUUUUGCACUUUUCACCAAAAUACUUAAAGUCGCCAAAAUUUUUAAACAUCGCAAUUUUAAUUCCGAUGAAAGGGGAAAAAGAAGAGAAAAACUAACACCUCUUCACCUUUUGGUAGGACCAUUUGCUUAUUUUGUAACACAGAGUUAAGGGUGGAACUGGACCCGGGCCUAAACAAGGCCUGGCCUGAUGGGCCAUGUUUGGGCCGGGCUUUGGGUAUUAAAAAUAUAACUUUGGGUCAAGCCGGGCUUAAAAAUUUAGGCCCGAAUAAAAUUUUGGCCUAUUUGGGCAUGUCCAAGCCCGGCCCGAGCCCGACCCAAAAGCCCGAUAUAUUAAUUAUCAAAAUAAAAUAUUUAAUUAUAUUAUAUAUAUGUAUUAUUUAUCUAUAAAAGAAAUAAAUAAUAUAGUAUAUCAUAUAUAGUAUAUAUUGUUAUUAAUGAUAUUAAUAUAUACUUAUAUAUAUGAGGAUAUAUUAUAUAUUAACAAAAUAUUUAGUUCCAUAUUAGGAUAUAUUUGAUAUUAGAUAUUAAUUAUUUGAUGUGAUCAAACUAAAAAUAGGCAUUUUAUUUUAAUUUUAUGCAAAUAAAAGUAUUUAUGUAUUAUAUGAUAAAUACAUAAAAUGAGCCUCUACAAAGCCCGAUGGGUAUUGGGCAUUGGGCUUGGGCUUGGGCUUGGGCCGGGCCUUAAUUUUCAAAAAAAAUUGGGUAACAGCCUUACCCGAAGCCAACAUUUUUUUGGGCCGGGCUUGGGCAUAGUAUUAACUGACCCAAACCCGGCCCAGUUCCACCCCUACACAGAGUCUUUUGCUUAUUUAUUUUUUAUUACUAUUCAAAAAAUUUUAUUUAUCUUAAAAUUAUUAAAAUAUUUUUUAAAAUUCAAUCUCAUUAGUAAACCAGAAAAUAAAAAAAUUAUAUUUAAAAUUUAGUUCUUCAAAAAUAAAUAAAAAUUUUUUGAAAUUAAAAAGGUAUAUUAAAUAUUAUCCCUCAACUGUAACAUUAUUUUGUUAAAUUACUCGAAAGUUCUAAAGAUAAGGAGGAGCCAAAAGUUAUGAAAUGUUCAUACAACCUUAUCUCCCUCCCCCUCCACACACACACACACACACACACACACACACACACACACGCUAUUACUGUUCACAUGAAGAAGUCGGCAGAGGAAGCCGAAACCGGCGCCGACUACUUGGAGGUCCUGAAGGCGGCGGCGCAGGCGUGGCAUGCGCAGUCCGGCAACCCGAAGCCGACCUCCAGCGAGCUCCGCACCGCUCGCGCUUCAGGCUCGAGGCCAUGCGGUCGGCUGCCGCUGCCGAUCGCAACGGCGUCGUCGGCUUUUACACAAACAGCAGCAGCAGCAGCAGCGUGAGUGGAACGUGGGACUUCACGCAGUCGCUGUGGGACUCGUACGAGAUCGUCGCGGUGUCGAAGAAGCUCGAGGCCAGCCUCGCGCUCGACGCCGACAGGGAGGCCGACCGACGCCCGGUGCCGCUGGGCCGUGCUGUCGUUGUCAGGCGGAGCGGCAAGAGAAGCAGGGAGAGCAAGAACUCUUUGAGGAAUCUGUUUCACAGAGUUUCGGAUUCUAAAAGUAACACCGUGUACGGUGAUUUACAAGAAUUAAAAUACCGUGACGCGAGUUCAUGUCGAAAAUGAUACGGUACAAUAUGUGCCCUGCAUGCUGGGUACACAAAUACAUGUGUGCCAAACAUAUUCAACAAUUUAUUUCUAAAUUUCUUCUAUUCACGUUUUUAUUUUUAUCUUUUUAUAUUGAGAAGAUUAGGCACAAAAAUAACCAAGAAUAUUAUGGUUAAACCCAAAUUUUAAAACCAAAAUCCACAAAAAUUUCAACCAUCUAGAAUAAAAAAAGUUCCACAAGAUGCACCUCUUUUUACUGUGGUGUAGCAUCAACCAUGCUUUGAGAUUCAGAAUUUUUUUCUUUUUUUUUCUCAUAUGAUGGGUCAAUCACUCAAACUUUUUUUAGGUAAAAACCUGUGAUUUCAUACUUUUUCAUUUUAGUAACCGGUGGUUUAAAGUGUAUCAAGUUAGUACUCAAUGAUUUCGCACUUUCUCACUUUAGUAGCCUGUGGUUUAAAGUGUAUUAAGUUAGUACUUUGUGGUUUAUUUUGGUACCAAGUUAAUACCCUAUGAUUUUAUUUUUGUAUCAAGUUAGUACCCUGUGGUUUUUAAAACACAGGGUACUAAAAUGAGAAAGUGCGAAAUCACUGGGUACUAACUUGAUACAUUUUAAACCACAGGGUAUUAAAGUGAGAAAGUGCGAAACCACUGGGUACUAACUUGAUGCACUUUAAACCACAAAGUACUAAAGUGAAAAAGCGCAAACCACAAGGUGCUAACUUGAUACAUUUUAAACCACAUGGUACGAAAAUGAGAAAAAAUGAAACCACAAGGGAGGUAUUUGAAGUUUUUCCUUUUUUAACUAUCUUUUUGUGUAGGAAUUAUUGUAGAAAAGAAAGAUACGAGAGAAUUCAUGAAUUUUUUCGAAGUGACUAACACUAAACAUUCCACUACCAAGAAAACGCAAGGAAUCUAUCCAAUAAUAUACUUUAAUAGUAGUGAACAGAAAAAUUCUGUAUAUUAGUUGAUCUUAUUAUCGAUCAUGUUAGACCUGACAAACGGACGGGUUGGAUAACUCACGGGCGAGUCAUUGUACCCACGGGUUACUUGGGCAUGGGUAAAAUUUACCCACAAAUUUUUGAAUAGCCAAUAUCUUUAUCCAUACCCGCCCACGGGUGGGCGGGUGGGUAUGCAGGUUACCCGCAAAUUUUUUUCUUUUUUUCUCUUAUAUUUUUUAAAUGCAAACACAUAUAUAUAUGUUUUAAAAAUAUAACAUAAGUCAUUUUUUAAAAUAUCAUAACAUACAAUAAAAAUAUUUAAAGUCUUAAAGCAAAAAACUUUUGUAAUAUAAAAGACGCGAUAAGAAAUUAAGGUUAAAAUUUUUAGGAUGGAUAAAAAAAAAUAUAUGUAUUUUAAUUAAGAAAAUAUUUUUUUUAAUUAAAAAAAAUAUGUGCGGGUAUCCGUGGGUACCCGCGGGUUACUCAAAAUAUCCACAGCUUAAUGGAUACCUAUUCGUUUUAUCCGUAAUUUUUUGAGUUAAAAAAGUUGGUACCCAUACCCGCAAAUUUGCGGAUAACCCGCAGAUAUGAGUCGAGAUUGUCAGGUCUAAUUCAUGUUGAUCCUAUCAUUUUAGCCAAAUCAAUAGACCGCUGCUAUUGUUGAGAUCAAUCCUGCCUCACAGAUGAACGGCGAUAAGAACAUCUGCACUCUCAGACCAGCUACUAACUAGCUUUUUAUACUUCGAAAAGAGAAAAGCUUUAAUUAUAAAAUAAAACAUGCUUUUGAACUCAUUAGCAGAAACUUUAAUUUGAAACGGUCAGGUUUUCUACUUUUACUGUAAGAGAAUGUAACCAGAAUGACUUUAAUGACGAAAGUUGCUAACAUUUAUUUAUAUAAUUCUAUUUAAAGAGCACUUUCCUAAGCACGGAUUGAUCGAACCAAACUUGCCUUUAAAGUUAUUUAAAGUUAGUCAUUGCUAAAGUUUACUUUGGUAAGCCUAACCUUUGUGAAAGUGGGAAGCAUCCUUGAAUAUUCCGAAGCUCUUUGAGGUCAGGUCCCCAGAAAAGUACUGAGUGGUUUUUGAAUACAUAUCUCUGUGAUUGGUGGGAGACAUAAUAUCAUGGGACAGAUACAUUUGAUGUUACGUCCUUUCACAAAAUAUUUUAUAUGGCAGUCACAUCUCAUCAUUUAUAUUCUAAUAAAUCAAAUUAUUUUAUUGAUACAUUUUGAGUUAUCUUUUUUCAUAAAGUAUUUUAUGUGUCAGUCACACCUCAUCAUUUGUAUUCUAACAUAUCAAAUUAUUUUAUUUAAUAAUAUAGUUAAAUAAAAAUAUUUUUUUUAAAAAAGGGACUAAAUAUGAUUAGUUAAAGAUACCAUAACAUUAAUAUGACCACCAUUUUUUAAUUUUUUUUUAAAAUUUUUUUAGGUUCUAAAGAGUAAAGACCCAGGUCUUUUAUUCCCGGGCUUUUACUGUCCAAUCCAAUGAGUGUAAAGAAGGGCUACAAUAGAUGGGACAAAGGGGCACACAUUAUCCCUUCUUUUAAUGGUAAAGGAAACAAAGACGGGGCUAUAAUAUUAUUUUUGAGCAGGCCAUUUGACUACAACAAUGUUAUGGAAAAAGGAGAUCCUGUAGUCCCAAGUAGGGAAUUUUAGUGCAUGUCAAUUUCUACUUUUAGAUUCUUAUUUGAUAGAUUUUUUGAUUUACUCAGAAAACUUAUAGCAGUUAGCAGAUGAAGAGGAUAAUCAAAUAUUUAGAAUAUAAUAUCGGCCUUAAAGUCAAAUCAUAUUAUAGAUGAAAUAUACUAAAAACCUUUCAAGAGCAAAAAAUCAAACAUCUAUUUUAUAGUUAUAUAGAAAAAUCUUCAUAGUUAAUAAGUUAUCUCUAGAUAACUUAUUAUGACACAUAAACAGGACCUAAGGUGUAGCAUUAUUUAACAAAGUUGCAGCAGAAGCAGAAGCAAAACUCCUACAUUAAAAUACACACUCACACACACAAAAAAGGAGAUAAAUGAAGUGGGCCAGUAUGAUUGCUAUUUUCAUUAGCUUUCGAAGAGACUUAUUAGUCAUUGUUUAGAUUAUCUUUUCAGGCACCAUUGAUGAGUUCAUGAAAAUGGGACAUAGAUUAAAUUGCAUUUGAUGUCUCUAUCAUGUGCCUCAGAAUGAUGCACCACUAAUUCAGUACAAUUGUCUUAAAAAAAGGAACCUUCCUUUUCCUUCCUUCGCAAUUCUAAGCUAAGCACCGAAUUUUCGAUUUGGAAAUGACUUUACACUUGCAUCUAUAAUUAUAGGCAAAAGUAGAUGCAGAUGCACUGAAAAUUGCAGAAGAUCAAGCAAUGGCAGAGACACCGACUACAUAAUCAAGUUUUUAUCACCCAAGCUCAAAAUCCAUGCAGAUACUUUGGAAUAGCCAAGUAAACUUUGUUGUACUCCUCUAGAUAUGGUCAGUGCUUCAACAUACAUUGUUACAUAAAGAGAUACAAUUCAAGAGGAUUGUGAGCUGUACAUUUUACAUACUUUUCAUAGGCAUAGUAAGUCCAAUUUCUGAUAUUGGGUAAUGUCUAAAGUUUGAUGUAACAUGAUUUUCGUAAGUUUCCGGAUGGGUUGUGCAAAAUUCUGUUCCUAAGUAUCAGAAACAACUAAUAUGAAGAUGAGAAGCCCCACACGAAUAAGAAGCUACUUCCUAUAAUCCUUUUAAAUCAUAUUCAAAAGGAAGUUAAAAGCUGCUCUAGUUCACCAACAUAACUGUCGCUGACGAGUUUUAACUCGAUAACAAUUGGCAAGACAUUAGCUACUGUAAUCGAAGCGGCACCGAACAUCUAACUUGUACAAAACAAGGUUGUAUAUUCAGGCUCUACCUUCCAAAAUUCAACUUGUUUUCAACUUAGCUGGCAUUUGACAACUUUCAAACAGUGACAGCAAAGAUAAGUGCCAGAUAAGCAUGGCCACAUAAAUAAGGACAUAUGACCAUGUGCACCGCUACGUUGUACAGCAACAAAAGAAGGGGGAUAAUUUACACUGAAGAAUUUUACAAAAGAUAGAGAGAUCAUGUAGUUUGUAAAAGGAAUCUGAAAAAAGAGGAAAUGAUCCGUGAAAGAUGCAAAAGUUCAGCAAUCGGAGACCCACAGACACAUAGCAUUCGAAAUGCACCAGAAACAUACACACAAUUGAAAUUUGAUAUGCAACGACUCCACACAAUCCCCUUUUCCUCAGACACUUCUCAUCUUCAGAAUUUAUUCAUCGAAUAGGCUAUUAAAAUUUACCUAAAUAUGACAAUUGUAGUAGACUGGAUAAUCCUCAGAAGAAAUAUCUUAGAGACGGUUGUUGAAACUCAAAUUUCAGGGAAAAAAUGGCAACACUCUAAAAGUCGGAUAAAGAACCACGAGUCAAGUUGCUGAAAUAUGAAGCUACGGUCUAAACAGCAUCAGUAAAUUGGAGUCAACCACAAGUCACAACUACAAAUGAUACAUUCAUGCACAAGAAUUUUUCUGCCCUUAAGUUUGACUUAAAAGCAAAAGCAAUAAAAAGGAGAAAAUGCCAAGGUUGAAUAGGCCAUUGUUUUCUUUAGAAUUGCACAGUUCAAUUUGCGUCAGCAGUUUCUCUGAUAAAUGCCAAAUACACCUAAAUACCUUAAAUAAAUCUUUUAUCUUUUUUUUUCCCCCCACAGCAGAGUCAAUUAAAACACAUCAACAUAGAAGAAAUCUCGCCAUAAAUCAUAUUAAAAAUUCGCCUCAAAAUGAAGAACUCCAAUACAUGGUGCAUCUCAAGGUGCCGUUAAAAUAUCUAGGCUACUGCAAAAGACAAUUACAUGAAUAAAUUAAUUCUCCAACAAAAACCAAUUUCCUAACUCACAAUAACACAAGUUUGGACUUUGGAAUGUCGGCUGAUUUUCAUUUCAACAAAAACAGUGCGAUUCACAUACCAACAAUUCGAAGAAAAAUGAGCGAUCUCCGUUGGUAGUUACACUCUGUCGACAUCCUUUUGUCAGAUAAACAGUGCGAGAAAGCAUGUAGAUGGUGUUUGCUCUUCAAUCAUCUUAAUAGAUAAUAAGCUCUAAAAGUUGUCCAUCCUCCACUUCUCACUGAAGAGUCAUUCCAUCUACGGUUAGAUACUUGUUUACCGUACAAAGUGGCGAUCUCUGAAUCGAUUGAAGGAAACAAGUGAUAUAGGGGAUAAAGUUUAGCCACUCUCUCUUAUGCAGUUUCCGGGUAGGAGAUAUCUGUACUGUUCGACAUUCUGUAGUAGAUAGCCAGGAAGAUGAACAGCAGAAUAUGUACGUGGAAUCGGCCCCAGCUUUGCAAUGAUCUCUUGAAAAGUGUAUUCCUCAGGAAGCAUAUCGAAUAGGUCCGCUCCUCGGCAUAUAACACUUUGAAUCCUGGAUCGGUUGAGGUAAUACUUAAACCUCACGCGGUCCACGUGACUAUACGCCCUCAUCUUGAACACGAAAUCGCUGAUGCGGCGGAAGCAGAAGCUGCAGUGCCACCCCGAAUCAGCCAAUAGGUUGUCAGUCUGCCGGAAAUGUGCGUAUCUCGUCUUCCCUGCUCGAUAGCGGUGGACCGAAGCCCUCCAACUCUUAUCAUCAAGGUAGAACUCGAACGAAUAAAGAUAAUUCCGGAGCUGGAGAUGCAGUAUCUCAGGAAUAUCAUCGCACCAUCUUAACAGGUCGAUCGUGUGGCCGCUAGGGAUCUCAUCGACGUCGGACAUGAUCAAUAGGUCAUCGUCAUUGAUGCCCGCGAUUCUGAUCAACUGGUCCAACGCCACUCUCUGAUACGACUCCUCGACAAACGGGUUCUCCCCCUUCACGAAUCUUCCACCGACCGUGCCAUACGUGAGCCUGGACUCGGCAAACUCAAAGCGGUCACGGUUCUCUGCAAAGUAGAGCUGCUUUCUCAGGCCAGUGAAAGUGGAAUUGGAUUCGAGGAGCACGAACUCGGAAACGUAGGGGCUCAGCUCAUUCCAACGGAUUUUCAGGAUGUCGAGCUCGUUGCUGAAGAGCACAGCAUCGAAGACUCUCCGCGGCGAUUCGCGGACUCUCCAUCCGUGGAGCUUGCAGAGGUGGUCGAACGACACAUUCUCAUGGUAAUAAUGAGGGAUGGUUUCGAAGGGCUUCGGCGGAGAUUCCCAAAGCGGGCGAAGGAAGUAGGUGAUCUUCUGGCCAUGUACAUAUAUGACGAAGAUGAGUGUCGGUAAGCCGACGAAGAGGAGAAGUAAUGCCUUGAGAUCGAACCCGCGGAGGGCGCAGCGCAGCCGCGACAUGCUCAGGGCGGCCCUCGCCUGCACAGUUCGAGAGAGAGAGAGAGACAGAAACACAGCAGUUAAUGCAUGCCCUGAUAUACCAAUAACAGCUAAAAUAACUAACAACAACAACAACAACAACGAAGGAGCACAUCCAAAACCAUAACAUGGUAUUGCUCAUUAGGAAAUAUCCAAUUUUGAUUUCUAAUAUUGCAAGAGGAAGCAUCAAAUGAAUUGAAACAGCACCAAAAUGCAAGGAACUAACAACAAUAGAGCAAAUCCAAACUCAUAUCUUGGGCAUUGCUCAUUCAUUGCAUAUCAUUUUUCGAUUCCUAAUAGAACAAGAGGCAACAUCCUAUGCAUCCAAAUUGUACGCAAAAACCAGGGAACCAAAUACACAAUUUGGAAAAGCAAUAGUUGUGGUAGUAAAGAUCACCAAAGAUCAAAACUUUGAUAAAAUACCAAAUUCAUACCAAAAACCAACAACAUAGCACAACCAAAUGGAAUCAAAAUCAAACCAAUCCAACCCCUUUUCCCAAGCAAAAAAAGAAAUAAAAAAGAAAAAAAAAAGAUCCCCCCCUAAAAGUAGAUCUCAACCACGAAAGAAAAGGGAACAAAAUAAAUAUAUAAUAAAAAAAAAUGGAGAAAAUUUUUACCUCUCCACACACAUCCUCGCAAAGAUCAUCUGAUUUCUUCGAAUUAUAAUACCCAGAAUCCGGCAUCGCGAACCCAAACGGGAAGGAGAAAAAAAAAAAAACCAAAUCACAAAAAGCCCAAAAGUCCCUAAAAAUCCCACCUUUUCUCUUCAACGGAAAUCUCAAUCAGGAUAAACAAUAUUUUUUUUAAAAAAAAACCCUUUUUUUCCCCAAAUUUCUCUACGGAUUCCGCCUUUUUCUCCUCGCAAAAGCCUCAAACCGUCCAAAUUCUAGCCGUUUGAGAGGUUGAGUGGCUCCUCCUAUUCUCCUUUUUCGCUUUUUUUUCCCCCAAAGCUCCUAUUUUUAUUAAGCAAUUUAGCAACCCACCCCUAAAUAAAAGUAAUAUUUAUACCCCUAUCUAAGGAAGUGGCCUUUUAAUGUCCUUUCAAAUCCAAACUCCCCUCCUUCCUCUCAGCUUCUUCUGCAACCCAACACGGCUAAGAAAGAGAGAGAGAGAGAGUGUGAGAGAGAGAGUACACAAAUACUUGGAGAGUAGUAGCAAAAGAGCACUCUUUGGUGUCAAAAGGUAGAGAGAGAGAGAUGGAGAUGAGAAGUGUUUUGGGUUGAGACCAAAGCAUUUGAUUUAUAUACACACGCACACAUAGUUCAACACGGAAAAGGCAUUUAUUGCGUGGACCAGGUCCACCAGGAUGCCAAAUAUACAUGGCCACUACAAUCACUGAGAAUGUUGGCCUUAUGUGUUGCCGAUGUGCGGUGGUGAAAAAAACUUUUACUUUUGUACUUCAAAAGAUGUAAAAAAAAUCUAAAAUGCUUAUAACCUUUCCUUCUCCAAAGCUACAUGAUUUUUCGAUGAUAAGUGCAAUUUUAUAAUAUCAAAGAAGAAAAAAUUAAGAAUACUUAUAAAAUUAGCACUUUUAAUCACCAUAUUAUUAAAUUAAAUCUUUGUUAAUUAUGCACGCAACCAAAAAAGUCUUACGAGUUUGUCGACGCAUUAAUAGUGCAUACAUGUGACAUCUUAUGGAAGAUCUGAAGUAUUUUUUAUUUACAAAAAUUCUGUUCGAAUGCCGCUGAGCUCGUAAUUUAGAUUGUUUCAAAUUACUUUAAUAAGUAGAAGUGAAUAGAAAAGCACAAAUGAUAUUAACCUACUUUUAAGCUUAUAAUUUUUAAUACAUGCAUGCAUAUUUUAGAUAUGUGGGUCAAUAGUUACAGAUCAAAUCUAAUCAUUCAAAUUUUGUACAUUAUAAAUAUUAUUCUUAAUGAUUAAGUCAUAAUGUGUAGUUCUUGAAAAUAAUGUGGUGGACCUGGUCCUAGCCAAAAGUUUCUCCUCUAUGUUCCAUUGUUUGUGCCGAGACGCGCUUAUGUAUUAAUAGCACAGGAUAAUUAAGACGUUGAAAAUUUUACACUUCGUGUUCUUUAACUUCUUUUUGCCCUAAAAACCGAAUUCCCAAUACCACUUCGGUGGUUUCAGAUUUUCUUAUUUUGUUACUAUGUGAUUUAAAAUAUUUUAAUUUAGUGACAUGUGAUUUUAAUUUUAUUUUUUAUUAUUAAUUUUACUUUUUUUUUAUUAAAUUAGUGACAAAGUUAAAAUCAAAGAGUACUAAAGUGAAUAUUCGAUAAACCUAAAUGGGAUAUCUAAAAUUUUUUUUGCAUAUAAUUUAACGAAAUAUUAACAAAAAAUCUAACGAAAAGAUAAAAAUAAAACCACAAUACACUAACUUGAUACACUUUAAACCACAUGAUACUAAAGUGAGAAAAUGCGAAACUACAUAUAUAAUAUUUGAAGUUUAUCCUAAAUUAUAAGCAAGCACCCAUUGAGCGUAAUUUACUGUAUGAAAAAAUUCCGAGCACGAAACAAUUUCACCAUUUUCUUUUUUGAGACACUGUUGCAUUUAAAUCAACGAAACAGAUAACUUGUUAUCUUUUUGUAACUUUUGGUGAUAAAUUUUGAUAUGGUUAUAUCAUAUAUUAUAGGAUUAAGAAAAAAAAAAGAAAAAAAAAAGAGAACAUUGGUUGUGACAAUCCCACAAUGGUCGAUCGCUACAAUGGCACCACGGUAAUUACGAUGUUUUUGGAUUAUUCUUGUUGGCUUCGUAUAUCAUAGUUGUUAAUUAAUUAAAUCCCAAAAAAAUAUGUUUCUUAAUAAACUAGUAGAUAUAUAGCGUAAAUAUAUCCAAUAAUUCGUUCGGUGUUUUUCAUACUAAAAAUCAAGAAAAGACACGUGACAACGGAUCGAAUUUGAAUUUUUAUUUAAAAUUUAGAUGAUUACUGGUGGCACGAGUCUAUAUUUGAAUUUGUACUUUAAAUUUAGAUGGUUAUUGAUGACAUGAGUCUAUUUUUCAACCGACUUAUUUUUUUAAUUUUGAUUUGUUUUUAAGUAUAUUUAUAAUUUAGUUUAUACCGUGUUAUUUUUUAUUCGUUUUCAUAACAUAUAAAUAUUUUUUAAUGUAUAACUAAAAUUAAAAAAUUUGAAUUGAUUUUAAAAUUGCAAUUAAAGUAUGAAUUUAGAUUUAAAUUUACAAAUCAAACUCAAAAUUUAAAUAUAACUUUGAAUCCGUUAUUUGAAUUUAAACAAUUAUCGAGUUUAUAGGUUUAUUUUAAAACUAUUAUAUUUUUCAAACAUGAUUUGAUUUUAAUUAGUUAUUUAUUUAAUUUUGCUAUUAAAAAACACCCAACAAAUUCUCAAACAAAGAUAAAACUGACACUUGAUAAUGAGUCGGCCCGUUGGGCUCCCCAAUGAAGCGUAGUUAGAGAGUUUCUCACUGAAGUUUUAUUCUCAAAUUUUAUGACUUGCUGAGUAUAGCACUUUUCUUAAUUACAUGAUCACCGUGAUUAACAAUAUAAUCGAGGGAAAGGAUUUUGUCACCUCCUACAACGGUAGGUGCCAUAUAAAAAAGAAAAAACUUCAAAUACUCUCUCUCUGUGGUUUCGUAUUUUUUCACUUUAGUACCCUGUGGUUUAAAGUUUAUCAAAUUAGUAUACUGUGGUUUUGCACUUUCUUACUUUAGUACCCUGCGGUUUCAAGUGUAUCAAGUUUGUUUUCUGUGGCUUUGUUUUUGUAUCAAAUUAGUACCCUGUGGUUUCAAUUUUUUGUUUUUGUUAUUCAUUUCGAAGUAUAUAAAUAUUAAACCAUAGGGCACUAAAGUGAGAAAGUGCGAAACCACAAGGUACUAACUUGAUACCCUUGAAAUCACAUAGUACUAAAGUGAGAAAGUGCGAAACUAUAGGAUACUAACUUAAUACAUUUUAAACCAUGAGUACUAAAGUGAAAAAGUGCGAAACUAUAGCGGGGUAUUUGAAGUUUUUCCUAUAAAAAACAAUUAUUAUUGGUUGAAAACUAAGGCUGAUACAGAAUUAUAUUCUUAUUUUUAUAUUCGACAGUAUCAUUAUUAAGCUCAACGGCUAUAAUUGAAAUGUAUGGAAAUUUCCAAUCGAAUCACGCUGAUCGAAUUGGGUUAGGCGUAGAUUCUUAGACGUUGUCCACCGAGAGAGGCUACAUGCAUCACACAAGCAAAAUUAUUCUUUUCUCUUUGUUUCCUUUGCCGUACAAAACCACACAGUUUGAAUUCGUGUGGCAUCUUCUAUUAUUCUAUGUAGAAAAUUGCUGGGGUAAUUUGUACGUUUGGUCCUCAAAACAUAAAUAUAUGAUAUUUUCGUACUUAAACUUUAGUUUGUUGUAAUUUCUGGAUCGUAGUUUUAAACUUAUUACAAUCUGAGUUCUAUAAUUCAAUUUAACUGGCUAAAUAUUGAUGUAUUGCUAAUACAACAAUGAUGUAGUUGUAUUGUGAUUAAUGUUGCACUAAUAAUUAAGAUGUUAUAUUAUUUUUACAUCGACGAUGUGCUAUUAUGUAGUGAGCUAACUAGUACUGUGGUGCUUGAUUGAAACAAUUUUGACUAUUCGAAUAAAAAAUUAUAAUAGAUUAAAGUUUAAGGACGAAAGUAUGACCCGUAUCAUAGUUUGAGGAGAAAAUGUGUAAUUUAUCCAAAAUUGUUGAUUAGGGUUUACUUUUCAUGCUGUUGAAGGAUAUACUGCGAAUAUAAUCUAUAGUGUUGUUCGAAAAAAUACAGUUUAGUGGUUAUUUUAGAAGAAACCAUAUGUUUAAUUUUUUUGCAGAAUUAUUAUUUGCAACGGAAGAAGAAGCUUAAAAGCUUCUUCUUUUGAAACCUAAAAAUAUCAAUAACUCACUCAACUCUAGGGGGCCCACAUCAUCGUAACUAUAUAUUUUUUCAUCCAAGAGCCGAAAGCCUAAUAGCACUAAUAAUUUAGUGUUAUUGAUAGUAUUUCAGCUUAGUUCUUUUGAAUAUAUUUAAAUUAUAAGUACAGGUGAUGAUGAUGAUGAUGAUGAUAUAAAUGUAUAUAAAAAUUUUAAUUAUAAUAUAUAUAAUAUAUAAUAGAAAAAAAUAUAUGAAUUAUUUUAAAUUUAAUUUUUAAGUAUGACUGUAAAAAAAAAUUUACAAACUAAACAUUAAAAAAAUAUAAAAUUUAUUUUUCUCCAAAAUUGUUUUUAAUGGAGAAUUAUCUUUCAUAGCUUUAAAAAUUGAACGAAAGUGACUUUUUUUGGAUUAAUUUCAUACAUAUCUCUACAAACAUAGUAAAUUACAAGUAUAUUCCUACAAAGUUCAAUUUUUAUAUGUUGUUCAUACAAAAGUUCUAAUAUUUUCAAAUAUGUUUCUUUAGUUUGUUACUGUUAGAGAAACCUUUAUAUUUUCAAUUUUGCCAUCACUAGUAUAAUAUAAUGGAGUAAAAAUAUAAAAAAUUAACUAGGGUUAAAUAUUUAACCUAUGGUUAACUAACUUUUUCUAACGAAUUCUAACGGUAGGAAUAUAUUUAAAAACAUCAGAACUUUUGCAAGAAAAACAUACGAAAGUUAAAUUUUAUAAAAAUAUAUUUGCUAUUUACUGUAUUUGUAAGGGCAUGUUUGCAUGUAUGAAAUUAAUCUUUUUUUUUAGGGAAAGCUUCAAAAACCUCCCCUGUGGUUUCGUAGUUUCUCACUUUGCCCCCCUGUGGUUUAAAAUGUAUCAAUUUGCCCCCCUGUGGUUUCUUUUUUCUCUUUUUCUUAUCAAUUUUAUUAUUUUUUUUUCUUAAAUCAGUGAUAAAGUUAAAAUUAAAGAGUACUAAAAUGAAUAUUUGAUAAAUCUAGAUGAGUAUCUGAAAUUUUUUGUAUAUAAUUUAAUAAAAUAUUAACGAAAAAGCUACCGAAAAGAUAAAAACGAAACUAUAGGGAGACAAUUUGAUAUAUUUAAAUUUCAGACGGGCAAAAUGAGAAACUACGAAAUUACAGGGGUUUUUUUUUUUUUUUGAAACUUUCCCUUUUUUUCUUGGGUGGGUCCGGGUAGUGGCAGCAACGCGUCACUUGACUGAGUCCGUCAAUUGUGCGAGUCUUCUCGUUGCGAAAACAGAGAAAGAGCCUCUCAACGAAACUAAACUCUGUGGAAGAGCUCUCUCUCGUUGACGUUGACUUUGCACGGCCUCGGCGCUUUAAUUGUUGCCCAGUAACCGAGGUGGCUCCAUCACUUGUACGUGGGCCCUACCACUUAUUCUGAGUUCAACGGACGACGUACUAAGGGCGCGUAUCUCAUUGGUUCACCCGUUAUUUACUCUAAAAUUAAUAUUUACUCUAAAAUUAAAAUCGAAAUGUGUGAAUCUAUUUGUCCGUAUUUGAUACGCGGGUUUUGUUUUGAUCCCGAUUUCUUGGUGAAUGAAAAUUCACUAAUUAUUCCUUUUUUCAAUCCGGCCUAGGAGACUCAAUUGAAAAUUGAAUUCGGACGGAAUAAAUUUGUUUGGAUUAAAUUUAACUUUUUAAGCUCAUUUUUUUAAUUAAAAUAUAAUUUUAAGUUUAAAAAUUAUAUUUAUAAUUUUUAAUUCUAAUUUGAAUUAAAAAAUUAAAAUUCAAUCAAACGUUUCAAAUCUAAUUUAUAAAUUUGAAUUUACAUUUAAAUUAAAUUAUUCAAAUUUUAUUUAAAAUUUAAAUUAAAAACUUAUGGAUUCAAAUUGAAAUUUAAAUUAUAAUUUUAAGUUUGAAUUUGAAUAAGUUGAAAUUUAGUUUUAUUUUUUAAAUUAUCCGUUCAAUUUAAAAUUUUAAUUUUUUUUAAAAAAUAUAUUUAAAAAUUUGGCAUCAUUUUAAAAUUUUGACAUAAAUUUUUAGUAUUUUAUUUUUUAUUUGAAUUUAAACUAAUAUAUUAUAAAGAUAAAAUUGACAUAUUAAUUUGAUUACGUUUCUAAUAUCUAUCUCAACCAAUGGUUCAUUCCGAUUUCGAUUCAGGUGAUGAAAUAAACAGAAUGAGAUAAUGAAUCAUUCAGAUUCCGUUUCAAGCUUAUUCUCAUUCCGAUUCCGAUACCGAUUCCGAUUUCAAAUCAAAACACAUCCUAAAUGGACAAAUGUAUAAUGAAAUAGAAAAUUUUCUUUACAAAUAUUCAUUUUUUUAUUUUUUGUUUUUAAAAAAUUUAUAUUUUACUCUCCUAACACUUCAAGUUGAUGGAUUUAACUCCCCUUUAUCAGGAUUCCAUCACUAUUUCAUUUAUUUAUUAUAAUUUAUAUCGAAAAUAUCUUUCAAAAUAAUAGAGAUAUAUUAAAAAAAUAUUUUUGCUUAUAAAAGAAAAUAAGAGUAAUUUAGUCAUUUUUGUCCUCUCCUUUAACGUUUAACCUUUCUUAAAAUAUUUCUAAAGUUUUAAAAGGGUAAAAUAUAGAUUUUUGAAAGUCAGGAAGUGAAAGAUAAAACAAAAAUAUUUACAUAAAGGUUCUCAAUAAUUUAAUUUUACUUUAUUUGAUUUAAAUAAUUUAAAACUUAAAUUUUUAUAAUUAUAUGAUUUCAUAAAAUAUACAAAUUGGACUAUAAUGGUAAAUAACGCAUUCAAAUUUCAGAAUUUAAAAGUCAUUACGGAUAAUAGUUGAGGUAAGCCCAAUUAAUUAAGAAGUCUGAAAGGCAUCUUAAUAAUUCAGGAUCAAGUUCUAAAUAGAAAAUUUGUCAAUAUUUCGCCAACUAAAUUGAAUUAUAUGACUUCAUUGUAAAAAUUUUAAAAUUUUAUUUUAUUAAUUAUAAUUAAAUUAAAAUUUGGGAAUUAAAGUAUCAAAAUUGUAAUUUAUAAAUCGAGUUAGUGAUGGGCGUGGAGGGAAUGUGAUCAAUUAGAUUUCAAAGUCCACAUUGCUCGGCCCAAUGAGUGGGCCAACUCACACUUUAGGCUUAAGAUGUGAGUAAAAGCCCCACUAGUUUCACCAAAUCUGAACCACACGGGGCAGGUUUGUCUCACCAAAACUAAAGUUCAGAUUAAAAUAGACUUUCGGGUGCGUUUGGUCCGCGCUAUCUUUUUAAGAUUCCUAAUAAUCUAAUAGAAAUAAAAAAAAUAUGACGAUAUUUGACUAAACGCACUAAAUAAUCUAGUUGGCAAUACUGGAUUUACUUGGGAAUGAGAUGCAUCCCAAAGUACUAAUCUCAUAUUCUCAUUCCUUUGAGGGAGGGUGGGUAUUCUUAUAUUAAUGGAUUGGAGUAAUUAUAAUAUGUCUAAUUUCUUUCUUUCUCCUUACCCGCCGGCUAGUUGAUAUUAUUUUUUUUUACACUCUAACCUCAUAUCUCUCUCUAAACUUAUCAUUUUCUCUCUCUAAAUUAAGCUAUUUCUCCCUCUCUUUUUCUAAAAUCUCAACCUUCUCAUUCUCUAUAACCUCACUCUAUUUCUCUUUCAAUUUUUUUAAUUAUGCUUUCUCUUUCUAACUUAUAUUCUCUCUCCUUUUUUUUUCUAAAAAAAUAUUGAAAUUUUUUAUAAUAUUAUUUAAAAAUAAAUAAAUAAAUAAAUUGUAUAUUUUUUGUAAUUUUAAAUAACAUGACUAAAUAAUAUGAUCGUACGAACCAAACAUCAAAAUACUACAUUCUCAGUAAUAGCAUGAAUAAGAAUAAGAUUCUCAGAUAUCUUUUUACUCCUAUUAAUCUUUCAUAGUGCGAACCAAACGCGCCCUUCAGGUUAACUAGAGUUCAGAUAAAAAUUAAUGUUCUCCGUUAUUUAUUUCUAUACUUGUAGAACUGUUUUUUUUUACUUUUUUUUUUUCUCUGAAUGACGUAAAAACUAAAGUUUCGGCCUUACUAGAUCGUUUCGGUCCGGCUCAUUAACUCUUAGGGCAUGUUUGGUUCACUCAUUUUAGACUAUAGAAUCAGAAUGGAAUUCAUUGAUUCCGAUAGUUGCCGUUUGUUUUAUAGAAAUCGGAUUCCGAUUUUCAUUCCACUUCGGAAUGGUAAUGACCAAAUCCAUUUAUGAUCUUAUCCGGCUUUGAAUCCCAGAUUGGCUUAUUCCAAAGUAAACUAUUCAAAAUCCUUUUUCAUCAACACCUACCUCCUUUCCCUUCAUCACUUUUUUUCUUUCUUAAUCAAAACUCUCUCUCAAAAAUUUUAAAAUUUUAUUUCAAUUUUCAUUCCAAUAAUGAACCAAACAUUUUGGAUAAUUCGUCAUUCCAUUUUCCAUUCCAAAACAAUGCAAUUCUAUUUUUCAUUUCUAUUCCAAUCAUGAACCAAACAUGACCUUAGAUGAGUCCGUAAAUGCCAAUACUUAUAUUUUUCUAUAAAAAAAUUUGUACAAAUUAUAUCCCACCCACCCAAUAGGUGGUAG
rnacentral:lncRNA from 1 species